rnacentral:lncRNA from 1 species
UGUUUAUUAGAAGAGGUGGAAGAUGAUAAAGUAAAAAUGCAUGACGUUGUUCGUGAUAUGGCUAUAUGGAUAACCGGUGAAAUUGAGAAGGAGAAGCGAAACUUUUUGGUUUGUGCAGGUGCUGGAUUAAAAGAGGCACCGGAUGUUGAAGUAUGGGAAAAUGUGAGAAGAUUGUCAUUGAUGCAAAACCAAAUUGAAACUCUGUCAGAGGUUCCCACAUGCCCUCAUCUUCUCACUUUAUUUCUUGACUUUAAUAGGGAGUUGAAGACUAUUGCGGAUGGCUUCUUCCGAUGUAUGCCUUCUCUCAAAGUUUUGAAGAUGUCAAACUCUGGAAAGCCUUGGAAAGGUUUGGAAUUAAAUUUGGGGAUGCCAAAGUUGGGUUCACUACAGCUUCUUGAUAUUUCACACACCUGCAUACAAGAUUUACCGCAAGAAUUAAAGUUGUUGGUAAAUCUGAAAUGUUUGAAUUUGAGGCGGACAAUUUGGUUAAAUAAAAUUUCAUGGCAACUAAUAUCAAAUUUUUCAAGGUUACGUGUGUUGAGAAUGUUCGCUACUGGCUGGUUCAAUUUUCAUGAAGCACCAGAAGACAGCGUUUUAUUUGGUGGGGGUGAAGUUUUGAUACAGGAAUUGCUCGGUUUGAAAUAUUUAGAGGUAUUGGAGUUGACCUUGGGAAGUUAUCAUGCUCUCCAAAUUCUUUUCAGCUCAAAUAAGCUAAAAAGUUGUAUUCGAUCUCUUUACCUCCAGUUGACCGGAGAUACAGCGUUAAUUAUUGAUGCUACGGCUUUCGCAGAUCUAAAACACCUCAAUGAAUUACGCAUUGAGUCGGCUACAAAGCUGAAAGAAUUGACGGCUGAUUAUACAGAGAUAGUUCGAAAAAGGCGGGAACCUUUUGUUUUCCGCAGCCUUCACCAUGUUACUAUACAAAGCUGCCAGAAGUUGAAAGAUUCGACAUUCCUCGUUUUUGCUCCAAACCUCAAGUCUCUUUCGAUAGUCAAAUGCAAUGCUAUGGAAGAAAUAAUCAGCGUCGGAAAAUUUGCUGAGACUCCUGAGAUGAUGGGACAUAUAAGUCCUUUUGAAAAUCUCCAAAUGAUUGAUUUACUAGGUUUGCCACAUUUGAAGAGCAUCUUCUGGAAGCCAUUGCCUUUCACUCAUCUGAAAGAAAUAUCUGUGCGUUAUUGCCCUAAUCUUAAAAAGCUUCCACUCGAUUCCAACAGUGCAAAGGAGCGUAAAUUUGUUAUUCGUGGAGAAGAAGACUGGUGGAACCCACUUCAAUGGGAGGAUGAAGCCACUCAAAUUGCUUUUCGUUCCUGUUUCCAACCCUUGUUCCUGAACAGUGGUCGCAAAAUUUGAUUUCUGGUGAGUGCGUUUGUCUUUUAAAAAGAAUAAUUUAAAAGAAAUUUAUUCUUGUCGGUUUCUUCACUGUUUUUAUUUCAGUUUCUCUCUCUCUCUCUCUCUCUCUCUCUUUUUGUCUUCUGCAAAUCACAAUUACAUUUUUAUUCUUGUCGUUUUCUUCACUGUUUUUAUUUCAGUUUCUCUCUCUCUCUCUCUCUCUCUUUUUGUCUUCUGCAAAUCACAAUCAAAUGUUGAAUUAAUGGAAUUAAUGCUUCAUAAAUUUGCCGGCACUGCCAUUACUUUUUUUUGGGGGAUCGAAUUGAUACUUUAUUUAUAUCUUCUUAGCGAUUUAAUUUCCUGUCAAAAGACGAACGAGAAGAACAUAUGACUUAAACCAAUGCUCGCAUAAACUUGCUGUAAAAAGAUAUAAUCUCACUGAAAUGCACACGCCUAGAAUGAAUAGAAUUAAAACAGGGAAAAUAUUAAGUAUAUUAGCCCUCUUUACUGAAAAUCAAAUGACAGUAAAUUUUUUGAAGUUUUGAUUUUCUAUGGUCAAUUCCACCUUUUGCAAUUUCUUCUGUUCUAACAAAAACCAAUUUCUUUGUUCAAGUAUUUUCGUUUGGAUAUUAAUAAUUCUCCACCGAAAGAGUGAACUCUUGCUCAAAGGGAUCUCUAAUAAUACAUAACAUGAUUAUUUUCGUUUGAAUAAUUGAUUUCUUGAUUGAAUUGUCGUGUAAUUGAUUUAUGGGGGAUGACACAUCAACAUACUUGAAAAUACACUAAUCUCAGCAUCAUCGGUUAAUAACUUUUAGAUUUAUGGGUAAUCAAUAGUUAAGAUUAGUUGUCAUUAAUACUAAAUAAUUUUUACUUUUUUUGUCUCUUCUAGAGGAUCUUCUAGAAAAAUGCAUCCACAAUUAAAUUUAAUACUUUACAUAAUAAACAAAGCCUAAAUGUUAAAUUUAAGAAACUGCAUUGUAUUUCAGUUGAAGUUGACUUUAAUAUUUAGGGUAGAAAAACAAUUAAUUUUAUUUUUUGAAAUGUCCAUAUUCAGAGCACAUUUCAAAAAGACUCAAUAAUUUCUCAUAAAUUUCAAUUAAAAAUAUUCAAUUUGUUGUUUCAGUUCUUUUAUUUUUUAUUUUUUCCGACAUGAAAGCGACUUAAUGUUACUAAAUUGGGUGGUCUUUGGAUUUUCAUGACCCAAUAAUUGGAACAAAACAAUUUUCUCAAGCGCUCUCCCGCAACAUUUUAUAAUUGAAGCCGCUGCCCCGCCCGUGGUUUCAAACUUUUUUCUUUCUCCUUGUUUAAAUUAAUGGGAGCAGCCUCCGUCCUUGACUAGUUGACUGCUUGUCUUCUUUUUUUUAUUAAUUAAUUAAUUCAGCCGCCCCCCUUUCUUGUCCCAAUAUCUUCUACUUUCGGUUUCCUUUUAUUAUCUCUUUAUUUUUAAAAAAUGCUUAUAAUAAUAAUAAAAUAUAAAAUAUAAAAAUAAAAAUAUAAUUUAUCAGAAAAUUAAGAUAAAGAAAUAUUAUAAGCACAUCAAUCAACAAGUGAAAAAAAAACAAUUUUAAUUUACAUUAAAUAUAAACUUUCAGUGUUAAUCAACUUUUCUAAAUAACUAAAUUAAAAAAUUAAUUGAUUUAAUUGUGGUGUAAUUGAUUUGUAGGGGAUGAAUCAGCAGCAUCAUCGGUUAACGCUUUCAGAUUUAUAGUUAAUCAAUAGUUGAGAGUUGUUAUCACUAACGCCGUGUAUUUUUUAAUGUUUUUUCUCUCUCCUACAGCAUCUUCUAGGAAAGUGCAUCCGUUGCUAAAAUUUAGUAUCGUAAAUAAUAAACCAAGAAUAAAUAUUAAAUCUAAGAAACUGUAUUGCAUUUAAUAUUUAAGGGAGAAAAAUAAUUAUAGUGUCUUUAUUAAUCAGUAAAAAAAAAAAUUAGAAUCAUAAUAAAUUGUAUUGUUAUUGAUGUAUUUAUUUUAUUUUAUACUCAAAAUAAAUUAUUUUAAAUUAUUAAAAUAAUUUAAAAUUAGUAUUUUAUUUUAUACUCAAAAUAAAUAAUUUAAAAUUUUCAUUUCUUGUUUAUUUCGCAAGUUGUUAUUGCCUAAUGCUAUGUCAACUCGAACAUUAGCAUUUUUUUUUUUGGUCCUCUUUUAACGCAAAAUUAGUGUAGGUUAAGUAACAUAAUCAAUAUUAGGACAAUUUGAAAUCCCUAUGGGUGCGUUUGGUACACUGUAUUGUAUUAUACUGUAUUGCAUUAUUUUAAUGCUGAUGUAUUGUAUUAUGUUGUAUUGCAUUAGCACUGUAUUAUAACAAUGCUAUACAAUAUUUGGUGUUACAUUGUACUGUAUUAGAUUUUAAUUAUAUUAUAUUUAGUGUUACAAUUGUUGUAACAUAAACACGACCAAAAUAAAUUGUACUAAAUAAUCUAAGUAAGAGUUCUGUAGUAUAUGUAAUAAUACUAUUUAUAUUAUUAUUAUUAAUAAUUCUAAAUUAAUAUUAUUUAAUUUUAUUCAUAUUUAAAUAUGUAUUAUUAGUUUAUUAAAUUAUUUAAAAUAAUUAAUUUAUAUAUAUUAAUUAUUGUAACUUAAUUAAAUAAUGUAAUGCUAUAUUAUAUUUUUAUAUACUAUUUAAGUAUUUAUUAUUAAUUAUAUUUAAUUAUAAAUUUAUUAAUAAAUUAUAAUAUAAAAAUAAAAAAUAAAAAUUAAUAUUGUAUAAUAUUAUAUUAAAUUAAAGUUUUAUUUUUAUUACUAUUAUUAUAAAGUAAAAAAAAAAAAAAGGGAAGCUACUGACUUUUGAAACACAAAAGUCAGUAAUACAACCUAAUCACGAGGGGGGGCGCGGGUUUUGAUAAUGCGGCAAAAGCUGCAUUGUAAUGCUGCUCAAUGCAAUCCAUUUGAUCACCAAACACAGGUAUAUUUUAACUAAUGCUGGGCCCACAAAAUAAUACAAUGCAAUUCCGCAUGCCAAACAUACCCUAUGGGUGCGUUUGGUACACUGUAUUGUAUUAUACUGUAUUGUAUUAUUUUAAUGCUGGUGUAUUGUAUUAUGCUGUAUUGCGUUAGCAUUGUAUUAUAAUAAUGUUGUACAAUGUUUGGUGUUACACUGUACUGUAUUAAUUUUUAAUUAAACUAUAUUUGGUGUUAUAUUGUAUUGUAUUAAUUUUUAUAAUUAAUUAAAUUAAAUAAUUAAAAAAUAAUAUUUAUUAAUACUUAGAAAAAUAAUAAAUAUAGAAAUCUUAAUUGUAGAAAUUUAACAAAUUUUUUAGUAAAUAUUAAAAAUUAAUGAUUAAAUUUCUAAAAUUUGUAUUAUAAUUAUGAUAAAAUAAAUUUAUAAAAUUUAAUAUUAUAUGUAAAUAAUAAAUUUAGAUUAUAAUUAAUAUUAUAAUUGUUAAUAUAAAUUAAUAAAUUAUUAUUCAAUAAUAUUCAAUUAUAUUUUAAUUUACAAUAUAUUAUUAUUUUUACAUUUUAAUAUAUUAAUAAAUUUAUAAUUUAACAUAAAUAAUUAUAAAUUUAAAUAAUAUUAAUUUUAAAAUUAAUAUUAAUGUAAAUAAUAUUAUAAUAUUAAUAUAUUAUUUUUAUAUGAAUCAUUAAUAAAUAAAAUAAUAUUAUCAUAUAAUUUAUUUUUAUAUUUUAUUCAUUAUAUUAAUAUUUAAUAAUAAAAUAAUUUAUUUUUAUAAUAUUUUAAUAAAAUAAAUUUGCCUCAAUUGAGGCAUUAACUGUUGCCUCAAUUGAGGCAAAAAGCUUCCGCAUCCCUCGGGUUUGCGUAAUGCGGCCCCAUGCCUCAUUAUGCUGCAUUAUAAUGCAGCAUAAUGAGGUGUCAAAUUUUGCCAAACAUGUUCUUGGUAAUAAACUAAUGUGAAUAGUAGUAUAAUACCACAUAAUCUCAUGCACCAAACACGCCCUAUGUGUAUUAUUCACGGUAUCUAUGAGGGCUUAUCCUUUUGCUAGAACAAACUCUAGCAAAUUGUCAAAUGUGCUUAUCCUUUCCCUUGACGACUCAUUUUAAAAUUGUCACUCAUUUUAAAAUUGUCUUUCAAUGCACAAACACAGACAUAACCGCCGACAUCGAGCACCAAGUUUGGAAUUUAAUUGAUAAGCAUACAUUUGAUAAAUUAAUGAAAAGUUUGGAGAGUAGUUUUGAUCACCCUUGAUUAGGACGGUAUUACAAAAAAGAUCAAAAAGAAAACAUCGUCUCUCUUCACAAAAAUAAAUAUUUUCCGUUAGAAUUUAAUACAAUAAUAUUUUUUUUGAUUAAAAUUUAAUUAAAUACACAAAUAAAUUAUAUAUUUUUUAAAAAAAUUUACACCCAGUCACAAGGCUGGCUAUUAAACUUAAAGGGUGGAAGCUUCGGAGACUAAAGUUGGUAACUUCUCCAAGUGGUCUUAAGUUGACCGGAACUACCCAGACUUUAUGUUUGGUAGCCUAGACCUGAUCGGACCUAGGCCCAAGUUUGGUCUUAAAGUCCACAAUUAAAUUAAAAAAAAAUUAUUUGAUUUGUAAUUGAUUUAUGGGGAAUGAAUCCGCAGCCCUAAAAUUACACCAAUCUUGACAUAAUGACAUCAUCGGUUAAAAACGUUCAGAUUUAUGGUUAAUCAAUGGUUUGAGAUUUGUUAUCAUUAAUGCUAGAUAUUUUUUAACAUUUUUUUCUAUCUCUCUUCUCCUGAAGGAUUUUCUAGGAAAAUGCAUCCACAACAAAAAUUUUAAAUUGUAAACAAUAAACAGAGUAUAAACGUUAAAUCUAAGGAACAUCGCUGCAUUUCAGCUGAAGCGAACUUUAAUAUUUUACGGAGAAAAAUAAUUAAGUCUUUAAUGUGAUUUAUUGAUUAAUAUAUAUGACUAAUUUUUUAAAAGAAGAUGAAGGAUGAAGCUUAAAAAUAUAAAUUAUAGAAUUAAUUUAUCUCUUCAAUAAAUCUAAAGUUUAUUUUUUUUAUUACAUGCUUCUAUUUUAUUUUUAUUCCAUGUUAAUGAAUGGAGAUUUAAAUCCAUUUUGGAUUUAUAAAGAUGUUUAGAUAUUUAAAUCCACGUGUGAUUCCAAACUUGAACCUUUUUUUUUUUUUUUUCUAAUUAAUGCAAACAGCCGCCUCUUUGACUGCUUUUCUUCUUUGUUUAUUAAUUAAUUAAUUCAGCUGCCCACCUUUCUUUUCCUAAUGUUUUCUACUCCCAAAUUUUUUUAAGGACAAGGCUACGUUGCAGACGCUGUACCUAACAGCUGCACCUUCGCCAGCUUAAAAAAGGGUGCAUUUGGUAAGCAACUUUUCUUUCGUGUGCAUAUGUGUCCUGCCACCAUUGGGUGUGUACGUAACAGAUAAUGUACCGUAACAAGCUCCUAUUUUUAAAUUUGUUUAUAAUGAUAAAAUAUAAAAAUUAAGAUUAAAAUGUAAUGUAAUGUAAAAUUAAAGGUGGAAGAGUAUUAAAAUAAGGCUAAACCUAUGUUACGUUUAACGUAACAUACAUUUAAAUAUAUAAAAUAUCAAUGGAAACCCUCAAAUUUUAUGGAAACUAUAUUAAUAAAAUUAAAAGAAAUAUUUUUAAAUCUGAAAGAAGAAAUAAAAGAUAUAAAGCAAGAGAUAGGAAAACUAAAAAUAGAAAUAUCUGUAAAAGAAAAAGGAAAAGAAAAAUUAGAAAUAAAAGAAACAACUCCAACUGAAUCGAAUUCAGACUAAUGGAAGAUGUAUUAGAAACUUUAACUGAAAAAUUCAGUGACAUAAAUCUUAGUGAUUUAGAAGACUUUGAAAAAGAAUAUUAGAUAAAAAUGAAUACUGCUGGAGGACCAGAAAUGAAACCUAAUGUAGCAUAACCAAGUCAUAGAUAUGGUAUAAAUAAAAUGAAAAAUAAACCUUUUUACGAGUAUAUACCUCCUAUUAAAAAUACUCCUUGGAAAAAAGAAUACAAACCAAAUCAAGAUACAUUAACCCCAAUAAAUAAUGCUGGAACAUUUUUAAAUCUAGAUUGUAAGAUAGACAUUCGAAAGGCGUUAGCAGAAUGGGUGUUACAAAUGAAAUUAUUUUUUAUAUUUAACGGGUCAAAGGAUGACUAGAAUGUAGAGACUGAAGAAGAAAAAAUAGAUAUAUUUGUUGAAAUCUUAAUAGCCAGUUUUUCAGGAAAUGUGUUUAAUUGGUGGAGAGGAUUAAGCGAUGAUACACAAAACUUAAUAAAAGAUUCAACCAAAUAGCAUUUAGAAAAAAUAAAGCCUUAGGAAUGGAAAGGAUAACUGAAUACAUAGCUAGUGAAUUUUUAGGAGAAGAUUGGCUAGAAAAAUCGGGCAUAUAUGAAAAUUUAAAAAUUUAUGAUAAAAAGAUCUUAGUGUUUUUAUUAAAAAAUUAAAAUUUACAUGACUAUUUCUUUAAAUAUUUAGGGCAUAUAUGAACCACGGAGGAGAAAAGCUUUAUUUAAUAUUUUAGAAUAGUUUUUGAUCAGUACAAUUGGGUCCUUAUUCAGAAUUAUUGUUCUCUUCCGCAACAGUUUUUGUUUAUCAAAGUCGUCAAUUAAAAUUUUAGAAUUCUUAUCAGAAGAAGUAGUCGUUUUAGAAGUUGGGUCUUGGAUCAAAUUUCUACGAGUGCAUGAAUUAACAAUAAAAAAAUUUCAUUACACACGGUUUAAGCUACAAACUACUAUUUGCACAGUUGACUAUAAAACUUACCUCCAAUUACACUAAACCUCUCUAUUUGGUAACGUUGAGACUAAAUUAAUUUUAUUAGCAUGAAAAGAUGAUAGAAAUAUAAUUAUAAAUAUUAUUGUUGUUAAUCAAUUAGUACAUGUGAUAUAAAGGUUAAAUGUGCACUAUAUUUAAUAAUUAAUUAGUGGAGCAUGUUAAACAAAAUGUUAAUGUAUAUUUAUAUAGUGUUAGGAAUAUGCAAAGUCAAGUCCUCAAUUUGCAUUAUCCUGUAUAGAAUAUUACUCUAAAAAUGUUUUACUAUAAUUGGCUUAGAACAUUUGUAAAGAAAAAUAAUAAUAAAAUAAUAAAUAACAUACACCGUCACAUAGCACCUAGACAAUGAUAGAAAAUUAUUAAAGAGAGUGCAAACAAUUAAUUAGAGAUUUUUAUGAUGACUUUUAAUAUUCAUGAUAAUAACAAAUAAAUACAUGUAUCACUUUUUUAAAAUAUUAAAUUUGACUGCUCCAUUAAUAAAUUAUUAUUGUAAUUCAGACUCUAUCUAUAUAUCCUUGCACUAAGAAUAAUUAAGGUAACGUUUGUUUUUUAACUUAAUGACUUAAAGUGACUUAACUUAAUUAAUUAAGUUAAUUAGAGGUGUUUGUUUUAUAACUUAAUGAGACUUUUUAGAUAAUUUUGACUUAAUAAAAUAAGCUAAUUUUUUUUGGCUUUUUACUUAAUGGAGAAAUCUGAAUUAAGUCAAUUACUUGCUAAUGUCAAAAAUAUCCUUGUUUUAUAAUUUAUUUUUCAUGUCUAUCCCAAAACUCGCCCGUAGAUAUUUACCCCACAUAAAAAUAUCCCUGUUUUUUUCUUUCUUAUAUUAUAUACGAUAAAAUUUGAAAUUUAUAGUAUUUUAUAUAUUAAAAUUCUAAAAUAAUUAUGUAUUCACUUGAAUAUAGUUUUACUUAUAAAUGUUAAAAUAUGAUGGUAUUUAAUAUAUUAUUUAUUUGACAUUCAAAUUUAAUAAGGAUACAAAUGUAAAAGUACAUAUUUUCAGCUUUUUAAAUUGAAAAAAAAUAACUUAAUAUUUAUUUUCUGAGAUUCAGACGAAAAAAUAAACAUAUUAUUCAGAUUCAUACAUUCAGAUCUAUUCAGAAUUCAAACUAAUUCAAGUCUAUUCAAAUUUUAGACAAAAAAAUAAACGCCACCUAAGUCAUAAUAAAAAUUUUCGUAACUACAUCUCGUUUCUUCCUCAUAAUAAUAAUUAGAUUGGUUCGAAUAUUAUAACUAUAUAGAUUUAGUGUAUAGCCACAUCCAAUUUAAAUAUUGACCCAAUUGGGAUGGUCCCCAAAAAAAAAGAUUCGUUAAAGGAUAAUUCUAAUUAUUUUUACUUCUCAAACGUUAGUGGGACGUUUCUAUUAGCGCACUCGUAAGCCAAGUUGUCAAAUAUUUAUACUAAACUACAAUUGCUAACAAGAAAAAUCAAGAUCGUGUUAAGCAAGUGGGUCCCGAAUAGGACGUGCAAAUCUCUCGUAAGUCAAGUUGUCAAAUGUUUAUAUAAAACUAACAAUUACUGACAAGAAAAAUCAAGAUCGUAUUAAAAAUGGGUCCCGAAUAGGAUUAUCUUUUUAAGAAUAUUAUUAUUUUAUUAUUAAAAUUUUAUUAAUAUAACAGUAUUAAAAUUUAUUAAAAAAUAUAUUUUAUUAUUAAAAUUUUAUACCGUUAUCAAUUUAUUAUUAUUUUAUUAAAAAAAUUAAUAUUUAACAAAAAUUGAGAUAAAAAUUAAUUUUUGUUCUCUGUCUUUAUUUAUUUAUUUAUUUUUUUGGGUCUUCUGCAAAUCACAAUCAAAUGUUGAAUUAUAAAUUUGCCGGCAUUGCUUUUUUUUUUUUUUUUGGGCCGGGGGGUGGUGUUGAAUUGAUGCUCUGGGUUUUUGACUUUUGUUGUCAAAUUUUACUCUGUUUUUCCCAAAUUGAUGCUANNNNNNNNNNNNNNNNNNNNNNNNNNNNNNNNNNNNNNNNNNNNNNNNNNNNNNNNNNNNNNNNNNNNNNNNNNNNNNNNNNNNNNNNNNNNNNNNNNNNNNNNNNNNNNNNNNNNNNNNNNNNNNNNNNNNNNNNNNNNNNNNNNNNNNNNNNNNNNNNNNNNNNNNNNNNNNNNNNNNNNNNNNNNNNNNNNNNNNNNNNNNNNNNNNNNNNNNNNNNNNNNNNNNNNNNNNNNNNNNNNNNNNNNNNNNNNNNNNNNNNNNNNNNNNNNNNNNNNNNNNNNNNNNNNNNNNNNNNNNNNNNNNNNNNNNNNNNNNNNNNNNNNNNNNNNNNNNNNNNNNNNNNNNNNNNNNNNNNNNNNNNNNNNNNNNNNNNNNNNNNNNNNNNNNNNNNNNNNNNNNNNNNNNNNNNNNNNNNNNNNNNNNNNNNNNNNNNNNNNNNNNNNNNNNNNNNNNNNNNNNNNNNNNNNNNNNNNNNNNNNNNNNNNNNNNNNNNNNNNNNNNNNNNNNNNNNNNNNNNNNNNNNNNNNNNNNNNNNNNNNNNNNNNNNNNNNNNNNNNNNNNNNNNNNNNNNNNNNNNNNNNNNNNNNNNNNNNNNNNNNNNNNNNNNNNNNNNNNNNNNNNNNNNNNNNNNNNNNNNNNNNNNNNNNNNNNNNNNNNNNNNNNNNNNNNNNNNNNNNNNNNNNNNNNNNNNNNNNNNNNNNNNNNNNNNNNNNNNNNNNNNNNNNNNNNNNNNNNNNNNNNNNNNNNNNNNNNNNNNNNNNNNNNNNNNNNNNNNNNNNNNNNNNNNNNNNNNNNNNNNNNNNNNNNNNNNNNNNNNNNNNNNNNNNNNNNNNNNNNNNNNNNNNNNNNNNNNNNNNNNNNNNNNNNNNNNNNNNNNNNNNNNNNNNNNNNNNNNNNNNNNNNNNNNNNNNNNNNNNNNNNNNNNNNNNNNNNNNNNNNNNNNNNNNNNNNNNNNNNNNNNNNNNNNNNNNNNNNNNNNNNNNNNNNNNNNNNNNNNNNNNNNNNNNNNNNNNNNNNNNNNNNNNNNNNNNNNNNNNNNNNNNNNNNNNNNNNNNNNNNNNNNNNNNNNNNNNNNNNNNNNNNNNNNNNNNNNNNNNNNNNNNNNNNNNNNNNNNNNNNNNNNNNNNNNNNNNNNNNNNNNNNNNNNNNNNNNNNNNNNNNNNNNNNNNNNNNNNNNNNNNNNNNNNNNNNNNNNNNNNNNNNNNNNNNNNNNNNNNNNNNNNNNNNNNNNNNNNNNNNNNNNNNNNNNNNNNNNNNNNNNNNNNNNNNNNNNNNNNNNNNNNNNNNGAAGGGUCUCUAAUCAAUAGCUGGAAGCAAUUGAGAAGGCGGUUGCUACAGUGAAUUCAAAUGUAAAAUGUUUGCUAUUCUUCGAUUUGGUUAAUGAUUUCGUAUGAAUAUUGUUGUUCCGUUGAGUUGCAUGCGAAUUCAAAUGCAAAAUAUUCUUCGAUUUUCAAUUUUGAAAUCAAAUUUUUUUUUCCUUCUCAAGCAUGUUAUGCAGAAACGAUUGUCAUGUUAUGCAGAAACGAUUUUUACUAAAUCAUUUUUAACAAACUAUUGAAAUUAAACCACUGGAAUAAGAAUUGUAAGGAUUUAUCGUAAGCUUACUAAUACGAUAAUUCUGAAACUAUCACCUUUUUUUUUUUAUUUGUUGCAGGGAAACCCAAAUUUUGUAUUUUGUCAAUUUCAUCUGAUAUGGAAUUUAUUUCCUCCCUAAAGAUUUAUCAAACUGCUUCUCUUCCCUGCUUCAAUAUCUUUAUGCAAUUACGAUCUCAUAGGAAAAGAGAGUUUGGGUUGUAUAUCUUAUAGUAUUUAUUUAUUUUUUGUUAAAAGAAAUUUAUUUUAAAAUAGUUUAUAGCAACAGUUUUUAUUUAACAAUAAUGAGGAAGGAUUAUUAUAGGUUCAAAUAGUUGUUAGAACAUUAUAAAAAAGUCCAUUUACUAUCAAAUGUUUUAAAUUGGUGCAACGUGAUAAUUGUCUCAUAUAAUUUUUUAAGGGUAAAAACUCGUUUCAUUCCCAUAUUUUAAGAUUAUUACUCAUUUAGUCUUUAUAUUUUUAAAAAUGUUUCAAAACAUUCAUACCCUUAAAUUAUUAACAUCUCUGCUGUUACUUUUUAUUUUUUUUUGACUUGUUUUUACAAUAUUGCCCUCUUACAAUAAUGUUUCUUUUUAUAAAAUUAAUAAAAAGAAAAAAAAUUAAAUUAUCAAUUUAACCCCAAAAAUAAAAUAAAAAUAAAAAGAAUAAAUAUUAAUUUUUGUGAAAGUUUACAUGUGUCCAAAAUAAAUUUUAUUGUAAAAAUAAUUAAAUUGCCUUUUUUUUGGACAUUAGUAAUAAAAAAAUUAAUAUAUUAAUUCCUCAGCAGUGUGUUACAAAAAAGUAAAAUAUAUUAAUUUUGUUUUUAUUUUAGACAAUGAGAUAGAGAAAAGUACAAGAUAAAGGAAAGGACUUCAAAACUCACUGUUCAUCAUAAUGCCCUUUGCCUUUAAAAAAAAAUCAUUCUAAUAUUUUAUAACACAUAAAAUAUAAUCCUAAGAUAAAUAUAAUAAUACAUAUUUUAAACUAAUCUCGAUAUUUAAAAUAUGUUUUAAUAUUUUAUAAUCUAUCAGACAUAUUUUAUUAUAUUAAUGUAAAAUUUAUAAUAAAUACAAACAUAUUAUUAAAAUAAAUAUAUAAAAAAUAUUUAUUUUUUAUAUGUUUACACUGAGGACUCUCUUUAAUUCAUUUAUUUUCUCUCUCUCCAAACAGGUACUGUCUUCAGUUAGCAAUGCUAUGAUAGUAAUCCAAUUCUCUUCUCCCCCACCUGAGCGAGAUUUGAAUUUGAAUCCCUUGUUUUUCACCCACUCUGUUUUUUUUCACGCAAGAUUUGACAAUUUGAGUUAAAAAAUAUGGUCCAAAACUUGAACACGUAUCUUUUAAUUGUAAUAAAAGUUCUUUAAGCUUUGGAGAUGGCAUAUAUAUGGCUGGAAGUGUCCUUUUCUUUGACCUAGAGGCAGCACCAAGCUAUCCAGCAUCAUCAUUUUUCAAGUGGGUCUUAAAUGCCUAGAAACGUUGGUGUUUCUUGAUUUAAAGAUGACACAUGCUAUAAGUGUGAAUGGUUUGGCUAAGCCUAAAUUUAAAGUCUACUCAAGUCGCAUUCAGGAUCAUGGAAAUUGGAAAGGGAGAGAUGAUAGCAAGAUUUAUAAUAAACAAUUAACUUGGGUCCUCAGUGUACAAAGCAAAUGCCACGCAAGCGAUAGCCGGCCCAGCCCAGAAAACCCAGUGGCGAUCCCAGAGAUGGCCUCCUCUAACGAGUGCUGGGCCCAAAAAUCUUUGCGGGUUGAGCCCAGCUCCGGCAUAGCCCUUUUGAGCAGUAACAGUUGUCGAGACAAAAACCAGAAGACCCAACACUGUUCCAAUGACAAUGCAUACGGUAAACUCUGCCAAGAGCCUUGGCUUGUCUGGAGUCAAAAGCCAUCCACACAGAAGCAAAAAGGAACACAAACGAGCAAAUUAUCUCAAGCCAAAGGGCCUGCCUAGUCCCCAAGCCGAUCUCAACAGGCCCAUCUGGCCCAGGUACGACAACAUUCAGGGUGCAGCCUCCAAGUUGUCAAAUAUUUAUAUUAAACUACAAUUGCUGACUAGAAAAAUCAAGAUCGUAUUACAAGUGGGUCCCGAAUUGGACGUGCCUAAAUCUUUUUAUAAUUUUCCCAGUGUAGCGGACAGAGGUCAUUACUAAAUUUCUCUUCCACACGCCACAGCAGCUUCGGUUAAUCAAACUCAAUCAAUUUUCUUGGCUUCUCCGCUUAUCAAUAUUACAAGGUAUGGGUAGCAUUUUUCAAAUCACAUGCGAUGGUACUAUUUUCAAUCGUUGCUUAGAUUGCUUUCUUGGAAAAGCAGCAUACAUAAGUAACCUCCAAGAUAAUCUUGUUGCCUUGGAGACUGAACUAAGGAAACUAAUCGCAGCAAAGAACGAUGUGAUGACGGCGGUUGUCAAUGCUGAACGGCAACAAAUGAGAAGGCUGGACCAAGUGCAAGUGUGGGUUUCGAGGGCGGAUGCUGUUAAAAAUGAAGCUGAUGAACUUAUCAGAGGCGGCUCUCAAGAAAUUGAAAAAUUAUGUCUUAGAGGGUUCUGUUCCAGGAACUGCACGUCAAGCUACAAGUUCGGAAAACAAGUGGCUAAAAAGCUACGAGCUGUGGAGACUUUAAUCGCCGAAGGAGUUUUUGAGGCGGUGGCUGCCGAGGUGGUGCCUGAGAGAGCUCCAGAGCCUGUAGCAGAUGAAAGACCUACCGAGCGAACAGUAGUAGGCUUGCAAUCACAACUUGAACAAGUCUGGAGAUGUCUUGCAGAAGAAUCAGCGGGAAUCAUUGGCCUAUAUGGUAUGGGCGGUGUUGGUAAAACUACACUAUUGACCUAUAUCAACAAUAAAUUUCUCGAGAGUCCAACCAACUUUGAUUGUGUGAUUUGGGUAGUAGUUUCAAAAGACCUGCGACUUGAAAAACUUCAAGAAAAUAUUGGGAAAAAGAUAGGUUUGGUUGAUGAUUCAUGGAAGAGUAAAAGUGUAGAGGAGAAAGCUCUCGACAUCUUCCGGAGUUUAAGAGAGAAGAGAAUUGUAUUGCUGUUAGAUGAUAUAUGGGAGCGGGUUGAUUUAACAAAAGUGGGCGUUCCACUUCCAGGACCACAAAAUACUACCUCAAAAGUCGUAUUCACAACCCGUUUGAUCGAUGUUUGUGGUAGCAUGGAAGCUGACAGGAAGUUCAAAGUAGCAUGCUUAUCAGAAAAGGAUGCUUGGGAACUGUUUCGAAAAAAAGUUGGGGAAGAAACUCUUGGAAGUCAUCAUGAUAUCGUUGAGCUAGCCCAAACUGUGGCCAAAGAGUGUGGUGGUUUGCCACUCGCACUUAUUACUAUCGGUCGAGCUAUGGCCUACAAAAAGACAGCCGAAGAGUGGAGACACGCAGUUGAAGUUCUAAGAAGAUCAGCUUCGGAAUUUGCAGGUUUGGGAAAAGAGGUGUAUCCUCUUUUAAAGUUUAGCUAUGAUAGUUUGCAGAAUAAGACGAUUAGAUCUUGUUUCUUAUAUUGUUGUUUAUAUCCUGAAGAUUAUGGCAUUCUUAAAUGGGACUUGAUUGACUGUUGGAUUGGUGAGGGAUUCUUAGAGGAAUCUGACAGGUUUGGUGCAGAAAACCAAGGAUACUACAUUGUGGGCACUCUUGUUCAUGCGUGUUUACUAGAAGAGAUAGAAGAUGAUAAAGUAAAAAUGCAUGACGUUGUUCGUGAUAUGGCUCUAUGGAUAGCUUGUGAAAUUGAGAAGGAGAAGAGAAACUUUUUGGUUUGUGCAGGUGCGGGACUAAAGGAGGCACCUGAUGUUAAAAGAUGGGAAAAUGUGAGAAGAUUGUCAUUGAUGCAAAACCAAAUUGAAACUUUGUCAGAGGUUCCUGCAUGCCCUCAUCUCCAUACUCUAUUUCUUGCCUCUAAUAAUAGUUUGCAGAGGAUCACCGAUGGCUUCUUCCAAUUUAUGCCUUCUCUCAAAGUUUUCAAGAUGUCAAACUGCGGGAAUUUAAUUUUGGAAUUACCUUUUGGGAUGUCAAAGUUGGGUUCAUUGGAACUUCUCGAUAUUUCACAUACCUACAUACAAGAGUUACCACAAGAGUUAAAGUUGUUGGUAAAUCUGAAAUGUUUGAAUUUGAGGUGGACAAGCGAGUUAAAUAAAAUUCCACGGCAGCUAAUAUCAAAUUCUUCAAGGUUACGUGUGUUGAGAAUGUUGGGUACUGGCUGGUUCAAUUUUCAUGAAGCAUCAGAAGACAGCGUUUUAUUUGGCGGGGGUGAAGUUUUAGUACGGGAAUUGCUCGGUUUGAAAUAUUUAGAGGUAUUGGAGUUGACCUUGCGAAGUUAUCAUGCUCUCCAAAUUGUUUUGAGCUCAAAUAAGUUAAAAAGUUGUAUUCGAUCUCUUUACCUCCAGUUGACCGGAGAUAGAAAGUCGAUUAUUGAUGCUACGGCUUUCGCAGAUCUAAACCACCUCAAUGAAUGAUUGAUUUUUAAAGGUUUUGAGUUGGAAGAAUUGAAGAUUGAUUAUACAGAGAUAGUACGAAAAAGGCGGGAACCUUUUGUUUUCCGCAGCCUUCACCGUGUUACCAUAGAUUCGUGCCUUAAAUUGAAAGAUUUGACAUUCCUCGUUUUUGCUCCAAACCUCAAGUCUCUUUCGCUAUUCAAUUGCCGUGCUAUGGAAGAAAUAAUCAGCGUUGGAAAAUUUGCUGAGGUUCCUGAGAUGAUGGGACAUAUAAGCCCUUUUGAAAAUCUCCGAAGUCUUCGUUUGUCACAUUUGCCAAAUUUGAAGAGCAUCUACUGGAAGCCAUUGCCUUUCACUCAUCUGAAAGAAAUGGUGGUACAUGGGUGUGAUCAGCUUAAAAAGCUUCCACUCGAUUCCAACAGUGCAAAAGAGCGUAAAUUUGUUAUUCGUGGACAAGCAGACUGGUGGGACCGACUUCAAUGGGAGGAUGAAGCCACUCAAAUUGCUUUUAGUUCCUGUUUCCAACCUUAACUUGAUUUCUGGUUAGUGCUGUUUCCUUAACUUUUACAUAUAUUCUCGUCGUUUGCUUCGUGCAAAAUACUAGGUCUUUUGUUCUCUGUUUUUAUUUCGCCCAUUUUUUUUUUUUUUUUUUGUCUUCUGCAAAUGACAGACAAAUGUUGAACUAAAAGGAAUUAAUGCUUUAUAACUUUGCCGGCAUUGCUUUUUUCUUUUUCUUUUUUGAUUUUUUGGGGCGAGGGGGGAUCGAAUAGAUGCUCUGGUUUUUGACUUUUUGUUGUCAAAUUUUACUCUGUUUUUUUCAAAUUGAUGCUUGAAUAUUUGAAUCAAAUUAAUGCUCACGUAAAUUUGUUCAGUUGCCGUAAAAGGAUAUAAUUACACUGAAAUACACAAACUCUAGAAUGAAUAGAAUUAAACAGAGAAAAUCUUGAGUAUAUUAGCCGUCUUCACAUAAAAUCAUAUGAAAAUUAAAUUUUGAAGUUUUUAUUUUCUAUUUUUAAUCAUACCCUUUAUAAUUUCUUCUGUUCUAACUACAAUAAAAUUUUUGGUUCAAGGAUUUUUAUGAGGGGUAUUAAUAAUAGUCCACCAAAAGAGUGAACAGUUGGAUGCUGCCCUAAGGGUCUCUAAUCAAUAGCUGGAAGCAAUUGAGAAGGCGGUCGUUACUGUGUACAAAGCCAUGCAGUAUUUGCUAUUCAUCUUAGUAAUUAUGAAGCUUUGGUAAAAUUUUCAAACAAAGUUGACAUGUUAUUUUGAGAUUUGGUUCAUGAUUUUGUAUGAAUAUCGUUGUUCCAUUGAGUUGUAUAUGAAUUCAAAUGUAAAAUAUUCUUUGGUUUUCAAUUUUGAAUUCAAUUUCUUUUCUUAAGCAUGUUGUGCAGAAAUGAUUUCUACUAAAUCAUUUUUGAUAAACUACUUAAAUUAAACAACUGCAAUAAGAACUGUUAAGGAUUUAUCGUAAGCAGACUAAUAUGAUAAUUCUGAAACUAUCAUUUUUUUUUUCAAUUUGUUGCAGGGAAAGCCAAAUUUUGUAUUUUUCAGUUUUAUCUGAUAUGGAAUUUAUUUCCUCUACACUAGCUACCUAAAGAUUUAUCAAAUUGCUUCUCUUCCCUGCUUCAAAUUAAUAUCUUUAUGCAACUACAAUCUCAUAGGAAAAGACAGUUUGGGUUGUAUUUAUUAUAGUUUUUUUUUUCGUUAAGAGCAAUUUAUUUUAAAAUCGUUUAGUAGUAACAGUUUUUAUUGAAUAAUAAUGGGGUAGGAUUAUUAUAGGUUCAACUAGUUGUUAGAACAUUAUAAAAAGUCCAUUUACUAUCAAAUGCUUUAAAUUGGUGCAACAUGAUAAUUGUCCCACAUAAUUUUUAAUAAUAUAUAUGGCCCAUAAAUUUAAUAUGAAUAAAUGAGUUUCGAUAGUUAAAUUUGAUACGAUUAUUAAAUAAGUUAUAUCCAUGUCAAUUCGACUUAAAAUCUGGUAAAUUUAGAUUUAGAGUUUAUAACAUGAUAACUUGUUUUAUGACAUGAUUUACUAAUCAAUUAAUAUUAAAUUAUAUUUUAGCCAAUCAGAUAUGUGGUACAUUUGUCAAAUUUUAAAAAUUAUUUAUUUAUAUAUGAAAUAAAUUUGACUAGACUGUGUGUAGGUAAUAGUGCAUAAUUUCUAAAAAAAUGUAAUAAUAACACGUUAAAAUGUUAUUUUUAUGAAGAAAAAUUGAAAUUUUAUUAAAUAGGCGACACAAUAAUAAAUGGGUUGAGAUUAUUUACAUUUUAAGAAUUACUCUGAACAUUAUUUUAUUUUAUAAAUUUUAUAUUACAAAAACACCCAUAGUUUAAUUUACCAUUAAGAACAAUUUUGUGCGAUUAAAUAAAAUACAUUACUCUUUACCCUUUCACUACAUCGACAUAAAUCCUAAUUGUUAUGUUUCUAAUUUCUUUGAUAUGCUUAUUGAAGUCCACAUUAUAAUCAAUUUUAAACUAUUAUACCACUUAAAUACAUUUUAGAAUGAGAAGUUUGGUUUUCUUCAUGGGCUGCCUUGCUGAUGCUGUUAUUGAAACUAUCGAACUUAAUAAUUUUAUGGCCAAAAUGAUAUAUGUUGAACCAGCUUUUACAUCGAAUUCUACCACCAUAAAAAAUCGUACUUGUAACAUCUCAAGGUUCCAAUUUAUCAAAAGUUAAUCAUUCAUAUUUGUUAGUUCCUAACAGUCACAAGAGCGUACAAGCCAAUUUUUGUAGCUCCUUUUUCUGCAGUAGAUUCAAGUAUAUUAUUAUCAAGCAUUUUUGUUACACCCUUAAUUCCUUAUCAUCAUCCCUUCAUUCAGAGCAACUAAACAGAGGUCAAUGUCAUUAUGUUAGAGUUACGAGGAAGAGUACUGCCAAAAAAGUUCUUUGUAUGGGAUUUAAUUUUCUGGGUUUGUAGUGAUGAACAAAUUGAGGGUUGUUUUGGUAUUUUCAAGAGUGUAUUGAGUGAAAAUUAUUUUUAAAAAAUUUAACAAAUGAGUGUAAUGAGUAAAAAAGUGUUUAAAGUAUUUUUUAGAGUACAAAUAGCUCCACCUUAAUAAAUGAGUUCUUGUAAAAAUUGAGAUUAUUGAUAUAAUUAUUAAAUAGGUUGGAUUGAAGUUAGUUUAAUUUUGACAAGAUAAUAAGACGACGCGACACAAAUACAACCAACCAGUCAACCCAAAUUGCAACCUUUUACUAAUAAAAGAUACCUGUUUGAAAAGUAAUUAUAAGCUAUCUUCUUUGUGUUAUUUCUCUAAAAAUUUGCGGCACAAAUAUUAUUUCCAUGGAGAAAAGUACGAAAUACCCGCUUUCACUUCAGCAGAAGCAAAGCAAAGCUAUGAGCCAUCUCUGUAUAAUUGAAACGCCAUUGCUAAACGGUUCUUGAUGAUGGGUGCCACCGUGCCAGCGUUGUCGCUGAUUUGCAUGAUUUAUUAGUUGUUCAGAUGGCGGAUUUUGUACUGUCACUUUCAUUUCAUUCUUGAGAGCCACGUACAAUACUAGGUGGCAUUGAAGUUGCCCCAGUGGUUAGUUUUCUGAUUUUUUUUAAUUCAAAUUUUUAUGUUUUAGAAAAAUGUAAGAAAUAUGUAGAAAUGUUGACAGCUACAAUUUUGAAACUUUGCCUAAAAUUAUUAUCGUUGCUUAUUGUUUCUUAGCUAAAGAGAAAUCCUAGAAACAUGAAAUUAUUAUUCUAUGCUUGUUUUAAUAUUAUACAUUAGCAGGUUAAUUAAAAAUUAGACGUGAAUACAACAAGAGAUAAGUGGAGAGAAUUUGGUAGUCGACCGCAUUUAGAAUUUAAUUUUUCUUUUAGCUGCCGAUCAUUAAAUUUUAUAUUUCAGAAAAUUAUACCUAGAAUAUUUCAAGGAUAUACUACGAAGAUUAUGAAGGUUUGAUUACAUGUCACUAUCAAUUGCCUCAAUCAUUUGUAGUAAAUUAAUUAAUCAUUUUGCUGCAAAUGAUUUCCUAUUAAAAAAUUCAAGUCAGAGCUGAAUUGCACAGUAGUUAGUCGUGCUUGCAAUUCAAAUCAAGUAUUGUAUUUUCUGCCUGAUUUGGUUGAUUCAACUAUGUGCAUUUGCAUAAUGGAGAUGCUUAUGAACGUUGUAGUAUAGAAAUCGAAACGUCUUGUCUUUUGCUAAGCCCAGAAGCAAAGUUCUUUGUAUUAUACUCAUCAGUUUUCUUCGUUCUCUUCGUUGAAAUUUUAUCCAAACAGCGGUUUCUUCGAAUUUUUGCCCUCUCUUACAUUUUUAAAUCUAUCAAAGAACGGUUACCUGAGAAGAUUGCCAUCAGGUAUUUCGAAAUUGAUUUCACUACAAUACCUUAAUCUAUCAGAUUUUAAUCUAUCAGAUGCUCCCGUCACUCAGUUGCCAAAAGUGACAAAAGCCUUAGUAAAUUUUUAGAGUAAAAACUCAUUUAUUCCUUAUAUUUUAAGAUUAGUAUCUAUUUAGUCCUUAUAUUUUGAAAAAUACCUUGAAACAUCACUGCCAUUAAAGUAUUGAUACCCUUACCGUUACUUUUUAUUUAUUUUGGCUUAUUUUUACAAUAUUACCCUUUAAUAAUAAUUUUUUUGUUUAGACAUUAAUAAAAAUAAAAUAAUUAAAUUACCAAUUUAAUCCUAAAAAAUAAAAAUAAAAAUUUAUAUUAAUUUUUAAUUGUAAAAAAUUGUAUGCAAACUACCAAAUGUGCAAACGGUGCUUGCAAAAAAAUUAAUAUAAAUUUUUUAUUUUUAGGGUUAAAUUAGUAAUUUAAUUAUUUUAUUUUUAUUAAUGUCCAAAAAAUUAGUAAUUUAAUUAUUUUCUUUUUAUUAAUGUCCAAAAAUUAUUAUAAAAGGGUAAUAUUAUAAAAGUAAGCUAAAAGAAAUGAAAAGUAACGGUAGGGGUAUCAAUACUUUAACGGUAGGGAUGUUUCGAGGUAUUUUUAAAAAUAUAAAGAGUAAAUGGACACUAAUAUUAAAAUACAGGGACUAAAUAAGUUUUUAUCCUAAAUCUUUAAGUGUUUGAAUUGGAGUACAUAAAUUAUCUCUCUACAAUUCAAAAACAACAGAUUUGUUACUUUUCAACGCUACAGGUUCCGCGAAUAUUCAGUUGUGGUUAUCUUGUUGAAACACCAGAAAAUAGCGUUCUAUUUGGUGGUAAUGAAUUCUUGGUUGGGGAGUUACUUAGUUUAAAACAUUUAAAUGUAUUAAGCAUCGCCUUAAAAGGUUUUUCUACCGUCCAAAAAUUUAUGAGCUCCCAAAAGUUUCAAAGUUGUACAAAAUGUUUGGAGCUUAUAGACAGUGAUGAUUCAAAGUCGUUUGCCAUGGCAGAGUUGAAGCAUCUUGAAAAACUAGGUAUUUCAAAUUGUGGAAAUUUGGAAGAGUUUAAGUUCUGCUGUGUCGAAGUUGGAAAAACUUGAGAAGAUUUUUGUUUGAACAGCCUUCACCAAGUUAAGAGAAAGGCUUGUCAUAAAUUGAGGGAAGUGACAUGGCUUGUGUUUGUACCAAAUCUUAAGGUUAUUCAGAUAGAAAAAUGUAUGGAGAUGGAGGUUGUUGGGAAAGAGACUACCACAAGCAGCUAAAAAUUAAGCGAAUACAAAAUUCUUUCUCUCUUUGUGUGAUUAAAAUAGGAUGUGCACCACAAACAAAUAAGCAGAAAAAUAAACCAAUAAAUGCAAAGCAAAAACCAACCACAAGAGACACCGAUUUUUAAGUAGAAAAUUUAAAUUGGGAAAAAUCACAGGAUAGUAGUCUGAUAUAAACUUCUACUAUAUUAAUGAGAUUACAACACAAAUUCUUCUCCAGAUAAUACUAGAUGCUAACAAUAUUAAAAUUCUCAACAAUCUUAGUUUAUAAUAAUAGAUCUAAAAUCUAUUUCUUCAAUAAGUGAGUAUCUCAAAUAAUAGCUACUGAGAGAAUAAAAUACAGAUCAACACCAGUAGAAAUAUAGAGGGCAAUGUCAGGAACUUACCCUCCAAAUUUAGGACUAAUCAGAGCUAAAAUAACCUUUUGAUUGUUGAAUCAAAGAUUGAAAACCAAAAAAAAAAAAAAUAUCUCUUUCUCUCGCAGUGUCUUCUCACUUUCGCAAAAUGUCUACAGCUCUCGCGAUUCUUUACUUAUUUCCUUAGUUAAUUUCAUCCAAGUCCAAAAUUUUACAAUAAUUACACAUCAAGCAAAUUAUUUUGGACUUUGAACUUUUUGGUCCACUGAAGUGAAAUGGACCUUACAAAUCUCCCCCUCCAUCUCAUCUAAGGGGCACCACCAAGCCCGCUCUCUACUUACAGCUUUCCAGCUUCUCCUUGGGUAAUGACUUUAUCAUCAUAUCUGAUGCAUUCUUCGUUGUGUGAAUUUCUCCAAGCUGCAACUGUUUCUACUCAAGCACGUCUUGUAUCCAAUGAUACUUCAUAUCAAUAUGCUUCGAUUUCAAAUGAUAUGUUGAAUUCUUUGCCAAGUGGAUGACACUUUAACUGUCACAGUACACAACAUAACUAUCUUGAUUAACACCUAGUUCUUGUAGAAAAUUCUUCAUCCACAAGGUUUCUUUGUAACUUUCAGUGAUUGUAAUAUACUCUACUUCUGUAGUAGACAAAGCAACACACUACUAAAGUCUAGACUGCCAUGAAACUGCUCCUCCUACAUAGGUGAGCAAAUAUCUUGAUAGAGACUUUCUAGAAUCAACAUCUCCUGCCAUAUAUGCAUCCGUAUCUACUUGUAAUAUAGGUUUGUCACCACCAAAACAUAAACAUGCCUUGGAAGUGCCUCUGAGAUAUAUGACAAUCUACUUUACUGCUGUCCAGUGUUUUUUACCCAGAUUAGAGGAAAACCAGUUGACUACCAACUGUUGAAGCGUACCUCAAACUACCAACUGUUGAAGCAUAAAAAACUCUUUUUAUCUCUUGCUUCUCUUUCUCACUUAUGGGACAAUGCUUGAAACUAAGCUUGAAAUGACCUGCAAGUGGAAAAUAAACAUAUUUUGCUUUGUCCAUAUUAUAUCUUUUAAGAACUUUUUCAACAUAUGCUUCCUGAGAUAACCAUAAAUUCCCAGUUUUUCUGUCACGAGAAAUCUUCAUGCCAAGAAUUUGUUUCGCCGAUCCCAAGUCCUUCAUUACAAAAGACUUGCUAAGCUCUCUCUUCAAAUUGUCAAUCUUACUAGUAUCCUUGCCAACAAUCAACAUGUCAUCCACAAAAAGUAAAAGAAUAAUAAAAUCAUUAUCACUAAACUUUUUCACAAACAUACAAUGAUCACACAUUGUCUUGCAAAAGCCAUGAUUCUCCAUAAAAGAAUCAAACUUCUUAUACCACUGUCUUGGUGCAUGUUUCAGCCCAUAUAAAGUUUUUUUCAAUUUGUACACAAGUUCUUCUUUACCUUUGACACUGAACUCUUCAGGUUGUUAUAUGUAUAUUUCCUCCUUUAAGUCAUCGUGUAAGAAAGCAGUCUUUACAUUGAAUUGUUCAAUUUCCAAAUCCAAGCUAGCUACUAAUCCCAGAGGUGCUUGCUCAAUUGGUUCUGCUGGACCAUUAUUAUUAUCCUCUCCAGCUCCCCUAUGAUCAUCAUGAACAACAUGUGGAGAAACCGAAGUUGGAAUAAUAAGAAUCUCUGGAGAUGGCUGAGACUUAUCAUUUUUUUUUCAUCACCAACUAUCUAAUUUUUAAGAAACACAACAUCUCUAAUUCUGAUUACUUUUCUUGUCACUGGAUCCCAUAAUCUGUACCCAAAUUCUUCAUGUCCAUAGCUUAAGAAAAUACAUUUCUUGGCUUUAUCAUCAAGUUUUGAUCUCUCAUCUUUAGGGAUAUGAACAUACACUCUGCACUUAAACACCCUCAAGUGUUUAUAAGAAACAUCUUUCCCAAUCCAAACUCUUUUAGGUACAUCGUCAUCUAAUGGAGCUUAAGGAGAAAGAUUAAUCAAAUCAACUACAGUACGCAUAGCCUCCGCUCAGAAGGAUUUAUAAAGCUUGGCAUCAGAAAACAUACAUCUGACUAUCUUUUCAAUUGUUCUGUUCAUUAUUUCUGCAACACCACUCUGCUGAGGGGAUUUUGGUACAGUUUUCUUAAGUUUGAUUCCAUGAGAUCUGCAAUACUGCUCAAAUGGUCCUCUGUACCCACCAUCAUUUUCUGCCCUGACACAUUUCAAUUUUUUUCUUGUCCCUCUCUCAACAUAAGCACGAAAGAAUUUAAACAUAGUAAGCACGAAAGAAUUUAAACAUAUCAAGCACUUAAUCUUUAGAUUUUAAAGCAAAAGUCCAUACUUUUCUAGAACAAUCAUUAAUAAAAGUCAUAAAAUAAAGUGCACCUCCUAUUGAUCUAUUUUGCAUCAUGCAAAUAUCAAUGUGAAUCAAAUCAAGGAUUUGUGACUUUCUAGAUGGAGAAAAGCUUUUAAAAGUUACUUUAUGUGCCUUUCCAGCUAAACACUAAACACAAGUCUUGAGGGACGUACCUACAAAGCUUGGUAGAAAUCCUUUUUUGGCAAGAGUUCCUAACCCUUUCUCACCAAUGUGACCAAGCCUUUUAUGCCAUGUCUCAAUGUCAGAAUUGUUUACAGCCAUAUUCAUAUAUUCUUUCUUGAUUUUGGCUUCUAUUACGUAGAGGGUGUUCAUUUUCUUUCCUUUAGCCAACACUAGAGAGCCUUUGGUGAGCUUUCAUUUUCCUUCACCAAAUUAGUUAGUAUAACUAUCAUCAUCAAUUUUUCUUGUGGAGAUCAAAUUAAGACGAAUAUCUAGUACAUGCAAGCUUUUUUGUGGAGAUCAAAUUAAGGCGAAUAUCUAGUACAUGUCUGACAUCUUUAAGGAGUAGCUUAUAGCCAACACUGGUUUGAAGCAAAUAUCUCCUAUGCCCACAAUCUUGGAUGCCCCCUCAUUUCCCAUCCGAACAUGGUCAUAAUUACCAUUAACAUAGGAUGUGAAGUAAUCAUGAUGUGCAGUUGUUGUGCAAAUUUUAAUGUACUCGCAAGCGCACGAAUCUAUUGUAGUAUAGAUCAAUGGUGACGAGUGUCGAUCCCACGAGGAGGUGGAUUUUAAUUGUGUAUAGAAUUAAUUUUGCAAAUGGUUGAUUGGAUUUGUGGUGGAAAUGAUUUGGAAUAUGCUAAAACUUAAAUUAAAAUGGCGAGAAUAAAUUCUAAAAUUGGAAUUGAAAUUGCGAGAAUAAAGUUGAAGAGAAUUCUAUUGAAAUGACGUACUUGGGUAUCUGGAUCCGUAUCAACAUGCAUCAUGGGCUAAAUAAUGCGUAUUAAUGCCAAUUAAAUCAUGAGGGGGGAAUCCACACCUCAUGAACCACGCUCUAAUCAAUAUGGUGCUAAGGGCUUAUCGUGCCAAAUAAUAAUAACCUUGUACUAGAGAGCCGGUGUAACCAAGGCGGUACUAGACAAGAUUAGUAUUAUUUGUCGACGAGAAGUCAAAACAUCCACAAAAACUAGAGGGGAAGAGAAAAUAAAUUUACCAAAUAAAGCCCAUGACACAUGUUGAGACUUCACCUUCAACCCAAGCUUAAAAGAAAAUUAGCUACUCAUAAUUGAACUAAGGGCAAAAUGGGAAUUUAUUAAAAUACGAAGAAAAUACAAGAUAGAGAGGGAAUUACAGAAAAUGGAUCCCAAAAAUGGAUUCAGAGAUAUCAAAUUAGGGGGGGAGGCCCCCUUUUUAUAGAUACAUGGAGUAAAUCAUGGCAAUCGGAUUAAAAACAGUUUGGACGCUCAGGAUUGCGCCACGUCAUCAGUCAACAGUCCACGGUUUGACCACGCGGAUGAACAGUAAUACGGUUUGACCCAUAUGAACAGUACGCGGUUUGACCCGGAUGAACAGUAACGCGGUUUGGUUGAAAAUAAUCCUGUGUGAUGCAUGCACCGUACGCGAGAUUUUUUGUCCACUGAUAUGCUGCCACGUCACCAUCAACAGUACAUAAGAAUUUUAGUCCAACAGGAUCGUGACACCUCAUCAGUCAAUGCCACAUCAUCGAUCCGUCUAUGUGAGCAGUGCCGUGAACAGUAACAUAUACAGUACCGUAUACGUGAAUAGUACCGUACAUGUGAAUAGUGCUAUUUUUCCUUUUAUGCUCCUCCUAAGGUUUUCGACCGUCCUGAGUUCAAAAGUGAUGUCCGUUUUACCGUCUGAUCUCUCCUUUAUUGUGAAAUCACUAUAAUACCACUAAAAUACAUAAAAUACUUAAUUAAAAUAAAACACAUGUAAUUAAAUCACAAGAAGGUUAAAUACAUAAAAGUAAGGGUUGUUAGUAAGACUUGAAAUGUAAAAUGAUGGUUUUCUCCUUUAUAAAUAUGCAUUUUCUAACACUCAACAGCAGUAACCACGAUGUGCAGUAACAUCAAACGAAGCACCCGAAUCAAUCACCCAAUUACUGGUAUGGCAAGUAAGAUUUAUAGAGCUAUCAUUAUAAGCAAUGCCCAUAUCACCAUUAAUUACGGCUGUAACAUUCUCUUUGUCAUUUUUCUGACCAUCGCCUUUUUCUUUCGCAUGUUCUCUUUUCCACAAUUUACACUACCUUUUUACAUGGCCCAUUUUCUGACAAUGAAAGCACUUAGCUUCUCCUAUGGGACUUAGAUCUUCCUCCAGGGUUAUCAUUAUUCUGAUGACGGAAAUUUCUGCUUCGACUUCUCCCCCGUCUUUUUUGGUUUUCUGAAACAAGUGUAGCUGACUCAGAGGGAACUACUUCAGCAUUCUUUCUUCGAGAUUCUUCAUUCCGCAGUCUAUCUGUAACCAUAUCCAAGUUUAAUUUACCAUUCGGUGCCGAAUUAUUCACUGACACCACUAAUGUCUCCCAACUAUCAGGUAAAGAACUAAGCAACAACAAUGCUUGUAACUCGUCAUCUAGAAUAAUCUUCAUAGUAGUCAACUGAUCAACCAAACCCUGAAACUCACUAGUGUGUUCAGUAAUACUGUGGCCUUUUUUAUAUUUCAAGUUAACAAGCCUUUUCAUUAGAUUGACUUUAUUUUGUGCUGUUGGCUGCUCAUAAAUUAUUUCUAAUUUUCUCCAAAGAACAUCAGCCUUGGAUUCCUUCGCGACAUGAUGGUACACACUCUGAUCAAUCCAUGACCUAAUAGUGCCCACGGCUUUCUGGUUCAAUUGAGCCCAUUUCUUAUCAUCUAUAUCAACAAGUUUAACUUCAUCACCUUCAAUAGGUUCAUGUAAGUCUUUCAUGUAGAGCAAAUCUUUCAUUCUAGACUUCCAAAUAUCAUAAUUCCACGACUCAAUUUAAUCAUGAACGCCAAAGACUCCUCUAUUUCAACCACAUAAGUAAUAAAAACACACAACCUGGCUCUGAUACCACUCUAUUGGGAAAACGACUACCACAAACAGCUACAAAUUAAGCGAAAAUAAAAUUCUUUUCCUCUUUGUGUGAUUAAAAUAGGAUGUGCACCAUAAACAAAUAAGCAGAAAAAUUAAUCAAUAAAUUCAAAGCAAAAAUCAACCACAAGAGACACCGAUUUUAACGUGGAAAAUUCAAAUCGGGAAAAACCAUGGGACAAUAGUCCGAUAUAAAUUUCCACUAUAUUAAUGGGAUUACAGUACAAAUUCUUCUCCAGAUAACACUAGAGGUUAACAACAUCAAGAUUUUCAACAAUCUUGGCUUACAAUAAUAGAUCUAAAAUCUAUUUCUUCAAUAAGUGAGUAUCUCCAAUAACAGCUAAUGAGAGAAUAAAAUAUAGAUCAACACGAGUAGAAAUGUAAAGGGCGAUGUCAGGAACUUAUCCUCCAAAUUUGGGAGAAAUCAAAGCUAAAAUUAUUUUUCGAUCGUUGAAUCAAAGAUUGAAAACCCAAAGAAAAAAAAUAUCUUUUUCUCUCGCAACGUCUUCUCACUUGCGCGAAAUGGCUACAUCUCUCGCGAUUAUUCACUUAUUUCCUUUAUAUUUUUUUUGGUUAAUUUCAUCCAAGUCUAAAAUUUUACAAUAAUUACACAUCAAGCAAAUUAUUUUGGACUUUGGGCUUUUGGUCCACUGAAGUGAGAUGGACCCUACAGAAGCAAUAAUCAGUGCAAGAAAAUUAAGUGAAGUUCCAGAGAUGAUGGCAGAUCUAAACCCUUUUGUAAAACUCCAAUAUCUUGGCCUCCGAAUUCUACCAAAAUUAAAAAAGCGUCUAUUGGAAUGUGUUGCCCUCUCCACAUGUCAGGGAAAUUUUUGUAUCUGAAUGCCCAAUUCUCAUUAGAGGAGAGGAACACUGGUGGAAUAAGUUGCAAUGGGAGGAUGAAGCAACCUAUAAUGCUUUUCUUCCUUGUUUUGGAUCCAUUUGAUGGGCAUCAACAUGGAUUAAUAUUUUGCAGCGAACCAAUUUGAAUAAAACUUACGGUAAGUGCUUUUCCAUUUAUUGCAUAUUUAUAUCUAAUUUUUGUUUUCCUUUAUGGUUAAAUUUUGCCCUGUAUAUGUUGUUGUACGGUGACAUUCUUGAAUCAAUUAUUAAUUUUUUUAAUUCUCGUCUCACAACCACCCUUUUGAUCAUGAGGAUAUGCCGAUAUCAAAGAGUCAUAAUUUGGGAUACAAAUGUAAGAAUUAGGCAGAUGACAUGUUGUUUCAAAGCUUUCGAAGAAGGACUAAAUAUGUCAUUGAAAGCCUCCAAUUUUGCGACUGAUUUUUUUUUAAUUUGUUAUUUUUAUAGGUGGCAAAAAUACCCGUCUGAUUUGGACUCGGCUGAUUUGGGCCGGGUACGGAGUAUGAAGCCGGGUUGGUCCUGGGCAUCACUUGAAACUCGGAACCUGGAUUUUAUUAAAAAAUAUUAUAAAUAUAUAUUAUUUUAAAUAUCUAUAUUUAUUAGACUCAUCUAUUACAUAUAUCUAAUUUCAUUGAAAUAAAUUUAAAAAUUAUAAAAUUACCAAUAUAUAUAUAUAUAUAUAAUAUUAAAAAAGUAUAAAAUCUGAGUCCUCAGAUUAAAACCCAGUUCAAGUGUCUAAAAAAUACAUGUGGACCGAGUUUGAACAUUGCGAUACCCAGACCCAAACUUGGGUUUUGCCAACCCUAGUCUUUUAAAUUGCUUGAUUGUAAUGUUUUAGUAUAGAAAAAUGAUAGCCAAGACAACAAUAAGAGGGCACAUUGUGCAUGCACAAUAGUGGAUAAUUUCGGCAUUCCAAAUCCAAUUAGGGUGGAUAACCUUUUAUUAGUAUUAACCUUCUCUCGUAUUCAAGUAAUGUAAAAUAUGCUUAGAAGCUGUGGAUCCCCCUUUAUAAGUGUUGGGCUUAUGCCAAACUCGAUUGAUGUGGGAUGCCUUUAUAGGCAUCAAGUUUUCUCCCAUACACUUUAUGUUAAAAAUAAUAAUGAUAAAAUAAAUCCAUUUUAAAAUAGACUUCUUUUUCUUUUCUAUAUAAACAAACUCAUUCUUCAAAUCAGUUGUGGGUGGAAGGAGUGAGUAGAGAAGAACUGGGCCCCUUUCGUUCCUCUAAAAACCUCACCAAACCUCUCUUGUAAGCUUCUCAGUGUCCCUCUCAAUAUUUCUUAUGAUCUCGUUUUUUAUUGAAUCACUUCUUUUGUGUGCUGCAUUUUUGUGUGUCGUAUUUGGGUUUAUCUUAUCUGGAAUCCUGUUAUGAUUGAUGGAACAAGUAAUCGAUUUUUGGUUUAUUUGGAAUGGAAUUAUGGUUUAUUUGGAAUGGAAUUAUCUGGGUGUAACGGAUUAAAUUAUGACAUUGGGGAGAAGGCACUAAGGGGUUUGCUUGACACAUUUGGUUCUGUGUUUACUCUGAAAGAAAUAGCUUUUGCUUAUCGUAAUGCAAGGCGAAAUCCCGAUUUGGGUGGUGAAUUUCUCUAUCCCAAUUGGGCUGGUGAAUUUCUCUGUGACAAAUAGGCAAACAGCUCAACCUCUUUUAUCUAUCUUCUACUAGUGAGGCAAGGGAUAAAAAGUCUUCAAAAUCAUCAAAUAGUAACAUCUUCGAGAAUUCAUUUUAUGCAAAUGGAAAAUCUAGACCUUCUAAGACAAAAUGGCGUCCAGUAUCAAGAGGUACCGUUUCAAGUUUUCUUGGUAAAAAUUAUGUAAACUUGCACAGCCAGCUAAUGGCACUUUUCUAGUUUUCUGGCAUCAAAGCCAUUGAAGUCGUAUCCAAAGGAGUUUCCCAUGUCUGCACUUUGUGGAGAAGGAACUAAACAAAAACAAUCAAAGGAUGACCAUUUGCAGAAGGAUGUGGAAGAUUUUCUGUUUAAAUUGCUAGGAGAAGUGUUCCAGCUGAAUAGGGAUGUGAUUCGGGAAGUUCCAGUAAUGUCUUAAAUAUGUUGAUGCCAAUUUAAUAUAUAUUGUCAUUUUCAAUGUUCUUUCUUUCUUUCUUUAUCUUCUUUUCUUCUACUUCUUCUUCUUUUUCUUUUCGUGUGCAUGUGAUCACUAAUUUGUUAUUAUACUUAACUUGCAGGUAGUUGUGGAUAUGAUAUGCAAAAGGUAAGGACUAUAUCUUCCUGAUAGAGGCCUCUGCUUUUUCCCUUUUAUGUAAUUUAGUAAAUCUCAUCUCCCUUUGUGAUUGUUAUAUCAUAUCAAAGUCAAGUCUUAAAUACUGCUGUCAUAUGUUAAGGUUCAACUUGCAUUUUGACUAACAUCCAUUUGUUGUCGCUUCCAAAAGUGAGAAUGAGAUACUUCGGUUAAUUUCAGUAGUUGAACCCAAUCGAGUACUUUAUCUAGAUCUUCAUGGUUCAAAGGCCUGAAACUUGCCCGUGAUUGUAAAAUGAUAUUAUGUGCUUUUAAUGCAAUAGGGGGAACAAGGUGUCAAAGGAAUUAGCAGAUUCUAUGGCAGAUUCUAUGCCUGUACAACUGUAACAAUUAUCCUUAUGAUUGUAAAUCUUAUAUGUUUUCCUUAUUUAGGAUAUACUAGCUGUAGGCUAUUUUAGAUAGUUAUGUAUAUGAUAGUUUAGCUAUGUUUAGGGCUAAACAUAAGCUUGUAUUCAUAGUAUAUAAAGGGAAUUCUCUUCUAAGAGAAAGCAUAACUUUUGCUCAAAAUUCUCUGAGUUUAUCAUGGUAUCAGAGCCUCAGUUCUGAAUUCUCUUCUUCCUAGUUCAUUCCCUUGUUCUUAGUUAUUCUUUUUUUUAUCAAGUUAUCUCAGCCUCAUGUCUUCAGACAAGUAUGAUGCUUUUUUGAUCCGUUUUAAUGGCACAAACUACUCAGCCUGGGCAUUUCAUUUCGAGAUAUUUGUCAAAGGCAAAGAUCUAUGGGGACAAGUUGAUGGCAGGAAACCUGCCCCUGAUAAAGAGAUAGACCAGGAUGGGUACGCCAAGUGGGAAGUCAAGGAUGCUCAAAUCAUGGCAUGGAUUCUAGGAUCUGUGGAAUCCAACUUCAUCUUGAAUCUUCGACCCUUCAAGACUGCAGCAGGAAUGUGGAAUCAUCUAAAGAAACUCUACAGUCACACCAACACUGCUCGUUGAUUUCAGCUUGAACAUGAGCUAGCCAAUCUCCAACAAGGCAGUCUCUCUAUUUCUGAUUUUUAUUCUAUCUUUAUGAUUAUUUGGGCUGAAUAUACUGAUAUAAUCUAUGCUACCUUACCUCCGAAGGUCUUAGUUUUGUUCAAUCUGUACAUGAAACUACUAAGAGAGAUCAAUUUAUGAUAAAACUGAUAUAUGAAUUUGAAAGCACUAGGUCCAAUCUUAUGAAUUGAGAAUCUGUCCCUUCCUUGGAUACAUGCCUCAAUGACUUAUUUCAUGAGGAGCAACGACUUCUUACUCAAAAUACCAUGAAACAAAAAAAAUCUACUUCUGUUCCUAUGGCUUAUGCAGCUCAAGGCAAGCCAAAAGGUAAGGACAUCAGUAUAGUUCAAUGUUUUUGUUGCAAAGGAUUUGGACAUUACGCUUCAAAUUGUUCAAAAAAAUUAUGCAACUAUUGCAAAAAAGAUGGACAUAUCAUUAAGGAAUGCCUUACUCGACCCCCCAAGAAAUCUGAAACAACAUAUGCUACCUCAGUUGGUUCUUCUAGUGAUGGUAGUUCUGUGGAUACAGCACAUUUGACCCAAAGUGCUCCUGUUCCUGUUCAAUCUGUGACCCCAUAAAUGAUUCAACAAAUGAUCAUUAUUGUAUUCUCCUCAUUAGGACUCUCAGGUAAAUCACCCACUAGAUCUCCUUGGUACUUUGAUUCUGGGGCUUCCCAUCACAUGACAAACAAUGCUAAAUUCUUCACCAAUGUAAGUAAAUACCUUAGAAAUCUAAAAAUUCAUACAGCUGAUGGCAACUCUUUACCUAUCACAGCCACUAGUGAUGUUUCUUUUUCUAUAACCAAUGUCUUUGUCUCUCCUGGUCUUCCUACUAAUCUUGUUUCAAUCGGUCAGUUAGUUGACAAUAAUUGUAAAGUAGAAUUCUCUAAAUCUAGUUGUGUUGUGCAGGAUCAGCAGUCAGGGAAGAUGAUUGCCAGGGGGCCUAAAAUAUGACGUCUUUUCCCUCUCCAAUUUGCUAAGUCUCCAUGUUUCUCUUUGCCUAUCAUCACUUGCAAUUUUACUAAGGUUAAUUAUCGAGCAUGGCAUAAACGUCUAGGACACCUAAACUCUAAUGUAUUUUAUGCUUUGCUAAAUUCUGGUUUACUUGGGAAUAAAAGAUCACCAUCCCUUAGUGUUGUUCAAUUUGAUUGCAAUUCUUGCAAGCUUGGAAAAAGUAAAAUUCUGCCAUUUCCCACUCACACACCGAAUGUUGUCCAGCCUUUUGAUUUGAUACAUAGUGAUGUGUGGGGUAUGGCGCCUGUUACAUCUCAUGCUAAUUACAAGUACUUUGUCACUUUUAUUGAUGACUAUAGUCGCUUCACAUGGAUUUAUUUUCUACAUUCUAAAGAUGAAGUGUUCUCUGUUUUCAAGCUUUUUCAUGCAUAUAUUCAGACCCAAUUUUCUACUAAUAUCAAAAUUCUUUGCUUUGAUAAUGGGGGUGAGUAUAUGUCUCAUUUAUUUUAAGAAUUUUUGCACACCAAUGGUAUAAUUUCUCAAAGAUCUUGUCCUUCAACCCCUCAACAAAAUGGGGUGGCUGAAAGAAAGAACUAUCACCUUCUCGAUGUUGUCUUCAUUUGUACCCUCUCGUUUUUGGUGUGAAGCUUUCUCCACUGUUGUCUAUCUCAUCAACAGAUUGUCCUCUCAUUCCUUGAACCAUGUCUCCCAUUUCUUUCAGUUAUUUGGCCAUACACUAAGUUACUCUCAUCUCCAUACCUUCAGUUGUGUGUGCUAUGUUCAUCUUCCUCCAUAUGAGCGUACAAAACUCACAGCCCAAGCUGUGAAAUGUGCUUUUCUAGGAUAUUUUAUGCACUAAAAAUGUUUUCUUUGUUAUGAUCCAAAUUUGCAUCAUAUAAGGGUUUCUCGAAAUGUGAUUUUCUUUGAAAAUCAGUAUUUCUUUUCCGCAUACCACGACGAUUCUUCGCCUUCAUUUUCUGUUUUGCCAAAGUUUACUAACCCUUCUGCAGAUUCUGCACCUUCUAAACCUAUCAUAGUCUAUCAGCGACGCAAGAAUUUAGUACCUCUCGGGCCCCCUCCAGCAACUUCCCUGAAUGUUGAUCCAGUUCCAGCAACUGCACCUGAACCUUUCAGACAUAGUACUCGGGUUCGUAGACCACCAGAUAGGUAUGGUUUCACCUCUCCAUUAUUUUUGACAGCCACUUUGUCUUCUAUUCUUAUUCCUUCAUCAUAUAAACAGGCAAUAGAGCAUGAAUUUUGGUGAAAAUCUAUUGAAUCAGAACUUCUUGCACUUGAAGAAAACCAAACUUGGGAUAUUGUUUCAUGUCCUCCAUCCGUGAAACCCCUUAGUAGUAAGCUAGUGUUUUCUAUCAAGCUGCGUUUUAAUGAAUCCAUAGAUCGUUACAAGGCUCGGUUGGUGGUUCUUGGCAACAAGCAAGAAUAUGGCCUAGACUACGAUGAGACCUUCGCGCCGGUAGCCAAAAUGACCACUGUUCGAACAAUAUUAGCCCUUGCUGCAUCACAAUCAUGUUCUUUACAUUAAAUGGAUGUAAAGAACGCUUUCCUACAUAGUGAUCUCAAGGAGGAAAUUUACAUGAAACUUCCCCACGGUAUGACUACUUCCUCUCCUAAUGAUGUUUGCAAACUAAAAUGUUCGUUGUAUGGGUUGAAGCAAGCACCGCGAGUAUGGUUUGAGAAGUUUCGAUCAACUCUUUUCAGUUUUUCAUUCACUCAAAGUCAGUAUGACUCCUCCUUUUUUUUUUCCAACAGACAUCUAAGGGCAUCAUUGUUCUCCUUAUUUAUGUGGAUGACAUCGUUAUCACUGGUUCUGAUAUGGAGGCAAUUUCUAAACUUCAGAAUUUGUUGCACUCUAUUUUUCACAUGAAAGACCUCGGUCAACUCACCUAUUUUUUGGGGUUAGAGGUGCAUUAUCUGCCUCAAGGUAUCUUCUUGAAUCAACACAAGUAUAUUCAGGAUUUAAUUUAAUUAGCUGGACUUAUGGACAAAAAUUCUGUUGACACCCCAGUGGAACUUAAUGUGAAAUAUCGACAAGACGAAAGGGAACUACUUCAAGAUCCUACUUAUCUAUCUAACUAUCACCCGCCCAGACAUCUCUUAUGCUGUCCACACCGUUAGCAAGUUCAUGCAAGCCCUUCGACAUCUCCACGUAUCCACAGUCCGCCGCAUCAUUAGAUAUAUUCUUGGCACUCUUAACUGCAGUUUAUUCUUCCCUACUGGUUCUUCACUCCAACUACAAGCCUACAAUGACGCAGAUUGGGCUAGCUGCCCGGACACGAGAAAAUCUACUUUGGGAUGGUGCAUGUUUCUUGGUGAUGCCCUUAGCUCUUGGAAAUGCAAAAAGCAAGACUCAGUCUCCAAAUAAUCCACUGAGGCAGAAUACCGCGCCAUGUCUGUAGCCUGCUCCAAGAUCAUUUGGUCGCGUGGUCUCUUAACAGAGCUUGGUUUCUCACAACAUCAACCUACUCCCCUACAUGCUGACAACACAAGUGCCAUCCAAAUUGUAGCCAACCCUGUCUACCAUGAGCGCAUGAAACACAUAGAGGUUGACUGCCACUCUAUUCGAGAGGCCUAUGACCACCAAGUUAUCACCCUCCUGCAUAUCUCCACUACUCUACUGAUUACGAAUAUCUUCACCAAAUCCAUGACAUGUCAGCGACAUAACGUUCUUGUUAGCAAAUUGAUGCUUGUAGAUUUACCAGCAUCAAUUUGAGGGGGGAUGUCAAAGGAAUUAGUAGAUCUUAUGGCAAAUUCUAUGCCUGUACAGCUGUAACAAUUAUCUUUAUGGUUGUAAAUCUUAUAUUUUUUCCUUAUUUAAGAUAUACUAGCUGUAGGCUAUUUUAGAUAGUUAUGUAUAUGGUAGUUUAGCCAUGUUUAUGGCUAAACAUAAGCUCGUAUUCAUAGUAUAUAAAGGGAAUUCUCCUCCAAGAGAAAGCAUAUGAAAGAAACUUAGUUCUAUAUUGUUUGGUAGGCUAGAAAAUGAAAGAAAAUAAAAGAAAAGCUUUGCAAAGAAAACUGUUAGAUCCUUUUAUUAUACCAAACUUACAGUUUAAUGACUAAAAAUUGAUAUUUAUAUUGAGCUACAAACUCUUCACACACACACACGAGAUUGUUGCAACACAUAACCAAUUGCUGUAUAACUAACUUGACACAUCAGCUCAACCAGCUAACUAACUUUGACAGGUCAGCUUAAUGAUUUGAUCUGAUACAACCAGCUACACAGCAACAUCAUGCUCUGCUCCAGCUUCAUCUAAUUCACUAACAACUUUUGCUCAAAAUUCUCUUAGUUUAUCACAGGGAAGUAUAGCUUUGGAAAAGGCCGGAUCAAUAACUAUGGAGAGAUUUAUAAGUGAUAAAAAUUCCCGUAACCCGCUGUCAAGAAAAUUUCACAUAGUUAAAGACGCCAUUUUGUUUCAGCCAAAAAUGUUUGUUUAAUCUGCCAAAAAUGUUUGUUUCGAUUAAAGACUUGAACCGUUUUCAUUUAACCUGAUUGUGAUGCUUUAUGUUAUGUAUGUUCCUCUCAAUCAAGAAAAGUUGAGGUUCAUGAUUUUAUAUUUCUAUCUUGUAACUUGCAAUAAUAACUGGUCUUCUUGUUUUUGUAGCUUGAUAACAUGAAUUUUCCUUCUCAAGUUAAUUUGAUCAAUAAAGUAAUUCUUCAAAGAAAAUAUGCCCAUUCUAUAAUCAUUUUCUUAGCUAAUAUGUUUUUUUUUUGUUUACUCUUCAGAGUGUGUCGAAACUAAUUGAUUGCUCGGCAGAGACUUUGGGUGACAAGUCAAAAUUUCAUGGUAAAUCCUCUGAAAAGGUAUGCAUAAUUCCUGAAUAUUAAAUAACCAAUGGUCAUAGUUUUUGUACACGACUCUUUUUGUGGAGAUCGUUAAAAGUGGUUGAUGAUCCAUUUGUAAUUUCAUAGAGGGAUCAUCAAUUCCUUUUCUUUUCUGUGGCUAGGCAUCACUUUCGUGCCAAAGUAAGGAAAUCUAUUUUAGGUAAUGUAAAAAACAAUGGUAGGAUGUAAUAGCUUAUUAUGCACUGACAAUAACUUUUUGUAUAAUUGUCAGUUUAAGGAAUACAAGAGGAACUCUGUUGACAAAUUCAUCCAAGAUAGAUGCUAAAAUUAUUUAUGCAUGCCAGUUGCCUUAACUAAUUUUUCUUAACACUUGUAUUGAACAGGAAAUGAGUAUGCAAUUUGUGUACGUGCCAUUGUGGAGAAUUUGGAUAUUCUUAUUUAAGUAAGAAGAAGAGUAUUUGCCUCAUCUUUAAACAAUGAAUCUUUGAGAAAUGAGGAGUGGGUGAUUGGAAGUGUCUUCAUGUAAAUGUUCAUUUACUUGUAUUUUGAACUAUUAUGAGAAUCUUUUAUAUGCCAAAUUAGUAAUACAAAUGUUCAGAUGAUUUUUCCUGUUGAUCACGCGUUUGUGUCUGCAGACAACCAUUGUAUAUCACUUUAUUCUGAUGUGCAAUUAUGUAUAGAUUAGAAGAAAAGAAAUAAUAGUCUUAUAUUAUUGUUUGGUUCAUGAUUAUUAAACGAUUAUGGCUUCAAAAAAUCUACAAAUUCCUUCUGUUCAUAUAUGAAUGUGCCAAGUUUGCUAUAUCUUAGAUUGCCUUCUUCCAAGAUAACAAGUUCAUAUGUUUUUUAAUCCUCUUCAAUCACAGUUGAAUUUUAAGUGUUAAGAUUUGUUAUUAAUACCUGGUUCCCUGUUAUUAUGAUUUUUAUUAUGAUUUCAUAAACAGUGUACGGACAUGUGCUCUACUUUUAAAGGGCCUCCACGUGAAAGAAAAUUGCAACAAUUGAAUUCUUCCGGAGGGUAUGGCAUUUAAUUUAUUUUCUCAACUUCUUGUAAGACUAAUAUAUUUCCUUCAGUAGGCAGGGCAUGUUGGGAAGGGCUUUUAUUGAAAGAAUUCUGAUAUUUCUUAGACUUUGUUUUGGAAGGGAGGUGGAGGGAUUUCUCAUCCAUAUAUGGUUACUUGAUUAGCUUUUGACUGUAUUGCCUCAGUCGUGCAAAGGAAGAUCCAAAUACUAAUGAAUGAGAAUUGGUUAGAGACCCAAAAGACAGAAAUGAACUACAGAAGGAAGUUUUUGCUGCUUUAUUUAGUGUUCCUGAGAACUCUGAUGAAGAUGGAGUGGAGGUCCAAAGCAUUAAGAAAGGUGGUGAGUGAACCGCCAGAGGAAUUGGUACCAGAAUACAAAGCUAAUGUGGUGCAUUUGCAGCAAGAUAACCAGACUAGUAUGUGCUCUUGUAUUAACUAUAUUGACUGGAUUUGUGAGCAUGUUCAUUUUUGUGUGUAUAAUCACUUUUGUAUUUAUGCAUAUUAAUGUUAGUAGGAUUCUUGAUUUCCUCCACUUACUGGAGAACUAGUGGAAAGCUUUAUAGUGAAAUAUCUGCAAUAACUAAUGGAAACCAUGAUUUGAAUAUUUUCUCUCACCUGGAGAGCUUUGUAACAGAUGUACUUUGUGGCUAUGGAAUACUAGAGAUUCUGCAAUAACUAAUGGAAACUCUGAUAUGAAUAUUUUCUCUCACCUGCAGAACUUUGUAACAGAUACACUUUGUGGCUCUGGAAUGUCUAAAGAUUUUGUCUGCUUCAGUUAGAUCAAAUAUCUUUUAGUUACCUACAUUAUGGAAAAGAUAGAGUUCUCUGAAUCUGAAAGACUGAAACAUUUUGCAUAUUUCGUGAAAGGAAAAUAUCUGUAGAUACUAGUUCAUGCAUUGAGGUAACAUCAAUGUUAAAGAAAAACAGCAAUAACUUAUUAUAUAGAAUUAGGUUCACUUGCUUUAAAUGCUGGUCUGGUCAACCAUAUGAACCUGUAAGUGUAUCUGCAGAAAUAUAUAUGGGGGGACAAACUAGCUAAAUUUUCCUCUCAUUUCUGGCUUUGGUCAUUUUUUCCCCUUAUUUUUCAGCUUUCCUUCUCCUGAAGUAUGUUAACAAUUGCAGAUAAUGACGAAGAGGACAGCUUGCAGGCUCUUCGUGGAGCUGUGAUGGAAUAUAGGGGCACAAUGAAAGAACAUUUUAAAGCUGUAGGUUCUUUUUCUCCUGUCAUUUAUAUUUGCUCACACAUUUUUCAUAUGCUCCAAGCAUGCAAGUUUGUAUGUGUCUUUGCCUUUUAAGUUUUAAAAACCAUAAGGUAAGAAUACAGUUCCUCGUCAGGUUAUUGAUGCAUUCACUCCGGAGGAUCAUGUUCGAGCAGGAAAACUUCUAGAACAGGCAAGGUUUUCCAUCUACAGCCAUCUAUUGACAACAGAUACAUUUUCAUUCAGCAGACACUGUUAGCAUUCAAGAUGCUGGCAGAUUCACUUGAUUCUUAUUAGUUUGUUUAGUGGUAAAGCAUAUAACCUGUUUUUCAAAGCCAAGUUGUGCUAUUGAUUAUGUUAACUUUAUUGUUCACAUAAAGUGAUAUGGAGGAAAUAAUCAUUGUAGGAAAAUUAGGUGAAGAGGUGAUGUCAAAUCUUGAACCUGUUACAAAACUCCAAGUUCUUUACUUGAAGAAGCUACCAAAUUUGAACAGGGUCCACUGGAAGGCCUUGCCAUUCCCUGAUGCCUGCAGAAUUUUUGUAUUUAAAUGCCCAGAGCUUAAGAAGCUGCCACCGGAUCUUGAAAGGGCAGGCCAAGGUAAAAUUCUUAUCAAGGGAAAGGAAGAUUGGUGGAAACAACUUCAAUCGGAGGAUCAAGUAACUCAGAAUGCAUUGCUUCUAUUUUUAAAAUCAACUGACAAGUGAUUGAAGGGGGCAUCAUCAACAUCAUCAACAUGGAUGGAGAGAUUCAGGAGCAGAUCCGCAGGGUUUAUUACGACCUGUGGUGGUUGCUUUUUUGUGACUUGUUCCCUUUCAUUUUUUCACUUCCUGUCAUAUUAUCAUUUCUUUGUCUCUGUUUCUAUUGCUGAUGUUGCUGCAUGCUUGCAGCCCUUGACAAAGUUAGCAAUGCAAUAUAGAUUUUGAAAUUAAAUUUUGUAUGUUCGGGACAGUCACAAAGUACUACUUGUUCUAUAUGGGGGUGAUGUGAAUCAACUUUUCAAUUAUAUAUUCUGUGGUAAUUGUGAAUUCAAUUUCAUUUGUCUCCUGCAAAUUAUGAAGAAAGUGCAGAGUUAGAAUAUCGAAAAGUUCACUGGCAAAUACUUUGUAAAAGCUUCGGAGUGAAACAGGGAAUGCACUUGCAACUAAGGACAAAUUGGUGGCCAGCUAAUGCAUUCAUUUUAUGUACAUUCAUCUUUUUAAUUAUUGAAGAUAAGUGGUUCGUUGCUUUUGUUGUAGAAAAAAUUCAGACGACCUCAAUUGUGAGAUGAAAAUAUUUAAAAUAUCUCUUAAAUUAUUAUAAACUUUAAUUUAUCUUAAUUUUAUUUAAAAGAUAAAAGAAAAAUGUGGUAUAUGGGUAAAAAUUUUUUUAUCUUGUUAAUAAAAUGAAAUAAAUUAAAAUUUACAAUAAUUUAAAGUAUUUUAAAAUUAUUAUUUCAUAAGAGAUUAAUAUGAAAUUAAUCCUUUUUACUUUUUGAAUGUGAAAGGACAAGAAAAGAGAAAGCUAGUGUCACUGCUUUUUAUUUUAUUUGAAAUCGGAGUUAUCCCAUAUACUUUACUACUUUAGCUCUAACAUUACAAUGUUUUUAGGCUACACUUUUAUUUUUCUUUUUCCCCCUUUUUUUAUACAUGCAUGUGGAUUACUUUUCUCUAAGCUCCUUAAUAUUUAAGACAAAUCAUAAAAGCAAUUGAAGCAUAACAAGAUGAUCAAAACAUUUAACCGAAAAAAAAAGAAAUAAAACAUUGAAAAUGGAGAUGUUGAUUAAUUUAGAAGAGAUGCAAGCAAAAAAUAUUCCCAAAAAAAAAAAAAAAAAAAGCAACGUUAGUUCAUCCAUGUCUGUCAAUGCGUUUUUUAUGGUUUUUUUUUUCCAGUUGUUUGUUGUAAUAGAUUAAUUGUAAAUUGAUAUAAACUUGAUGUUGUAAUAUGUUCGCUUUUGUGGAAAUAAAUUUCAAUAUUCAAGAUUAUUCAAGUCUUAUCUAGUAUGUGUUCGGUUGUGUUGUCGAUAAUUUUACAUUCUAAUAAGUUUUCACCUAAAAUAUUAGCAUGAGUAGUAGUCCUUAAACCUUUGGUCAAAAUUAUUGUUAUUGUUUCUUUUAGAGGAAAUUUUUUUAUUAAAGCCUCGUUAACACUAUUCCUUAUUAAGAUUAUAAGUUAGUGUCGGUGCAGGAUUUGCAGCGACAAAUCUUGUCUAGCCACGUGUCAAAAUACAAAUAAAUCAAGGGAAAGCACAUGACAUGGAUUAGGAUCCAAUAAAAUUUAAAUCCCAAGGAAAAGGACAACUGUAUCCUAAAGUUUCAAUAAGAGAUACUGGGAUAUCUUUUGACUAAUGUUAUUUUUUGGCUUUAUUAAUAAAAAGAUCCAAUAGUUUAUAACAAAUAAAAAUAUAGUAUUAAGCUAAAUGUGAUAAUUUACACAUUUUACAUAAUUUCAAUAAAAAUUUUUUUAAUGUUUUACAAUCUAUCAGACAUAUUUUAUUAAAUUAAUAAGAAUUUUCUUAUAAAUAGCAACAUAAUAUUAAAAUAAAUUUAUAAAAAUUUAAAUGUAAAAUAAUUUUAGUAUAAUUAAUACGCGGGAUAUAUUUUGUAAAUUAUAAAAUUACUUAACCCAAUGAUUUUUAAAAAUCUUUAAAAUAAAUAAAAAUAAAUUAUUCACAUUUUGAUGUAAAUAUUUAAAACAUUUUUAUACAUUAGUCCACAAUUAUUUAUGUUAUAUUUGUAUUUAUUAGAAAUUUUGAAAGUCAAAUGUUUUUUACCUCUAUGUUAUUAGAAUUAUUGCACACAGAGAAAGAGCCAUAUAUGCUUUAUAACUUUAAAAUCGAUUUGUUUUAUAGCUGGGAAUAGAGAUGAUCAUUAUUAUAAGGAUUUUUUAAAAAAAGAUAAAGAAUAUUAAUGAUUAGCGAAAUCUCUAUGGAAAUUGAAUUUAGUAAGAAAAAAUUGAGCUGAUUUUAGUGGUAUAGUAAUAUUUUAUAUAGAGAAAAGUAAAAGCUGCACCCAAGGUUAAGGGAAAUGGUCAAAAUUCUUUUUUAAUCAUAAUACCCUUUUUCCUAGAUAAUUUAAAAAUUUUACUCUAAUAGUUUAUAAUAAAUAAAAACAUAUAAUCCUAAAAUAAAUAAAAUGAUAUAUAUUUUAAAAUAAUCUCAAUAUUUAAAAUAUAUUUUAACAUUUUAUAAUCUAUUAGAUAUAUUUUAUUAUAUUAAAGUAAAUUUUAUAAUAAAUACAAAACAUACUAUUAAAAUAGAUAUAAAAAUUUUAAAGUAUUUUGAAUAUUAUAUAAAAUAACUUUAAUAUUGUUAAUGCAUGAGAUGCAUUUUAUUAAUUAAAAAUUCUAUGUAACCCAAAGAUUUAUUUAUAAUAAAUUAAUAAUCAUAUUUUUGAAAUUAUUUUAAAUAUUAAAAAAUAUUUUAAUAUUACUAACUAUUAGAUAGACUAAACUAUUUAUUUUAUUUUCUAUUUAUUAUAAAAUUUCAAAGUUAAUCUUUUUAACUACUAUUCAAAAGAUGUUAUGAUAAAAACAGAAUUUUUGUGUUUUUAUUGAAAAUUUGGAGUUUACAUCUAUUUUUUCAAAUAUUCAGGGUGUAACUGUUUUUUCCCUUUUAUAUAUACGAACGGUGGUGAGAAAGUUUGAUUUAACGUUAUUUAUUUAAAUAAAAUCUCAGUUAAAAAUGUACAGAGAAGAAAUUUCGGUUGGUAUUUUAGUCUUGGUAAUCUCUAUAUUAUAUGCAUAUAAGAUACAUCAUUCUCACAUGAAUAGUAUAUGUGUGAGAUCCAUAUAUUAUUCAUGUGAGGGAGAUGUAUCUUAAUAAGAUAGAGGGAUCCGUUAGUCUUUUACCAAUCAUCACGAUUAGGCCUUGGCCUUGAAACAUUAAUUGUUUCACUUUUAGCGCUAGUGGCGUUGAAAGUUGUCAAGAAAAAGCAAGACCAUAUUCCACAAAAGCAAAAGUAACGUAGGCUCUUUUAUUAAAGGCAAAGUAUAAAGUAGUCAAGAAUCGAAUAUCCUGUCGUCUACUCUUUUUUAAAUUCUUCUUUUAUUAUCGUUUAGAAUAGUUUUUGGUAAUUACAAUCAUUAUUCAGAGUUAUUGUUAUCUUCCGGGGCAGUCUCUGUUCAUCGAAGUCGUUACCUUUUUUUUAAUGGAUCAGUUCCAGUGGUAAGCAGUAAUUUUCUUAGAACUCGGAUCUUUAAUUCGAGUUUCUGUGUGAAUUAAUAAUAAAAAAUUUUCAUUACACGCAAUUUAAGCUACGAAUUACUUUUUGCAAAGUUGAAUAUGGAAUUGGAGAAAUUAAGUAAUUUAGAAUGUUGGUAAAAAUUGACGAACAUAUCUCCAAUUACAGUAAAACCUCUCUACAGUCAUAACAUUAUAACAAAAUUAAUUUUAUUACUAUGUUGAGGUAAUAUAGGUUUAGUUACAAAAUUAUUGUUUUAAUAUGGUUAGUGUCAAGUGAUAUAAAGGUUAAGUAUGCAGUACAUUAAUAAUUAAAUAAUGAAGUGUCAAAUCUAAUGUAUAUAUAUUAAUGAUAUAGAUAGACAUAGUUUUAAAAAACUAAUUAAUGUAUAUUUAUGUAGUGUUAUGAAUAUGGAAAGUCAAGCCUACACUUUACAUUAUCCUUAAUUUUUUCUCUCAGUUAAAUUCUACAAAUAUUGUACAAUGGUUGGGCAAGAACUCUAAAUUAAGAAUAAAUUAUUGUCACAAAUAAUUUUAGAAAAUAUUUUAUUUCGUCUUAAACCUUUAAUAUAAAUAAACAUAUAUAUAUAUAUAUAUAUAUAUAUAUAUAUAUAUAUGUGUGUGUGUGUGUGUGUGUGUGUGUGUGUGUGUGUGUGUGUGUGUGUGUGUGUGCAUAUUUUGCAACGUAUAGAUAAUUGUUAGUAUAUGGAGACAAGUCUUUUAAGGUAGGACCUAGGAAAAUUUAUAACUUACUACACUGUGGAGUUUUUAUUCCUUUUUAUAAUUGGCUCAUAUUGAUACAUUCUUACACAAAAUAUUACCAUUGACAUAUUUUACUACAAUUAGUUUAGAACAUUUGUUAGGAAAAAAAAGAAAAGAAAAGAAAACAUCCCUUGGAUGUAGCUCUCCUGACUAUUUAAAUCUUUUAAGGAAAAAAAGAAAAAAGAAAAACUGGCACAUUCAAAUCUUGAAGCAAUUACAUUAAAAUCUCUCCAUAAUGAUAGGAAUAAUCUCCAUUUAGUAAUAAAAAAUUUUGUUCGCAAUUUAGGCAGAGUUAUAAAUAAGAAUAAAAUCCUCAUUGUAAUAAGUUAUAUUUAUUAUGGAUCCCAUCCUAAGGAAUUCGUCUCUAUAUAGUAAUAAUUAUUUGCAUAUUAUAAAUAUAUAUGUUGCAUUAGAUUAAAUGAACUUGUCUCCACAUACUACUUAGACAACGAGAGAAAAUUAUUAAAGAGAACACAAAUAUUUAGAUAUUUUUAAGAUUACUUUGCAUAUUUAUAACAAUAAUACAUUGAUAUAUGUAUUAGUUUUUUGAUAUAUUAGAUUUAACAUGCUCUAUUAAUAAAUUAUUAAUACGAUGCAUAUUCAUCUCUAUAUCCUUGCAAUAAAAGUAACUAAGUUAUAACAAUAAUUAUUAAUAAAUUAUUAAUACGUUGCGUACUUCAUCUCUAUAUCCUUACAAUAAAAAUAACUAAGUUAUAAUGAUAAUUUUUGUAACUACAUACUUAUUAGGUUUUAACUACUUCAUAAUAAUAAAUUAGUUUCGUCCUAAUAUUAUAAUUAUGUAGAGUUGUAGUGUAUAGACACACCCAAUUUAAAUAGUAUAUCAAAUAAAAUUGUCCCCACGAAAAAGAAAAAAGGGGUAAAGGAUUCUCAUUUCUUCAAACAUUAGGAUCACGUUUGUACAAGUGCGAUGCCUUUCUUUUGAAGGCAACGUCAGUGGGUACCCAAUAGGACGUGUGUAAAUCUUUCCAAAAUUUCUCUGGUAUAACGGACAGAGAUCAUUACUUUUCUCUUCCAUAUACCACAGCAGCUUCAGUUAAUCAGACUCAAUCAAUUUUCUUGGUUUCUUCGCUUAUCAAAAUUCCAAAAUAUGGGUAGCAUAUUUCAAAUCACAUGCGAUGGUGCUUUUUUCAAUCGUUGCUUGGAUUGCUUUCUUGGAAAAGUAGCAAACACAAGUAAGCUCCAAGAUAACCUUGUUGCCUUGGAGACUGAAUUGGGAAAACUAAUCGCAGCAAAGAACGAUGUGAUGAUGAGGGUUGUCAAUGCUGAACGGCAACACCUGAGAACGCUGGACCAAGUGCAAGUGUGGCUUUCGAGGGUGGAAGCUGUUGAAACUGAAGCUGAUGAAUUGAAAAGACACGGCUCUCAAGAAAUUGACAAAUUAUGUGUUGGAGGCUACUGUUCCAAGAACUGCGCGUCAAGCUACAAGUUCGGGAAACAAGUGGCUAAAAAGCUACGGGAUGUGCAGACUUUAAUCGACGAAGGAGUUUUUGCGGCGGUGGCUACCGAGGUGGUGCCUGAGAGAGCUCCAGAACCUGUAGCAGAUGAAAGACCCACUGAGCCAACAAUAGUAGGCUUGCAAUCACAACUUGAACAAGUUUGGAGAUGUCUUGUAGAAGAAUCAGUGGGAAUCAUUGGCCUAUAUGGUAUGGGCGGUGUUGGUAAAACUACACUAUUGACCCAUAUCAACAAUAAAUUUCUUGAGAGUCCAACCAGUUUUGAUUGUGUGAUUUGGGCCGUAGUUUCAAAGGACUUGCGACUCGAAAAAAUUCAAGAAGAUAUUGGGAAAAAGAUCGGUUUGGUUGAUGAUUCAUGGAAGAGUAAAAGUGUAGAGGAGAAAGCUCUCGACAUCUUCCGGAGUUUAAGAGAGAAGAGAAUUGUAUUGCUGUUAGAUGAUAUAUGGGAGCGGGUUGAUUUAACAAAAGUGGGCAUUCCACUUUCCGGACCAAAAAAUACUACAUCAAAAGUCGUAUUCACAACCCGUUUCGUCGAUGUUUGUGGUAGCAUGGAAGCUGACAAGAAGUUCCAGGUGGCAUGCUUAUCAGAAGAGCAUGCUUGGGAACUGUUUCGAAAAAAAGUUGGGGAAGAAACUCUUGAGAGUGAUCAUGAUAUCGUUGAGCUAGCCCAAACUGUGGCCAAAGAGUGUGGUGGUUUGCCACUCGCACUUAUUACUAUUGGUCGAGCUAUGGCCUUCAAAAAGACAGCCGAGGAGUGGAGUCAUGCAAUUGAUGUGCUAAGAACAUCAGCUUCUGAGUUUGCAGGUUUGGGAGAAAAGGUUUAUCGUCUUUUAAAGUUUAGCUAUGAUAGUUUGCAGAAUGAGACGAUUAGAUCUUGUUUCUUAUAUUGUUGUUUAUAUCCCGAGGAUUAUAGCAUUCUUAAAUGGGACUUGAUUGAUUGUUGGAUUGGUGAGGGAUUCUUAGAGGAAUCUGACAGGUUCAGUGCAGAAAACCAAGGAUACUACAUUGUGGGCACUCUUGUUCAUGCAUGUUUAUUGGAAGAGUUAGAAGAUGAUAAAGUAAAAAUGCAUGACGUUGUUCGUGAUAUGGCUCGAUGGAUAGCUUGUGAAAUUGAGAAGGAGAAGAGAAAAUUUUUGGUUUGUGCAGGUGCUGGAGUAGGAGCGGUGUCAGAUGUUGAAGGAUGGGAAAAUGUGGGAAGAUUGUCAUUGAUGCAAAACCAAAUUGAAAUUCUGUCAGAGGUUCCCACAUGCCCUCAUCUCCUCACUUUAUUUCUUGACUUUAAUUAUAAAUUGGAGAUGAUCACCGAUGGCUUCUUCCAAUGUAUGCCUUCUCUCAAAGUUUUGAAGAUGUCAAACUGUGGGCAUGUCAAAGUUUUGAAAUUACCUUUUGGGAUGUCAAAGCUGGGUUCACUACAACUUCUUGAUAUUUCACAUACCGGCAUAAGAGAGUUACCAGAAGAGUUAAAGUUGUUGGUAAAUCUGAAAUGUUUGAAUUUGAGGUGGACACAUAUGUUAAAUAAAAUUCCACGGCAGCUAAUAUCAAAUUCUUCAUGGUUACGUGUGUUGAGAAUGUUCGCUAUUGGCUUUGAAAAUUCUAAAGAACCAUCAGAAGACAGCGUUUUAAUUGGUGGGGGUGAAGUUUUAGUACAUGAAUUGCUCGGUUUGAAAUAUUUAGAGGUAUUGGAGUUGACCUUGCGAAGUUAUGAUGCUCUCCAAUUUUUUUUGAGCUCAAAUAAGUUAAAAAGUUGUAUUCGAUCUCUUUUCCUCAAUAAGCUGGGAGAUACAAAGUCGAUUCAUGCUACGGCUUUCGCAGAUCUAAAGCAUCUCAAUGAACUAUGCAUUCGUUCGGCAGUGGAGUUGGAAGAAUUGAAGGUUGAUUAUACAGAGAUUGCGCCAAAAAGGUCGGAACCUUUUGUUUUCCGCAGCCUUCACCGUGUUACUAUGGAGCGGUGCCAUAAAUUGAAAGAUUUGACAUUCCUCGUUUUUGCUCCAAGCCUCAAGUCUCUUUCGCUAUACGGUUGCAAUGCUAUAGAAGAAAUAAUCAGCGUUGGAAAAUUUGCUGAGACUCCUGAGGUGAUGGGACAUAUAAGCCCUUUUGGAAAUCUCCAAACGCUUUAUUUAACUGAUUUGCCAGAGUUGAAAAGCAUCUACUGGAAGCCAUUGCCUUUCACUCAUCUCAAAGAAAUGACGGUACAUGGGUGUAAUCAGCUUAAAAAGCUUCCAUUCGAUUCCAACAGUGCAACAGAGCGUAAAUUUGUUAUUCGUGGAUACACACUCUGGUGGAACCGUCUUCAAUGGGAGGAUGAAGCCACUCAAAUUGCUUUUCGUUCCUGUUUCCAAUCUCAUGAAAUAUAAAUUCCUGAGCGGUGGUUGCAAAAUUUGAUUUCUAGUGAGUGCUUUUUUCUUAAACUCUUACAUAUAUUCUCGUCGUUUGCUUCGUGCAACGGACUAGGUUUUUAUUUCAGAUUCGUUUUUUGUCUCCUGCAAAUCACAAUUAAAUGUUGAAUUAUAUGGAGUCAAUGCUUUAUAAAAUUUUCAAGGCACUGCCAUUUCCUUUUUCUUUUUCUUUUUUUUUUUGGGUCGAAUUGAUGCUCUGGCUUUUUACUUUUUGUUGUCACAUUUUGCUCUGUUUUUUCAAGUUGAUGCUUGAAUAGUUGAAUUCAAUUGAUGCUCACAUAAAUUUGUUUAGUUGCCGCAAAAGGAUAUAAUUAGACUGAAGUACACACUUCUAGAAUGAAUACAAAAUGUUAAGUAUACUAGCCCUCUUUACAGAAAAUCAAAUGAAAAUCAAUUUUUUGGGGCUUUGAUUUUCUAUGGUCUAUUAUAUACUCUUUUUAAUAUCUUCUGUUCUAACUAUAACCAAAUCCUUUGUUCAAGGAUUUUUAUUUGGGGUAUUGAUAACUGUCCACCAAAAGAGUGAACACUUGGAUGCUGCUCAAGGAUCUCUAAUCAAUAGCUGGAAGCAACUGAGAAGGCGGUCGCUACUGUUUACAAAGCGAUGCAGUAUUUGCCAUUCAUCUUAAUAAUUAUGAAGCUUUGGUAAAAUUUUCAAACAAAGUUGAACACAUGUUGUUUUGAGAUUUGGUUCAUGAUUUUGGAUGAAUAUCGUUGUUCCGUUUGAGUUGGAUGUGAAUUCAAAAUCUAUAUAUUCUUUGGUUUUCAAUUCUGAACUCAAUUUCUUUUUCUCAAGCAUGUUAUGCAGAAAUGAUUUUUUACUAAAUCAUUUUUGAUGAAUUGUUUAAAUUAAACAAUUGGAAUAAGAAUUGAAAAGGUUUAUCAUAAGCAUGCUAAUAUGAUAAGUUGUUUUAUGAACGAUUAAUUAAUUAAUCAAUUAAUAUUAAAUUAUCUAUUAGUCAAUUAGAUAUGCGUUACAUGUCAUGUUUAAAAAUUAUUUAUUUAUAUUUCAAACAAAUUUGACUGGAUGUUGUGUAGGUAAUACUACAUAAUUUCAAAACAAAAAAAGUAAUAAAAACACGUUAAAUUUUGUUUUUAUGAAGAAAAAUUUAAAAUUUUAUUAAAUAGGUGAAAAUAAUAAAUGGAUUCGUGUAUGGUUUGAGAUUCUUGACAUAAUUAUGAAAUAAGCCGGAUUCGACUUAGUUCAAUUUUGACGCGAUAAGAAGACGACACCACACAAACACACGAUAAGAACCGUUACCUGAGAAGAUUGCCAUCAGGAAUUUUGAAAUUGAUUUCACUACAAUACCUUAAUCUUUCAGAUACUACCAUCACUGAGCUGCCAGAAGAGCUAAAAGCCUUGGUAAAUCUUAAGUGUUUGAACUGUACACAAAUUAUCUCUCUACAAUUCAAAAACAACUAAUUUGUUACUUUUUCAAUGCUACAUGUUCUGCGAAUAUUGAGUUGUGGUUAUCUUGUUGAAAUAUCAGACAAUAGAGUUCUAUUUGGUGGUAGUGAAUUGUUGGUUGGGGAGUUGCCUAGUUUAAAACGUUUAAAUGUAUUAAGCAUCACCUUACAAGGUUUUUCUGCUGUCCAAAAACUUAUGAGCUCUCAAAAGUUUCAAAGCUGUACAAAAUGUUUGGAGCUUAUAGACUGUGAUGAUUCAAAGUCUUUUGCCUUGGCAGAGUUGAAGCAUCUCGAAAAACUAGUUUUUUGAAUUGUGGAAGAGUUUAAGUUCUGCUUUGUUGAAGUUGGAAAAGCUCAAGAAUGUUUUCGUUUGAACAGUUUUCACCGAGUUAAUAUAAAGGCUUGUCAUAAAUUGAGGGACGUGACAUGGCUUGUAUUUGCUCCAAAUCUUACAGUUAUUCAAAUAGAAAAAUGUAUGCAGAUGGAAGUAAUAGUCAGUGCAAGGAAAUUGGGUGAAGUUCCAGAGAUGAUGGCAGAUCUAAACCCUUUUGCAAAUAUCUUUGCCAGCGAGUUCUACCAAAAUUAAAAAGCGUCUAUUGGAAUGAGUCACCCUUUCCACAUGUCAGGGAAAUUAUUGUAUCUGAAUGCCCAAUUCUCAAGAAGCUUUCACUCGGUUUUAACAAUGCAAAGGAAUCUAAAAUUGUCAUUAGGGGAGAGGAACACUGGUGGAGUGAGCUGCAAAGGGAGGAUGAAGCGACCGUUAAUGCUUUUCUUCCUUGUUUCGGUUCCAUUUGAUAGGCAUCAACAUGGAUUUAUAUUUUGCGGUGGACAACUUGUGGUAAGUGCUUUUCCAUUUAUUACAUGUUUAUAUCUAACUUUUGUUUUCCUUUAUGGUUAAAUUUUACUGUAUAUAUGUUGUUAUACGGUGACAUUCUCGCAUCAAUUAUUAGCUUUUUAAUUCUCUUCUGGCAUUAAUUGCCCUUCUGAUCAUGUAGGAUAUGCCGAUGUCAAAGAGUAGUAAAUUGGGAUACAAAUGUAAGAAUUAGCCAGAUGACAUGUUGUUUUGAAGCUCUCUCGAAGGACUAGUUAUGUCAUUCAAAGCAUCCAAUUUCGCUACUUUUUUUUUCAUUUGUUGCUUUUUAUAUUUCUAGAUAGCUUGAUAUUCGGCCAAGACAUCGAUAGGAGGGCACAUUGUGCAUGCACACUAGUGGAUGAUUUGGGCAUGCCGAAUCCAAUUAGCGUGGAUGACCCUUUAUAAGCAUCAGGCUUCUCUCAUACCAGAGCAAUGUAGAAUAUGUUUAUAAACUGUGGAUUACCCUUUAUAAGUUUAGACUUCUUCUAUACUCGAGCGAUGUGGAAUACCUGUAUAAGCAUUAAGCUUCUCUCAUACACUUUAUGUUAAAAAUAAUAAUAAUAAUAAUAAAAUAAAUCCAUUUUAAAAUAGGCUCUUUUUUUCUUUUUUUAUAUAAACAAAAUGCAUUCUUCAAAUCAAUAGUGGGUGGAAGAAGUGAGUAGAGAAGGACUAGGCCCCUUCAUUCCGCCUAAAACCUCACCGAAACCUCUCUUGUGAACUUCUCAGAUUCUCUCUCAAUAUUUCUUAUGAUCUCGUUUUUGAUAGAAUCACUUCUAUUGCAUGCUGCAUUUUGUGCGUCGUUUUUGGGUAAUAUCUUAUCUGGAAUGCUGUUAUGAUCAAUAGAACAAGUAAUCAAUUUUUGGUUUGACGGAAGUCGAUUUAUUUAUUUACUAUUGUUUUUUAUUUGAAAUUUUGACAGUUGUGUUUCAUUCAUUUCUUUCCUUCUUUUUUUAUUUUAUAUUUAUUAUGUAUAAUUGUGUUUCAUUUGAUAUUGAUCAUACUGUAGAUAACUAUGUGAUUGUAGCUGGGGAUUUUAAGUUUUGUGAAUUCAAGAAACUGUCAAAAUGCUAGUGAAAUUGGGACCUUUAUUCAUAAGCUUGUGGUUUUCAAAAGUAGCCGGGUUCAACUGAUGAAGUUCCUUUUUGGGAUUCUUUUUUUUCUAGGCUGCAAUUCGGAUAUGUACCUGAUAGACAAUCUUUUGUGAGUUUAGCAUAUCUUCUCCGAUUUUGUCUUUUAUUCCCCAACUUUACAGCUACACACCAUGAAUGCUGGGUGAUUGUACAGAAAAUUUGUGUUAGAACAAAAGCAUUGUGAAGGAGUUUCUGUGCUAUAAGUUAUUGGCUUCAGCUUUAUUGGCAUUAAUUGGGUAGAUUAUGUGUUACAGUGAUUCAAUUUGUGAUCCACACUUUAAUUUUCUCUUUUCCCCAAUUAUUUAUGUCAAAUUCAAAUCCAGAAGCAUGCGCUGAUUUUUUUUUUUUUUUGUGAUAAUCUGUGAAGUUUAUUUGGAAAGGACGUAUCUGGGUUUAAUGGAUUAAAUUAUGACAUUGAGGGAAAGGCACUAAAGGUUUUGCUUGACACAUUUGGUCUGUGUUUACUCUGCAAUAAAUAGCUUCGCUUAUCAGAAAUCCCUAUUUGGCUGGUGAAUUUCUCUGUGACAGACAGGCAAACACCUAAACCGCUUCUAUCCAUUUUUCUGCUGGUGAGGUAAGGGGUAAAAAGUCUUCAAAAUCAUCAAAUAGUAACAUCUCUGAGAAUUGGUUUUAGAAAAAUGGAAAAUCUAGACCUACUAGGACAAAAUGGCGUCCGGUAUCAGGAGGUACCGUUUCAAGUUUUCUUGGUAAAGAAUAUAUUAAACCUGCGCAACCAGCUAAUGGCACUUUUCUGGCAUCAAAGCCAUUGAAGUUGGAUCUAAAGGAGUUUUCCCAUGCCUGCAUUGUGCAGAGAAGAAACUAAACAAAAACAAUCAAAGAAUGACCAUUUGCAGAAGGAUACGGAAGAUUUUCUAUUUAAAUUGUUAGGAGAAGGGUCCCAGCUGAACAGGGAUGUGAUUCAGGAGGUUCUCGGUAAUGUCUUAAAUAUACUGAUGCCAAUUUAAUACAUAUUGUCCUUUUCAAUGUUCUUUCUUUCUUUCUUUUUUUUUUCCUUCUUCUUCUUUUUCUUUUCGUGUGCAUGUGAUCACUGAUUUGGUAUUAUGCUUAAGUUGCAGAUAGCUGUGGAUUUGAUAUGCAAAAGGUAAGGACUAUAUCUUCCUGAUGUAGGCCUCUGCUUUUUCCCCUUCUAUGUAAUUUAGUAAUUCACAUCUUCCUUUGUGAUUGUUAUAUCAUAUCGAAGUCAAGUCUUAAAUACUGCUGUCAUAUGUGAAGGUUCAACUUGCAUUUUGAUUAAGAUCCAUUUGCUGCUGCUUCCAAAAGUGAGAAUGAGAUACUUUGGUUAAUUUCAGUGGUUGAACCCAAUAGAGAACUUUAUUUAGAUCUUCAUGGUUCAAAGGCCUGAAAAAACUUGCCCGUAAUUGUAAAAUGACAUUCUGUGCUUUUUAUGCAAUAGGGAACAGGGAAGUAGAGCUUUGGAAAAGCCUGGAUUGAUAACUAUGGAGAGACUUAUUAUUUAAGUGAUGAAAAAUUCCCAUCGCCCGCAGUCAAGAAAAUUUCAGAUAGUUAAAGACUCCAUUUUGCUUCAGCCAAAAAUGUUUGUUUCAAUUAAAGACUUGAACCAUUUUCAUUGAACCUGAUUGUGAUCCUUUACGUUAUGCAUGUUCCUCUCAAUCAAGAAAAGUUGAGGUCAUGAUUCUAUAUUUCUAUAUUGUAACUUGAAAUAAUAAUUGGUCUACUUGUUUCUGUAUCUUGAUAAUAUGAAUUUUCCUUCUCAAGUUAAUUUGUUCAAUAAAGUAAUUCUUCAAAGAAAAUAUGCCCAUUCUAUAAUCAUUUUCUUAGCUCAGAUGUUUUUUCUUCACUCUUCAGAGCAUGUCAAAACUAAUUGAUCGCUUGGCAGAUACUUUGGGUAAGAAGACAAAAUUUCUUGGUAAAUCCUCGGAAAAGGUAUGCAUAAUUCCCGAGUAUUAAAUAACCAAUAGUCAUAAUUUUUGUACAUGACUCUUUUUUCUCUUUUUUGUGGAGAUCAUUAAAAUUGGUUGAUGAUCCAUUUUGUAACAUCAUAGAGGGAUCAUCAAUUCCUUCUCUUUUCUGUGGCUAGGCAACACUUUCAGGCCAAAGUAAGAAAAUCUAUUUUAGGUAAUGUGAAAACCAACGGUAGGAUGUAAUAGUUUAUUAUGCACUGACAAUAACUUUUUGUAUGGUUGGCAGUUUAAUGAAUACAAGAGGAACUUUGUUGACAAAUUCAUCCAAGAUAGAUGCUAAAAUUAUUUAUGCAUGCCAGUUGCCUUAACUAAUUUUUCUUAACACUUGUAUUGAACAGGAAAAUGAAUAAGCAAUCUGUAUAUUGUGCCAUUGUGGAGUAUUUGGAUAUUCUGAUUUAAAUAACAAGGAGAAUACUUGCCUCAUCUUUAAAUGAGGAGUGGGGGAUUGGAAGUGUCUUCAUGUAAAUGUUCAUUUAUUUGUAUUUUGAACUAUUAUGAGAAUCUUAUAUGCCAAAUCAGUAAUACAAAUCUUCAGAUGAUUUUUGCUGUUGAUCAUGGGUUUGUGUCUGCACACAACCAUUGUAUAUCACUUUAUUCUGAUGUGCAGGUAUGUGUAGCUUAGAAGAAAUGGAAUAAUAAUCAUCUAUUAUUGCUUGGUUCAUGAUUAUUAAACGAUUAUGGCUUUAAAAAGUCUACAAAUUCCUUCUGUUCAUAUAUGAAUGUGCCAAGUUUGCUAUAUCUUAGAUUAUCUUCUUCCAAGAUAACAAGUUCAUAUUCUUUUUAAUCUUUUUCCCUCACAGUUGACUUUUAGGUGUUAAGAUUUGUUAUUAGUCCCCUGUUAUUAUGAUUUCAUAAACAGUGUACGGAUAUGUGCUCUAACUUUGGAGGACCUCCACAUGAAAGAAAAUUGCAACAAUUGAAUUCUUCCGGAGGGUAUGGUCUUUAAUUUAUUUUCUCAACUUCUCGUAAGAUUAAUAUAUUUCAUUCAGUAGGCACAGCAUGGGGGGAAGGGUUUUUAUUGAAAGAAUUCUGAUAUUUCUUAGACUUUGUUUUGGAAGGGGGGUGGAGGGAUUUCUCAUCCAUGUAUGGUUACUUGAUUAGCUUUUGACUGUAUUUCCUCAGUCAUGUAAAGGAAGAUCCAAAUACCAACGAAGGAAUAUUGCCUAGACACCCGAAAGACAGAAAUGAGCUACAGAAGCAAGUUUUACUACUUUAUUUAGUGCUCCUGAGAAAUCUGAUGGAGACCGAAUGGAGGUCCAAAGCAUUGGAAAAGGUAGUGAGUGAACCGCCGGAGGAGUUGGCACCAGAAUGCAAGGCUAAUGUGGUGCACUUGCAGCAAGAUAACCAAACCGGUAUGUGCUCUUAUAUUAACUAGACUGACUGGAUUUGUGAGUGUGUGCAUUUUUUUGUGUAUACUCUUGUAUUUAUGCAUAUUAAUGUGUGUAGGAAUUUCUGCCACUUACUGGAGAACUAGUGGAAAGCUUUAUAUCGAUAUAUCUGCAAUAACUAAUUGGAAACUAUGAUAUUAAUAUUUUCUCUCACCUGAGGAACUGUGUAACAGAUAUACUUUGUGGCUCUGGAGUACUAGAAAUUCUGCAAUAACUAAUGGAAACUAUGAUAUGAAUAUUUUAUCUCAACUGGAGAACUUUGUAACUUGUAGCUCUGGAAUGUCUAAGGAAUUUUGUCUGCUUCAGUUAGAUCAAAUAUCUUUUAGUUGCAUACAUUAUAGAAAAAGAUAAAGUUCUCUGAAUCUGAAAGACUGAAACAUUUUGUAUAUUUUGUGAAAGGGAAAUAUCUGUAGAUACUAGUUCAUGCAUUGAGGUAACAUCAAUGUUAAAGAAAAACAGCAAUAAGUUAUUAUGUGGAACUAGGUUCACUUGCUUUAAAUGCUGGUCUGGUCAACCAUAUGAACCUGUAAGUUCUGCAGAAAUAUAUAUACGGGGAGAAACUAGCUAAAUUUUCCGUUCAUUGAUGGCUUUGGUCAUUUUUUUCCCCUUAUUUUUCAGCUGUCCUUCUCCUGAAGUAUGUUAACAACUGCAGAUAAUGAUGAAGAGGACAGCUUGCAGGCUCUUCUUAGAGCCAUGAUGGAAUAUAGGGGCACAAUGAAGGAACAUUGCAAAGCUGUAGGUUCUUUUUCUCCUGUCAUUUAUGUUUUCUCACACAUUUUUUAUAUGCUCCAAGCAUGCAAUUUUGUAUGUGUCAACUGCUUUCUAAGUUUUAAAAACCAUAAUGUAAGAAUACAGUUUCUUGUCAGGCUAUUGAUGCAUUUGCUCAGGGGGAUCAUGUUCGAGCAGGAAAACUUCUAGAACAGACAAGGUUUUCCAUCUACAGCCAUCUAUUGACAACAGAUAUAUUUUCAUUCAGCAAACACUGUUAGCAUUCAAGAUACUGGCAGAUUCACUUGAUUCUUAUUAGUAAUGUUUAGUAGCAAAGGAUAUAACCUGUAUUUCAAAGCCAAGUUGUGCUAUUGAUUAUGUUAGCUUUAUUGUUCACAUAAAGUGAUAUGGAGGAAAUAAUGUGAAGUGAUAUGGAGGAAAUAAUCAAUGUAGGAAAAUUAGGUGAAGAAAUGAUGUCAAAUCUUGAACCUCUUACAAAACUCCAAGCUCUUUACUUGAAUAAGCUACUAAAUUUGAACAGGGUCCACUGGAAGGCCUUGCCAUUCUCUGAUGCAUGCAGAAUUUUUGCAUUUAAAUGCCCAGAGCUUAAGAAGCUGCCACUGGAUCUUGAAAGGGCAGGCCAAGGUAAAAUUCUUAUCAAGGGAAAGGAAGAUUGGUGGAAACAACUUCAAUGGGAGGAUCAAGUAACUCAGAAUGCAUUGCUUCCAUUUUUAAAACAACCAGCAAGUGAUUGAAGGGGGCAUCAUCAACGUCAUCAACAUGGAUGGAGAGAUUCAGGAGCAGAUCAGCAGGAUUUAGUACGACCUGUGGUGGUUUCUUUUUUGUGACUUUUUUCCCUUUCAUUUUUUCACUUCCUGUCAUAUUAUCAUUUCUUUGUCUCUGUUUCUAUUGCUGGUGUUGCUGCAUGCUUGCUGUCCUUGACAAAGUUAGCUAGUUUUUUUUUUUUUAAUUAAAUUUUGUAUGUUCGGUCGGGACAGUCACAAAGUACUACUUGUUCUAUAUGGGGGUGAUGUGAAUCAACUUUUCAAUUAUAUAUUCUGUGGUAAUUGCGAAUUCAAUUUCAUUUGUCUCCAGCAAAUUAUGAAGAAAGUGCAGAGUUACAAUAUGGAGAAGUUCACUGGCAAAUACUUUGUAAAAGCUUCGGAGUGAAACAGGAAAUGCACUUGCAGCUAAGGACAAAUUGGUGGCCAGCUAAUGCCUUCAUUUUAUGUACAUUCAUCUUUUUAAUUAUUGAAGAUAAGUGGUUCGUUGCUUUUGUUAAGAUUAUAAGUUAGCGUCGGUGCAGGAUUUGCAGCAACAAAUCUUGACUAGCCACGUGUCAAAAGCACAAAUAAAUCAAGGGAAAGCACAUGACAUGGAUUAGGAUCUAAUAAAAUUUAAAUCCCAAGGAAAAUGACAACUGCAUUAUGAAGUUUCAAUAAGGGAUACUGACUAAUGAUAUUUUUUGGCUUUAUUAAUAAAAAAAGAAUAUUUUAUAACAAAUUAAAACAUAAUAUUAAGCUAAAUGUGAUAAUUAUAUACAUUUUAAAUAAUUUCAAUAAAAAAACAUUUUAAUGUUUUACGAUCUAUCAUACAUAUUUUAUUAAAUUAAUAUGAAUUUUUUUUUAUAAAUAGCAACAUAAUAUUACAACAAAUUUAUAAGGAUUUAAAUGUAAAAUAAUUUUAGUAUAAAUAAUACGUGGGAUAUAUUUUGUAAAUUAUAAAAUUAUUUAACACAAAGUUUUUUAAAAAAUAUUUAAAAUAAAUAAAAAUAAAUUAUUCACAUCUUGAUUUAAAUAUUUAAAAUAUUUUUAUAUAUUAGUCUACAAUUAUUUAUGUUAUAUUUUUAUUUAUUAGAAAUUUUGAAAGUCAAAUGUUUUCACCUCUAAGAGAAAGACACAUAUGCUUUAUAGCUUUAAAAUCGGUCUGUUUUAUAUCUGGAAACAAAUAUAUCAUUAUUGGUAAGGAUUAAAAAAAGGGAUAAAGAAUAUUAAUGAUUAAUGAAAUCUCUAUGGAAAUUGAAUUUAGUAGGAAAAAAUUGAGCUAAAUGAUUUAGACAUUUAGUGGUAUAGUAAUAUUUUAUAUAUAGAAAUGUAAAAGCUGCACCCGAGGUUAAGGGAAAUGUUCAAAACUCUUUUUUACUCAUAAUACCCUUUGUCCUAACUAACUUACAAAUUCGACUCUAAUAUUUUAUAAUAAAUAAAAAUGUAAUCCUAAAAUAAAUAAAAUAAGAUAUAUUUUAAAAUAAUCUCAAUAUUUAAAAUAUACUUUAAUAUUUUAUAGUCUAUCAGACAUAUUUAAUUAUAUUAAAGUAAAUUUUGUAAUAAAUACAAACAUACUAUUAAAAUAGAUAUAUAAAAAAUUUAAAGUAUUUUGGAUAUUAUAUAAAAGAACUUUAAUAUUGUUAAUACGUGAGAUAUAUUUUAUUAAUUAAAAAUUCUAUUUAACCCAAAGAUUUAUUUAAGAUAAAUUAACAAUCAUAUUUGUGAAAUUAUUUCAAAUAUUAAAAAAUAUUUUAAUAUUACUAACUAUUAGAUAGACUAAACUAUUUAUAUUAUUUUCUAUUUAUUAUAAAAUUUCAAAAUUAAUCUUUUUAACUACUAUUCAAAAGAUAUUAUGAUAAAAAUAAUUUUUUUGUGUUUUUAUUAAAAAUUUGGAAUUUGCAUAACUCUUUUUUUAAAUAUUGGGGUAUAGCUGUCUUUUCCCUUUUAUAUAUACAAACCACAGUGGUGAAAAAGCUUGAUUUAAUGUUAUUUAUUUAAACAACACCGAUAUUCACACCACAUUGAGCACCAUAGUUUUUUUUUUUUUUUUGAAAAGAAAGUACACCUUUCAUUGAAUUAAGAGAAAAGAAACAAAACAUCCUCUGGAAAUUCAUCCAGCCAAAUACAAGGGUCUGACUUUUUGAAAGCCAACUUUGCCAAAUCAUGCGCUAAAAAGUUACACAUCCUAAGGACGUGCUGAGCUUUAAAAUUCUGAAAGAUUUUCUUAGCUUCUAUAAUAUCAAAAAUCACCCAAAAGGUGUCUGUCAAAGUGCUUCUCUUGUUAUUGAUUAGCUCUAUCACCCCUUUAGAAUCAGACUCUAAGAUAACUGAAGUUGCCCCUGCCUUGGCAGCUGCCUGCAUUCCCCACAAAACAGCUUUUGCCUCACUCAACUCCACAUCUCCUGAGCUCUUAAAAGUGCUAACAGCUGCAGCAACUGUUUCUCCCUUAUGGUUUUUAACUACUGCUCCCAGCCCAGCAAGAUAAUUCACCCUAUCCAUAGCAUCAUCAACAUUUACCUUAAGCCAUCCUUCUUCGGGUGGACUCCAUUGGCUUUGCUGAACAUUGUUUUGUUCUGCUAAGAAAUCCUCUUCUGACAUUGAGCACCAUAGUUAAGUACAAAACGGUGCGUUUUGUUCACGCAUGUUAGUAAACACCCACGCAACUUACACACAUACGCGCGGCUCACAACACGCGCUCUCCUCGCCCUAAAUCUCACCUGAUUGAAGCCACAAAUUUGGCCACGUUCUCCCACAGCUCUCUCCGUUCUGACCGUUUACUCUUCCUCUAGCCCCAUCGAUUACAUCUCUCAUAGCACCUCAUUCAACCGACGUAAUUGCCAGAAAACAACCUACCUGGUAAUAAAAGUCGAUUCUCUUACAAUUUUGGCCCAAAAAAAAAAAUUGCACAACUGAAAAAUCAAAAUGCCACUCUUUAAAACCAAAAAUCAAUUUUGGGCCCCCUUCAUCACCGCCUUCACUCUAGAUUUUUUCAAUCCACUUUGUCGUCAAAACCGUGGUGUUCUUAAACCAUUAUUAUAUUCACCAUCCCCUUAAUCACAUCCAACCAUCCCCAUUAUUCGUUUGUCAAACACGCUGUUCUCUUCCCAAAUUAAUUAAUUAAUUAAUGACAGACAGGAACAAAAGUACUUUAAAUCUCUGCCAAAUCGUAUUGUUAUUACUUCUUCCGAGUCGAGGCCACGUCGUUCUCGAUGGAAACCAUUGCUUUUUAUUACCACUCUUGAGGAGUUCGAAGCAUUCUCGACGGAGACCCGCGCAAGCUGUGGAAAGAGAGAGAGUCAACGGUGAAAAGAGAGCAUGGUGAGAUGUGUGAGCGACGGGGGGAGAGAGAGAGAGAAAGAAAGCCGACGGAGAGAGCACAUAGAGCUGAGAUGCGUGAGUUGGGUGAAGAUUUGGUGAGCGUUGUGUCAGUUGCCCGUGUGUUGUGUGAGCUCUGUGCCAUGUGAUAUGCGUGCUACUUUGAGAAUUUAUAGAUAGCACAAAACUCAAUCUAUAUCCAAUUCAUACCUAGAUAGAUGCGGAUUUGACUCAAUUUAUAUCCAAUUCGUCAUUUGCGAACUAAAAAUUUUUAAUUCUCUCAAAUUCACAAACUAACUAAAUAAAUAAAAAUUUAAUAUAAAAAUAACUGUACUACCGAUCAAAUUUAAAAUUAAAUAAUAUUUAAAUAAAUUAAUUGUUUAAAUAAAGUUAGAAAAUACAUUCAAAAUUUUAAAAUAUAACACAGUAAAAAGAAAAAAUCUCAUUUGUUUAGACCUAUGUAUGAAAAUUAAUUGUUUAGGAAUCUAUAUUUAUUUAUUUUUAUAUUAUUAUCGGAUAAGAUAUAAUAUGGUGUUAAUGUAACUAUAUUUUAACUUAUUUAUUUAUAAGACCAAUGCUAUAUGUACAAGUUUAAUUUUUUAAUUAAAUAAAUAUUUUUUUUUGCGGAAUUGUGGAUUUUUGCGGAUUUACAAAAGUAAAUCUAUAUCCAAUCCACCGACUAUGGAUUUUCAAAUUUUCAAAAUUUCAAAUUUUCAAAUUUUCAAAAUUUCAAAUUUUCAAAUUUUCAAUCCAAUCCAAUCCACCAAUUCACAAAUUCGGAUUUUUACGGAUUAGAUUUCUACAGAUUAAACGAAUUGAGCAGACCAUAUUUGAUUUUGAACAUUGCUAAUUUGUAUGUUAAGUAUAACAUAAUCAAUUAUUUGGAUAAUCCCUUGUGUUUUAUCUCUAAUUAGAGCAUCAAUCUUCACAAUAUCUACAAAGCUACAAUGGCUACAAAACAAACCUGCUUGCAAAUUGUCAAGGAUACUUAUCCUUUCUCUUGACAAGUCAUUUGGAAAAAUACUGUCCCUUGGCGGCUCCAUGACUUCUCUGCUCCUCCUUUUGGUCUUAAUGUACGGUUGCAUAAUGAUAGUUUAGGCCCUUUAGGGACUACUUUCCCUGGGGUUGUUAAGUCUUAGCUUGUGCUAGGCUCGUUUUUCUUACCAAAAAAAAAGGGAAUACUUCUCCUAUAAGAAAUAAUCUCUAUAUAUAGGGUGGUUGGAUUCACUUGUUUACAUAACAGAUCAAUUAGUUCUCUGUAAAUAGAGAGUUUCUAGUAUAAGAGAAACGGUAGAUCUAUUGAGAGAUUAUGUGUUAUUAAAAUUUUAGUUGCGAAGAAAAGUACUAGAGUGAUUGUAUUAAUUUUUUACAUAGUAGAUUUUUCUAUCGUCAUCUUUAUGGCUGUGAUUUUUCUUCCAUAUAGAAGUUUCUCACGUAAAUUUUUAUGUUGUGUGAUUAGUUUUAUUCUCUAUCUAUUUUUUGUUUAAUAUUUUAUUUGUAAGAUGCUGGAUGGGAUUAAAAUUUCUUAACAAAUAACGGAUUAAAAAUCAUGAAGAAAAAGCUCAAGAGAUCUUCAAGAUUUGAAGUGUGCAAAAGUUCAUAUUACUGCUAGAUGAUAUAUGGGAGCGGGUUGAUUUAGUAAAAAUGGGUGUCCCUCUUCCUAGAUCAGAAAACAGCACAUCCAAAGUGAUAUUUACAAACCCGUUCUGAGGAAGUUUGCGGCUUAAUGGAAGUUCGUAGGAGUUUUAAAGUGGCGUGCUUAUCAAAUAAAAAUGCUUGGGAAUUGUUUCUAUACAAAGUUGGGGAAGUGAAAGAAAACAGAGAUGUACUGUUUGGUUGAAUAGAAAAUUACAGAGAAAAUUCUCAAUACUUGUAUUUGAUAAGAUUCAAUUCUUAAGAGCUUUUACAAAUCAGUACAAGUAUUUAUAUUAUUCCUUACACGUGAGAAUUGCUAGUAACUCACUAACUAACUAACUUUCUUUGAGCUGGAUCACUAACACUUGACUAAUCACACUGAGCUGUUAUUCUUCACUAACAACCUUCUGCUGACGUGGCUUCACCAAGCUACUUGAAUAAUGAGCAGCCUUGACAGCCCCCCUCAAACUCAAGGGACAAGACAUGACGUUGAGUUUGGCCCUAAGAUAGUUAAAAUGGAUGAAUGAGAGUGGCUUGGUCAUGAUGUCAGCUACCUGCUCCUCACUUGGUAUAUAUUGAAUGUUUAGUUCUCCAGCAAGAACUUUGUUUCUAACAUAAUGAAUAUCAAUCUCAAUAUGCUUUGUUCUUGAGUGGAAAACUGGAUUGUGAGCUAACUCUGUUGCACUGAGAUUGUCACACCAAAUAACAGGUUUCUCUAUGCAUUGUAAUUUCAACUCAGAAAACAGUGAUUGCAGCCAGCUUAUCUCGGCACUUGCUGAGGCUAGGGACCUAUACUCACUCUCUGCACUGGACCUAGCAAUAACAGGCUGCUUCUUAGACGACCAAGAUAUCAGAUUAUGACCAAGAUAGAUGCAAUAGGCUCCAAUCGAUUUUCUGUCAUCCAGAUCCCCUGCCCAGUCUGCAUCUGUGAAUCCUGUUAGUUUCAGAUCACCAUCCUUAAUAAUUUUGAGUCCAUAGUUCUGUGUAGCCUUUAGAUAUCUGAGCACUCUUUUGCAAGCCAUAAGGUGCUGCAGUGUUGGUGCAGAAACGUAUUGACUCAGCUUGUGAACACUAAAGGCAAUUUCUGGUCUUGUUAAUACCAAAUAUUGCAUCCCACCAACAAUGCUUCUGUAAUGUGUUACAUCUUCAACAUAACAACCAAGAUUACCUUGAGCUUCCUUCUGUAGCUUCAUUCCUGUACUCAUAGGAGUAUCAAUAUCUUUGCAAUUUAUCAUCUCAACUCUUGACAGCAGAUCCCUUAUGUAUUUCCUUUGAGAUAAGAAAAUACAAUCUUUAUCAUACAGUACUUCAAUGCCUAAGAAAUAAGAGAGAACUCCAAGAUCCUUCAAAGCAAACUUUGUACUGAAUUCUGUAAUGAAUUUUUCCAGCUCAAAGCUAUUUGGUCCUGUUAUUAAAAUGUCAUCAACAUAUAUAAGAACUAGAAUCAUAGAUGACUUAUUUAUUUUCAAGAAUAAGGAGGUAUCUGAGCUGGAAUUUGUGAAUCCCCACUGCAACAAACAGCCUUUCAACUUAUCAUACCAAGCUCUUGGAGCUUGUUUAAGUCCAUAAAGAGACUUGUGAAGCUUGCAUACAAAGUCUGGUUUCUCAAAGCUGAUAAAUCCCUCUGGUUGAUCCAUGAACACUUCCUCUGUUAAGUCUCCAUUAAGAAAGGCAUUAUUCACAUCAACUUGCCUUAUCUUCCACUGAUUCAUCACAGCUAAACUCAAGACUACUCUUACAGUUGCUGGUUUUAUGACAGGACUGAAAGUUUCAAAAUAAUUCACUCCUAUAAUUUGUUGAAAUCCCUUUGCAACUAACCUAGCUUUGUAUUUAGCUACACUUCCAUCAGUGUUGUAUUUAACCCUAUACACUCAUUUGUUUCCAACAACUCUUUGAUCAUUUGUUUUUGGCACUAAGGACCAUGUACCACUCUGCAUCAAAGCUGCAUAUUCUUCUUUCAUGGCUGUAAACCAUUUUGGGUUUUGCAUAGCCUCAUAUACAGAAUCAGGUUAUUUGUGAACAAGGGUUGCUGUAUAAAGCUUUGGUUUGAAGAUACCAGUUUUGCUUCUGGUAGUCAUUGGAUGUGUAUUAGGUUGGACUGGAAAAGAUAUAUCAGGUGUAGGUUGAGCUAAUAAGGAUAUGUCAGGUGCAGGUUGUGGUGAAUUUUGAGGCUCUGUAGAUGGUUCAAUAAAUGUGGUAUGUGUUUGUGAAUAGGAAUGUUGAUUGUCAGUAUGAAAUGGAUUAUCUGAAUGUUGUGAACUGCUGCUGGUAGAAAUUGCAGAUAGAGGAUUGCAUGAGCUAUUUCCAUCUGAUACUGGUGUUGUAGAUAAUAUGGUCAGAUGAAACACUGGUUGGGGUGUAAGGGAUUGACUCGAAUAAGAUGAUGAUUCAUUAGAAUGAAAAACUGAGUCUGUAGAAUAAGGAAAUGUUGACUCAUAAAAAACAACAUGUCUGGCUAUGUACAUCUUGCCUGAUGAAUGCAAGCAUUUGUAACCUUUGUGAACUGGACUGUAGCCAAGGAAAAUGCAUUUGCUUGAGUGAUAAUCAAAUUUGUGUUUGUUGUAAUCCCUUAGAUAAGGAUAACAUGUGCAACCGAAACACUUGAGCAUGCUGUAAUCAGGUUUAAGUUUAAAAAUUGUCUCAUAUGGGGUAAGAAGUUUCAGAGCUGUUGAGGGUAAUCUGUUUAUAUGGUAAACAGCUGUAAGAAAAGCAUCCCACCAAAAUUUAAAUGGUAGCUUAGCUUGUGCUAAUAGGGUUAGUCCUAGCUCAACAAUGUGUCUAUGUUUUCUUUCUACCACCCCAUUUUGGUGAUGUGUAUAAGGACAAGAAUGUCUGAAAAUGAUUCCACAUUGGUUUAAGAAUUGAGUAAAUGAUCUGUAUUCUCCCCCCCAAUCAGAUUGCAGGUUUUUAAUGGGGCUGUCAAAUUGGUUUUCAACCUGCAAUUUGAAUAGUUUGAAUACAUCUAAUGCCUCAGAUUUCAACUUAAGAGGAUAAAUCCAAGUGUAUCGGCUAAAAUCAUCAACAAAACUUAUGUAAUAGACAUAGCUAUCUCUAGAAGGUGUAGGUGAGGGUCCCCAUAGGUCUGUAUGUAUAAGCUCAAGGGGUUUUGUUGUUUUGGUUUCUGUGCUGGGAAAAUGCAGCCUAUGGGAUUUGCCCAUUUGACAUGCUUCACAGAUAUGCUCAAGUGUUUGUUUUAUGUUAUUUCUUGAGAGAUUAACUGAAGUAAUUCCUUUUAGCAAAUGCAUUAGAAUUUGAGAAUUAGGAUGGCCAAAACGUUUGUGAAGAAGAAGAAUUUUAUUAUUCAAUGCAUCACAAGAUGAAAUGUAGCUGGAAAAUUUAUUUAUUGAUGCAUUACAAACUGUGACACAACUGGAAUCAUUAUUCUGAGUGUUUUUAAGAACACUUGAAUCAAAAGAACAUGCAGAUAACAUUGACAAAGGUUGAGUGGAUGAAGGUUGACCCAUGUAAGAACAAGGAAGAGACUCAGAUGGUCUUAGAAGUAGCUUAUACAAUCCUUUCUCAGCAAUUCCUGUCAGAAGCACUUGCCUCUUCAGAGAAUCCUUCACAUAGCAAACAUUAUCAACAAAUUCAAUAGAGAUAUUGUUAUCAGCAGUUAAUUUUGAUAUGCUGAGCAGGUUCUUUGUGAUAUCAGGUACUAAUAACAUGUCAUUCAGUAAGAUAUGUGUUGGUUUAUAUGCAGCAUUUGAUCCUUUAUAAGUAAAACAUGGAUUACCAACAUGAGUUAUAGGCAAACCUUGGCCAUUGCCGAUGACAAGUUGAUUAGAUCCUCUGAAUUCCUCUCUGACAUUCAUGUUGGCCAUACUGUUAGUCAAGUGAUGUGUGGCACCAUUGUCAAGGUGCCAUCCUUCAUCAGCAGGCCCUUCAUAGUUGGUAAGAUAGGCUUCAGGAAUUACUGUGUCUGUUGAUGGAUAAGAGGAGAAGGAUAAAGGAUUGUAGCUUGAGUAGGGUGCAGCAUACUGUUCUUCAGUUGAAGGAGCAGCAUAGGUUAGAGAUGGAUCAAAGUUAGCUGUGUAUGCAGCCUUAGAUUCAAAAGAUCUGCCCCUUCCAAAAUGCCUAGGUAAUGGUUGAGGAUUGUCAUCAUAUCUAUGCCAGCAUUCAUCUGCUGCAUGUCCUGUUUUGUGGCAUAUCUGACAUAUGGUUGGUAAUUCAUCAGCAUGCAUGUUAGCUGAAGGAUGAAAGUUUGGCUUCAUAGGUGGCCUAAAAGGUUGCAUCAUCUGGCCCCUGCCAUAACCCCCAACAUUACCAACACCAGGUGAAAAACCUCUGGGAUGUGGAUUGUGAAACAUGCCUCUUCCAACAUUAAAUCCUCUAGUCAUAGGUCGACCAUAAUUUCCAUUUCCAACAACACCUCUUCUAAAAUUUCCUCUCAUAUAAGGAUGAUUCACAUUCAUUGUGCUAUAGUUUGCAUUAAACACAGUUUUGGCACUUUGAUUUUGUUCAAGUCUAGCUUCAUGAGUCAGUAAUAAUGCAUAAGCAUCAUCAUAGCUCAUCUUAUUAGCUGUGAUUAUGGAAGCUAGAUCUAGAUAACCUGAACCUAAGCCAUUCAAAACUCUCAUUAACAGAUCCUUUUCAGUGAUUACAUCACCAGCACAAGCAAGUUUGUUGGCGAGUAAUUUCAUUUUAGCACAAUAUUCCUCAACAUUCAUUGAAUCUUUUCUUAAGAUAUUCAUUUCAUAUCUGAGUUGCAUAAUCUUAGCCUCAGAUUGAACUCCAAACUGUUUUUCAAUAGAUCUCCACACAUCAAAUGAAGUGUCAUAGCUAAGAACAGAACUAAGAAUACCUUCACUUAUAGUUGAGAGCAGCCAGCCAAGGAGUAUUUGAUCUUGUGCUCUCCAGUUGCUGUAGGCUGGAUUUUCAAUGCUCUCACCAGAUCCUUCGAUCAUUGAAUCAACUAGAUACUGUUCUGGAAUAAUUUGCGGCUCUAGAAUGAAUCUUUCAAGGCGAUUUCCUCUGAUUGAAGUUACCACUUGUUUGCGCCAAAGCAAGAAAUUUGAUCGAUCAAGUUUCACAGUUGCAGCAAAAGUAAAUGAUGUUUGUGUAUGUUGAUUUGAGUUUAUGAUUGUUUGAUUUGAGAUUGUAUUGCUUGAGCUGGCCAUUUGUGGCUCUGAUACCAUGAAAGAAAACAGAGAUGUACUAUUUGGUUGAAUAGAAAAUUACAGAGAAAAUUCUCAAUACUUGUAUUUGAUAAGAUUCAAUUCUUAAGAGCUUUUACAAAUCAGUACAAGUAUUUAUAUUAUUCCUUACACGUGAGAAUUACUAGUAACUCACUAACUAACUAACUAACUUUCUUUGAGCUGGAUCACUAACACUUGACUAAUCACGCUGAGCUGUUAUUCUUCACUAACAACCUUCUGCUGACGUGGCUUCACCAAACUGCUUGAAUAAUGAGCAGCCUUGACAGGAAGAAACUUUGAACAAUCAUCCUGAUAUCCUUCAGAAAGCACAAUAGUUGUUAAGGAGUGUGGUGGUUUGCCACUUGCACAUUUUACCAUCGGUCGAUUUAUGGCAUGCAAGAAGACACAGCCGAAGAAUGGAGAUAUGCUAUUCAAGUGUUCAAUUCGUCCGCUUCCCGUUUCCAGGUCUGGAAGAAUGGAUAUAUACUCUUGUAAAAUUCAGUUAUGAUAGUUUACCCAAUGACACAAUUACACCUUGUCUGUUAUAUUGUAGUUUAUAUCCAGAAGAUUGUUGCAUUUCUAAAGAGAAUUUGGUAGAUUGUUAGAUCAGUGAAGGAUUUUUUAAUGAGAGUGAUUGGUUUGGAGAAAAAAUCAAGGAUACUUCAUUUUGGGCAUUCUUCUUCACGUUUUUUUUUGGAAAAGGGAGGAGAUUGUGAAAUGAAAAAUGCAUGCAUGACGUUAUUCGUGAUAUGGCUUUGUGGAUCGCAUGCGACUAUGAGAAGGAGAAGGAGAACUUUUUGGUUUACGCUGGUGUUGGUUUAACUAAGGUACCGGAUAUUAGAGAUUGGGAAAAGGUAAGGAGAUUGUCAUUGAUGAAAAAUAAAAUUGAGAAUCUAUCCGAGGCUCAUACAUGCCCUCAUCUCCUCACUUUCUUUCUUGACGAUAAUGAGUUUCGGAAGAUCCCCGGUGAUUUCUUCCAGUUUAUGCCUUCUCUCACUGUUUUAAACUUGUCAUGUAUUAAACUAAAGUCAGUUCCUUUAGGGACUUCAAGGUUGGUUCCACUACAACAACUCGAUCAUUCAUAUUCAAGCAUAAAAGAGUUGCAAGAAGAGUUAAAUGCCCUGAUUAAAGUUAAAUGCUUGAAUAUAGAUCAUGUAGAGGAGCUAAUUACAGUUCCACAACAACGGAUAUUUAAUUUUUAAGGUUAUAUGUGUUGAGAAUGUUCGAUACUAUUAGUUUAAAUUUUCAAGAAGCAUUAAAUAAAGACAGCAUUUUAUUUGGUGGGGAGGAAGUUUAAGCAGAGGAGUUGCUCGGUUUGGAAUAUUUGGAGGUAUUGAGCUUCACUUGAGAGGUGUUCGUGCUCUCCAAUUUAUUUUGAGCUCACAUAAGCUACGAAGUUGUACUCAAGCGCUGUUCCUCCAAUCCUUCAAUAAUUCGAUAUGGCUUGAUAUUUCACUUUUGGCAGAGUUAAAAGCACCACUGCAGAUUUAAGUAUUUUUGGCUGUAGAAAAUUGGAGGACUUGAAGAUGGAAUAUACAGGGGGAGCGAAAAACAAGCGGCAACCUUGUGUUUUCUAAGGCCUACAUACAGUUCACAUAGAGGUUUGUUCUAAAUUGAAGGACUUAACAUUCCUUGUUUCUGCUCCAAAUCUCAAGAACUUGGAAAUACAAAAUUGCCCUGCUGUGGAAGCAAUCAUCAGUGUGGGAGAAUUUGCGGAAGCUCUAGAGGUGGUGGAAAAUCUAAACCCAUUUGCAAAACUCCAGUAUCUUGGACUAGAAAAUCUGCCAAAUGUGGAGAGCAUCUAUUGCAAGCCUCUGCCCUUUCCAUGUUUGAAAAGAAAUGACUGUGGAUAGUUGCGGUUGUCUUAAAAAGCUUCCACUCUACUCCAACAGUGUAAAAGAGUGUACAAUUGUUAUUUCAUCAUUCGGAGAGUUAAUGGUGCAAUGAGAUUUGGCAGUUAACUCUCGUGGGAAGAGCUUGAAUGGGAAGACGAAGCCACUCGAAUUGCUUUUCAUUCAUGUUUCAAAUCUCUGAUUGGAUUGGAGAUUGCAUUUCGCCUCAGGUUCGUACUUUUCUUGAAUUUUUCUUGUUAACUUCAUUUGUUCAUUUAUCCAUUUUUUUUUAAAGGAAUCAGAAGGGUUAAUAAUUUUGGUUGUGUUAGGUCGACUUCUAAUCACGAGGCAGAAGGAGUUGAGAUGAAGUUUAAUUUUGGUGGAGAAAUUGUUUGAUUUAAAAAAUUUAAAUGAGUUGACCAUCAUUCUUUAGCAUAUUUGUAUGAACAGGAGUGUGUAAAUAUGCAAACUGUCCAGCUGUAUGUGUAUAGCGUAAUAAUUUUGAGGAGUUAAAACAUUGAAGAAUAUUGAUGUUUCCAUUGUCAAACCAAAUAUACUUAAUUACUUGAGGAUAAUGAUUACUGCUAAUACAUUUGCUAAUACAUUUGCAAAGAAAAAAACAUGCCUAUUGAAAAACUCAUCUUAUUAGCAACAGCAUUAUAAGUAGUAUCCAAUCAUAGUUUCAUGCAAGAUUUUGAGAUUUUUCAAAUGCUGAUUCCGGGAAUGGAGAUUAAUAGAUAAUGGAGACAGGUUGACUGCAAUGGCUAAUUGCAAGAGGGAAUUUUAGUCGUAAAAACAGACCAACUAGCAAAGCAAAUUCCAAAUCUUGGAAUGAAGUGGCAAAAAAACGAAACAAACAAAUGGCAAGAGGAAGUGACUAUACAAUAAUAACAUCGACUUGCAAUUCAACAUUUAUACAGUUUUACUCACCAAGAAAAGAGAAAAUUACAAUAGCAAUUUGGCUACUAGAAGAUGUUCAUUCAUGCUUAUGCCUGUCAUAUGGAUUUGAAACAAGGAGUAAAAGCAUUUAGAGUGGCUUCAUCCUUCCACUGCAGCUCAUUCCACCAGUGUUGCUCUCCCCUAAUAACAAGUUUGCGUUCCUUGGCGCUGUUGUAAUCGAGUGGAAGCUUCUUGAGGUUCGGGCAUCCAGAUACAAACAAUUCUAAGAGAUUUGGAAAGUGCACUUAAAUUCUUAUGAAUUGCUUAAGUAUGCAAGCAGCAGAGCAGAAAACAAACAACCUUUUCAUAUAUUAUAAUAACAUGAAUAAUCAGAUAUACACAUCCUUCACAUAUUUAUACUAAACGUGAAAAAUGGUAGCUUGCUCAAAGGGAAAACAGAAAUGAAUAAAACAAAAGAUUACAGCUGCACUAGCCAAUCAUUGGAAACAUUCUAGAAACUCCAGCUUGCAGUAUUCACGUGUAAAUAUUCUCCUGCAUAACAGUUUUGCCAGCUCAUUGAAUACACCUCAACUUCUUCAUCAGCUGGUUGCUGGAUAUGGCUGCUCAGGUGGCAUGCCAGCAUGGCCUUUGGGUCAAUUGUUGACUCAUCUUCAUAAUCUGAAUUCUCAACACCCUCUCUCAAACUUAAGGUCUUGUCGAAGACAUUAAGUUUGCUUCUAAAUUGACUGAACUUGUAAUAAGGCAAUGGCUUGGUUAAUAUGUCUGCAACUUGAUCUCUGCUGGCUACAAAACUGAUUUCCAGCUCUCCUUGAGUGACUUUGUCUCUAAUGAAAUGAAGGUCUAUCUCAAAAUGCUUUGUCUUUGAGUGAUACACUGGAUUUGUGGCUAUUGCUGCUGCACUUGUGCUAUCACUUAAGAUCAUUGGAACUCUUUGCAUCUUGAUUUCCAAUUCACCAAACAGAGAAUUUAUCCAAGUGAUUUCAGUAGUACACAAAGCUAUGGCCCUGUACUCGGACUCAGCUGUCGAUCUUGCUACCAUGCCUUGCUUUAUUGAGCUCCAAGCUACUAAAUUGUCUCCCAAAAACACACAAUAUCCACUUACUGAUCUUCUGUCAUCUGGAUCACUAGCCCAGUCAGCAUCAAUAUAGGCUAUCAAAUCUAGAUGUUCUGACUUCUGGAACUUUAAGCACAUGUUUGCAGUGCUCUUUAGGUACCUCAACACUCGUUUGCAAGCUGUCCAGUGAGAUUGUCUUGGGUCAGACAGGUAUUGGCUAAGCUUGUUCACAGAAUAUGCAAGCUCUGGUCUUGUUAGAACAGCAUAAUGUAGACUUCCUACAACACUCCUAUAAAAUGAAGGAUUGUCAAGUUUGGUGCCUUCACCCUUCUUUAGUUUCUCUGCUGUGCUGAAAGGUGACUCUAUUCCCUUGCAAUUCUCCAUCUCUGUUUUAGCUAAUAGGUCUUGAACAUAUUUAGCUUGAGAGAGCAAAAUGGAGUUCUGAUUUCUUAUAACAUGUAUCCCAAGGAAGUAGCUUAAAUUUCCAAGAUCUUUCCACUUAACUUUCCUAUCACUUCCUCAAUACCCUUGCUGUUAUUUCCAGUCACAAUUAUGUCAUCUACAUACACAAGCACAAUGAUUAUUUCAGCACUGCUUCUUUUGAAGAAUAGAGAAAUAUCACACUUGGAGUUGUUGAAUCCCCAAGAGCACAGAGCAUUCUUUAAUUUGUCAAACCAUGCUCUGGGUGCUUGUCUCAGUCCAUAAAGAGCUUUCUUGAGCUUGCAUAUGUGGUUUGGUCUUCUCCUAUCCUCAAAUCCCUCAGGUUGUGGCAUGUACACUGUCUCUGUCAAAUCUCCAUUCAGAAAUGCAUUAUUUAUGUCAACCUGCCUCAACAGCCAAUCAUUACUUACAGCCAAAGUUAAAAUGAUUCUGAUUGUUGCAGCUUUGACCACAGGGCUGAAAGUCUCAUUAAAGUCAAGUCCUGGUGUCUGCAGAAACCCCUUCAAGACAAGUCUAGCUUUGUAUCUAUUUAUGGUGCCAUCUGGAUUUUCCUUUACUUUGUACACCCAUUUGUUGCCAAUGAGUUUGUAGUUCUGGUCAUGUGGAAUUAAGGUCCAGGUUUGGUUUUUGACAAGAGCAUUAUAUUCAUCCUCCAUUGCUCUUCUCCAUUUAGGAUCUUUCAGUGCCACAGUGGAGUCAGGGGGUAAGGAAGUUUGAGAUUGAGUGGAUAUUUGAUAAACCUUUGGCUUGCAAAUCCCUGCUUUUGACCUUGUGAUCAUGGGAUGUAAGGAGGCUUGAGUGUUUGGUUAUGUUAUGAGAGGCAAGGUGCAAUUUUCUACUGAGGUGUUUGGUGAGAGUUCAACAGGUGAGUGGUUGUCUGAUAUAGAGUUGAAGCUCAAAUUCUAACAAGCUCCAUCUUAACUAAAACUUGGGAGCUGUUCUGAGUUUCCAGCAGUGGCCUGAGAUUAACUAUGAGCUGCAUUUUGCUGUGUUGACUCAGGGGGAACAGUAGUGGAGAAAGAUACAACUUGAAAUUUUUCUAGAACUGUGGGGGAAUCAUUUUGGUCAGUGAGCCUUUGCUUGCAGAAAUUUGAGUCAUUUUGAAAAGGGAAUGAAUGAUCAUUAAAUUGACACUGGCUGAAAUGUAGAUCCUCCCAGAAUGAUGCAUGCAAAUGUAACCUUUGUGACUGAUGCUAAUGCCUAGUAGUGUGCACUUGAAAGUGUGAAAAUCAAACUUAUGCUUGUUGUAGGGUCUUAAGUAUGGAUAGCAUUCACAACCGAAAACUUUAAUUUGGGAAUAAUCUGGUUUGGUGAGAUAUAACAGCUCAAAUGGAGUUUUAUUUUCAAGAAUAGGUGAGGUUAAUCUGUUUAUGAUGUAGGUGGCAUAGCUGAAAGCUUCUUGCCAAUAUCUCAAAGGCAUUUUUGCUUGGGCUAGUAAUGUUAGGCCAGUUUCCACAAUGUGUCUGUGCUUUCUCUCCACCUUUCCAUUUUGUUCAUGUAAAUAAGGGCAUGAGUGUCUUAAGGCUAUUCCUUCUUUCUUGAGAAAGGGUUCGAAAGUUUUAAACUCCCCACCCAUGUCUGUUUGUAAAGCCUUGAUUCUUAAAUUUAGCUGAUUUUCUACUUGGUUUUUAAACACAAUGAAUGUGUCAAGGGCCUGUGAUUUUGUUGUUAAGGGAAACAACCAUGUGUAUCUUGUCUUGUCAUCCACAAAUGAUAUGUAAUAUCUGUGUCCAUGGGUAGAUGGAAUAGGUGCUGGUCCCCAGAGAUCACUAUGUAUUUGUUCUAAGGCUGUGCUGGUCUUGGUUUCAAUGCUUUUAAAGUUUAGUUUUGAUUGCUUUCCAUACUGACAAGCAUUACAGAAUGAGGGAAAUAUAUUUUUAUUUAAGUUGAGCUGAUUACAAGAUAAUAGAGUAUUUUUCAGAACUGACUCAUUUGGAUGCCUCAGCCUAUGGUGCCAGAGAUCUAUUUCAUUUGUUCUAAGAUCCCUACUGCUUGUAUCAGCUCUACUGGACUCGACAACACUGGCACCAACACUGGCACCUAAAGACUCAUUACUACUGAAAUUGAAACAUGCCAUUGACAUUGGAUUGCUAAUGCAACUUAUUGACUUGGGUAUUGGAAAUGAAGAUAACUCAGCAGCAUAAGUAACCUUGUUGCCACUCAAAUGAGUUGGCAUGCAUAGCAGCUCAUAUAGUCCAUCUCUAGCCACUCCUUUCACCAGAAUUCUCCCUUGGCUCUUGUCCUUGAUGAAGCAAACAGAUUUUUGAAACUCAACAUCAAUAUCAUUAUCAUGAAGCAAUUUGGAAACACUAAUGAGAUUUUUGGUAAUAUCAGGUACAAACAAAAUAUGAUUUAAUUUGAUGUGUUUGUGUGGACUGUAAGUGGGCAAUAUAGAAUAACCAAUGUGAGAGAUAUGAAGUUUGUUACCAUUACCAACAGUGAGCUUGUCAUUACCUUGGUACUCUGAGUUCAGGUUCAUGUUUCCAAUAGCAUUGGUCACAUGAUUUGUGGCACCACUGUCAAGGUACCAGGCAUUGCUGUUUUGUCCUUCUGUUGUGGCCAUGUAGGCUCCUCUCCUCCUAUUUAGCUGUGGCACAUAAUUUUUCUUAAACCUAUGCCAGCAUUCAACAGCUGUGUGCCCCAUUUUGAAGCAGAUUUGGCAUGGACCCUUUGAUUCAGAACCUUCACCUUCUGCAGCAGCUUUGCCUUUGCCUUUGUCUUGAAUAUUUUGAUUUCCCUGACCAUGACCACCAUUGCCACCAUUUCCAGUGCCACCACCAGGAUUUCUGAAGACUAUCCCAGGUUGUUGCUGACUGCCAAAUCUUUCACCAUUGCCCCAGUUCCUCCUGCCAUUUCUCAUCUGUGUGAAGUUAGCCUCAAGAAUCCCUGGGCUGAGAUUUUGCUCAGUCCUGGUUUCUUGGCUGAGGAGCAUGCUGUAGACCUCUGACAAUGAAGGAGUUUCUGGCAUAGAGUUAAUGUUAGUGACAACAGAGUCAUAUUCAGAUCAUACUCCAGCUAAGACACACAUAAUAAAGUCCUCAUCACUCAUGUUAUUUCCAGCUGCUCUGAGUGUAUUUAGGAUAGUUUUCAUCAUGGAGUAAUAAUCAUGGAUUGUAAGAGAGCCCUUUUUAGUGGUUUGAAUCUGUGUCCUCAAAUAUAGGAUUCUAGCUCUUGUUCUUGCACCAUACUGAUUGGUAAGAGUUGUCCAAACUUCAUGUGAAGUAGAACAAUCCACCACAGUGCCGAGGACACCCUCACUGAGAGAUGAGAGCAACCAGCUCAAAAGAAUGUGGUCCUGUUUCUUCCAGAUUUGAUAUUCUGGAUUUUGGUGGGUAACGGUAGCUUGGUUAGGUCCAGGACUGGUGAAAUAUCUGGGGGGACAGGUAUAGCUUCCAUUUAUGAAGCCUUCAAGCUCAUUUGCUCGUAUGCUGGAGACCACUUGUGAUCUCCAGAGCAUGAAAUUGUUCUGUGUUAACUUGAUGGGAGUGGUGAACACAUAUGUGUUGCUGGUGAUAUGUUGGGUAGGAGAUGGGUUCAUUAUGGUCACAUUUCUUGUGUUAUUAUCUGGAUUCUGAUUGUCGAUAUUUUCAGGUUGGUUUUGAUUCAAAUCAUUUGGUUGAUCAUCUGGAUUUUCCAGAGUUUGAUUCAUGUUUGUUUGUGAAUUUCUGCUGCUUUCCAUAGCUCAAAAGUUGCUCUGAUACCAACUUAAAUUCUUAUGAAUUGCUUAAGUAUGCAAGCAGAAGAGCAGAAAAAAAAUAACCUUUUCAUAUAUUAUAAUAACAUGAAUAAUCAGAUAUACACAUCCUUCACAUAUUUAUACUAAACGUGAAAAAUGGUAGCUUGCUCAAAGGGAAAACAGAAAUGAAUAAAACAAAAGAUUACAGCUGCACUAGCCAAUCAUUGGAAACAUUCUAGAAACUCCAGCUUGCAGUAUUCACGUGUAAAUAUUCUCCUGCAUAACAGUUUUGCCAGCUCAUUGAAUACACCUCAACUUCUUCAUCAGCUGGCUGCUGGAUAUGGCUGCUCAGGUGGCAUGCCAACAUGGCCUUGGGGUCAAUUGUUGACUCAUCUUCAUAAUCUGAAUUCUCAACAAUGCAUUCAAACAGAUCUUCUUCAAAUUUCUUAGAACUUGCAACCGAAGAUAUUGGAGUUUCGCAAAAGGUUUUAGCCCUGUAACUUCUUCCACUUUCCAAACACUGAUUAUUUCUUCCAUCUCAUAACAACGUUCUACAUGGACCAUCUUCAGAUUUGGGGCAAAAACAAGCCAUGUCAUCUCCCUCAAUUUACUGCAAUAGUCUAUGGUAACACUUUGAAGGCUGUUGAAACCAUAAGUUCUCUUGUUGUUUGAACUUCUGCAUAGUCAACCUUUAGCUCUUCCAAACUUGUACAAUACACAAAAUCUAGUUUGUCAAGAUACUUGAGAUCUGCUAUGGACAAAAUAUUCCAUGACCUUGAAUCCUCACAGCGUCGAAGCUCUAAAGCAUAUUUACAACUCUUGUACUGUUGGCAGCUCAAAAGUCUUCGUAGAGCAUAAAAACUUCUUAACGUGACGCUUAAUACAUUUAAAUGUUCCAAAGUAAUCAACUCCUCUACCAAAAUUUCACUACCACCAAAUAGAACGCUAUCUUCUGGUACUGUAUUAGCAGAGCCACAAUCUAGCAUCCUCAACACCUUUAACCCAGAAAAAUUACAAAGCAGUUGCCGUGGAAUCGUAUGGAGAUAACGCAUGUACUCCAAGUUCAAACACUUUAGAUUUUUCAAGGCUUUUAAUUCAUGUGGUAACUCUUUGAUGAAAGUUUCUGAAAGAUUAAGAUAUUGUAGUGAAACCAAUUUUGAAAUUCCUGAAGGCAAUUGACUCAAGGAGCGAUUCUUUGAUAGGUUUAAAACUUUAAGAGAAGGCAUAAAAUCGAAGAAAUCACUAGGGAUAGUAUCUAACAUAUUAAUGCCGAGGAACAAAGUUAUAAGAUGAGGGCAUAUUGGAGUUAUUGGUAAAAUCACAAUUUUAUUUCUCAUCAACGAUAUCCUUCUCUUAUCUUCCCAUUGUUUAACCUCGGGUGGUUCAGUUAAUUCAAUACCGGCAGAAACCAAAAAGUUUUCAUUCUCCACUUCACAGGCUAUCCACAAGGUCAUAUCACGAAUCACAUCAUGCAAUUUUACAUAAUCUGAUCCUGCUUCUUCCAAUAGGCAUGCAUGAACAAGAACACCAAUAAUGUAGUAUCCUUGGUUAUGUACUCCAUUAAUUCCUUCAUAUUCCUUCAGAAAACCCUCACCAAUCCAACACCCUAUCAAUUCAAUUUUGCUAAUUUGAUAAUCCUCAGGAAAUAAACUACAGUAUAACAGACAAGAUCUAAGGACGUCACUAGACAAACUAUCAUAACUGAAUUUUAAAAGACGAAACACCUCUUUCUCCAUACCUGGAAAUUCAUAAGCUGAUCUCCUUAACAUCUGAAUUGCAUAGCUCCAUUCUUCGGGUGUCUUCUUGCUGCUCAUGGCACGACCGGUGGUAAUAAGUGCAAGUGGCAAACCACUACACUCCUUUGCCACAGUUUUGGCUAACUCCGGAAUAUCGGGAUGACUUUCAAGAGUCUCUUCUCCGACCUUCUUUAGGAACAAUUCCCAAGCAUCUUGAUCUGCCAAACACUCCACCUUGAACUUUUUUUGAGCUUCCAUGAGGCCACAGACGUCCACAAGACGAGUCGUAAAUGUUGAAAGUCAUGGCUGGCGCCGGCCAUCUAGAUGGCCGGUGCCAACCAUUCAACAUUCAACACGGCCCGCCAUUAUUGGUGGUGCCGUGUUGAAUGACUCCAUAAAAAAAAAAAAAAAAAAAAAGAGCCAAAAUUUUGGCUAUAUAAAGAGGGCUUCCCACCCUCAUUUAUAAUCCAAUCUUGAGAGAGCAAUUUAGGGAGUUGAGAGAGAGUUUAAGAGCUUGCAUUUAUAAGCUCUUAUUUUAGUGAUUUGAGAGUUUGGGUGUAUUGGGGUUUUGGGUAGUGAGCUAAAAUACUACAAUACUUGUAACUCCUUUUCACUAGUAAAAUAUUUCCUUCUGUCUUUGCCCAUGGACGUAGGCUAAAAGCCGAACCACGUAAUUUCUGGUGUCCUCUAUUGUGCUUGUUCUUUAUUUUAUUUCCAAUUUCAUUUUAGCUGCGGUCCUGCUUCACCCACCAAUUUCCUAACAGUGGUAUCAGAGCUAUUGGUUGUAUUUUUGGAGUCGGGAACUGUUCACGUAAGGGGUACUAUUCACGUAUACGACACUAUUCACGUAUACUGUACUGUUCACGUAUACGGGUUUGUUCACAUAUACGGUACUGUUCACGUAUACGAUACUAUUCACGUAUACGGUACUAUUCACGUGAAACGGGGAAGCGAUCCAAGAAUUUUCCGGUGCAAAGCAGGGAAUAGUAGUGUGAGAAAAGCAACUGUGGUUUUGUACAUGUCUAGGAAAGUUCUGUCACAAAGGCGAUAAGAGCUUAAGGAGUCUGGGUUUUAAGUGGGACCAUUGUGACCCCUCCAGUCUUUCCUGGGAACUUUCCUGGUGUGCAUUCUCACACAUACUCACAACUAUUCAAGGUGGUAUACUAGCUUGUGUGCAGUAUUUAUCAACAAAAUGGCGGCAAAGUAUGAAAUUGAGAAGUUGAACGGAAAUAAUUUUUCGUUGUGGAAAAUGAAGAUGAAAGCUGUAUUGAGGAAAAAUAAUUGUUUGGCAGCAAUUGGAGAAAGGCCCAUGGAGAUAACUGAUGACAAGUGGAACGAGGUAGACGGUAACGCCAUUUCUGAUCUACACUUGGCACUUGCGGAUGGUGUAUUAUCUAGUGUGGCAGAGAAAAAUACGGCGAAGGAAAUAUGGGAUACUCUCACAAAAUUGUACGAGGCCAAGUCACUACACAACAAAAUCUUCUUGAAGAGAAAACUAUAUACUCUUCGAAUGGCGGAAUCUACAAUGGUGACCGACCACAUCAACACUUUGAAGACUCUAUUUUCACAACUCACAACGUUGGGUCAUAAUAUAGAGGAGAAUGAACGUGCAGAGCUUCUACUUCAAAGUCUACCAGAUUCGUAUGAUCAACUCAUCAUCAACCUGAUGAACAACAAUCCAGUGGAAAGUCUAGUUUUCGACAAUGUUGCAGCCUCCGUAUUAAAUGAGGAGAGCAGACGGAAAAAUAAGGAAAACAGACAAGCAAGUUCGCAGCAAGCAGAGGCGCUAUCGGUGACGAGAGGGAGAUCAACGGAACGUGGCCCCAGUGGGAGUCAAAGUUAUGGUAGAUCAAAAUCCAGAAGUAAGAAAAAUGUUAAAUGCUACAACUGUGGCAAGAAAGGGCACGUCAAGAAAGAGUGUUGGAGUAACCAGAAGAGAAGAGAGGGUAAAGAACCUGAGUCAUCAAAUGCUCAGGGGUGUGUAGCAAGUACCUCGGAUGAUGGCGAAAUUCUCUACAGUGAGGCAACAACUGUUUCAGAAGGCAGAAAACGACUUUCUGAUGUCUGGCUUAUAGACUCAGGAGCUACCUGGCACAUGACCUCUAGGAGAGAAUGGUUCUACACAUAUGAACCUAUCUCAGGAGGAUCUGUAUAUAUGGGUAACGAUCAUGCCUUGGAGAUCGCUGGUAUUGGUACUAUCAAAAUAAAAAUGUUUGAUGGUACAAUUCGCACAAUUGGGGAGGUACGACAUGUCAACGGCCUAAAGAAAAAUCUAUUGUCUUUAGGACAAAUGGAUAGUCAUGGGUACAAAACUCAUGUGGAGAAUGGAAUUAUGAAGAUCGUUAAAGGCGCGCUUGUAUUAAUGAAGGCAGAAAAGAUCAGUGCUAAUCUAUUCAUGCUUAAAGGAGAAACACUACAGGAGGCUGAUGCGUGUGUCGCGUCAAAUGGAGAAGAAUCAACGAUGAUGUGGCAUCUCAAACUCGGCCACAUGUCAGAACAAGGCUUGAAGAUUCUCUCUGAGCGAAAAUUGCUUCCGGGGCUCAAAUCAGUAAGUUUACCAUUUUGCGAGCAUUGUGUUAUAAGUAAGCAGUAUAGAUUAAAAUUCAGUAGAUCUAUUGCUAGAAGUAAAUGCAUUCUAGACUUGAUUCAUUCUGAUGUUUGGGAAUCACCGGAUAUAUCCAUGGGAGGUGCAAAGUACAUGGUGACUUUCAUUGAUGAUUAUUCCAGAAGAUGUUGGGUGUAUCCAAUUAAGAAAAAGUCAGAUGUAUUUCCUGUGUUUAAAGAAUACAAAGCGCGGGUGGAACUUGAAUCUGGUAAAAAGAUCAAGUGCUUAAGGACAGAUAAUGGUGGAGAAUAUACAUACGACGAGUUUCUUGCUUUCUGUAAGCAAGAAGGUAUUCAGAGGCAAUUCACGGUGGCAUACACUCCUCAACAAAACGGAGUAGCAGAGCGGAUGAACAGAACUCUUACAGAAAGAAUAAGAGCUAUGUUGAGGACUGCUGGUUUACCCAAUUCAUUCUGGGCAGAAGCAGCCAAAACCGCCUGUUAUAUAGUAAAUCGGUCGCCAUCUACAGCUAUUGGGUUGAAGACAGCGAUGGAGAUGUGGACUGGAAAGCCAGCUGAUUAUUCCUACCUACAUGCAUUUGGAUGUCCUGUGUACGUGAUGUACAAUGCCCAAGAAAGAACAAAGCUGGAUGCAAAAUCUAGAAGAUGUAUCUUCUUGGGGUAUGCUGAUGGAGUAAAGGGGUAUCGUCUGUGGGACCCCACUGCCCAUAAGAUCGUCAUCAGCAGAGAUGUUAUCUUUGUAGAAGAUCAACUACAAAGAAAAGAUGGAGAUGAUGGCACUGUAAAAGAAAAGUCAGAGACUGUACCAGUAUAUGUCGAAAAUAAUCUAGAAGAUUCAGAUUCUUCUGAAGCAGCACCAGAGCACGAGGAACAAGAACCAGUCGAGUCUGAGGCUCCAGAAGUUCGUCGGUCAACUCGUGAGAGACGACCACCGGCGUGGCACUCGGAGUAUGUCACAGAGAUCAACGUUGCAUACUGUCUUCUAACAGAGGAUGGAGAGCCUUCAACUUUCCAUGAAGCUUUAAACAACUUAGAUGUUGCUUUGUGGAUGACAGCAAUGCAGGAAGAAAUUGAAGCUCUACACAAGAACAAGACAUGGGAACUUGUACCACUACCACACGGAAGAAAAGCCAUUGGAAACAAAUGGGUCUACAAGAUCAAACGUGAUGGCAAUGACCAAGUGGACCGGUAUCGUGCAAGAUUGGUGGUGAAAGGAUAUGCUCAGAAAGAAGGUAUUGACUUCAACGAGAUAUUUUCUCCGGUGGUUCGACUCACAACAGUCAGAAUAGUCUUGGAGAUGUGUGCUACAUUUGAUCUACAUCUUGAGCAGUUAGAUGUUAAAACUGCAUUUCUUCAUGGAGAACUUGAAGAAGAAAUAUAUAUGCUCCAACCAGAAGGUUUUGCAGAAACAGGAAAGGAGAACUUGGUUUGCAGGUUGAACAAAUCUCUAUACGGUCUCAAACAGGCGCCGAGGUGUUGGUAUAAGAGAUUUGAUUCCUUCAUCAUGAGCCUUGGAUACAACAGACUCAGUUCAGACCAUUGUGCAUAUUACAAGAGGUUUGAAGAUAAUGAUUUCAUCAUUUUACUGUUGUACGUGGAUGACAUGUUGGUAGCAGGCCCCAACAAAGAUCAAGUCCAAGAAUUGAAGGCACAAUUGGCUAAGGAGUUUGAAAUGAAGGACUUGGGACCAGCAAACAAGAUUCUAGGGAUGCAAAUUCACCGAGACAAAAAUAACAGGAAGAUUUGGCUUUCACAGAAGAAUUACUUGAAGAAAAUCUUGCGGCGCUUCAACAUGUAAGAUUGUAAGUCAAUUUCUACCCCACUUCCUGUUAAUUUCAAAUUAUCCUCAAGUAUGUGUCCUAGCAAUGAAGUGGAGAGGAAGGAGAUGUCUCGAGUACCGUAUGCAUCAGCAGUGGGAAGUUUAAUGUUCGCUAUGAUAUGUACUAGACCAGACAUUGCACAAGCAGUGGGAGCAGUCAGUCGAUACAUGGCGAAUCCUGGUGGAGAGCAUUGGAUAGCUGUAAAGAGGAUUCUGAGAUACAUCAGAGGAACCUCAGAUGUUGCAUUAUGUUACGGAGGAUCAGAGUUUACUAUCAGGGGCUAUGUGGAUUCAGAUUUUGCAGGAGAUCUUGAUAAAAGAAAAUCCACUACUGGUUAUGUGUUUACACUUGCAGGAGCAGCUGUAAGCUGGGUUUCGAAACUGCAGAUCGUUGUGGCUUUANNNNNNNNNNNNNNNNNNNNNNNNNNNNNNNNNNNNNNNNNNNNNNNNNNNNNNNNNNNNNNNNNNNNNNNNNNNNNNNNNNNNNNNNNNNNNNNNNNNNAUAUUCUUGAUUAAUCCAUUUUCUGAAAUUUUUUAUUUUGUAUGGUCAAUUAUACCUUCAUACUAAAAAUUUCUGAUGUUAUGGGGUUGUUGGAUGUGUUUUGGAUAUUUGCAGCUAAGUUUGAGUUUAUAUCUCAACUUAAAAUUUGUAGUUUUCACUUGAAAAAAUUCAGUUAAAAAUUGAUUGGUAGAAUUGUGAAGAAGUUUAAAUUUUUAGUUCAACCCGAUUGCAUAUUUAAGAACAUCUCAAAUGAAUUGCUUACUGCUAUCAUCAUCAUAAUUGUCAGAGAUGGUUAAUUGAUAGACUAUGUGCCUGGGUCGAGCACUGGAAGCCUGCAAUGCAGACUGAUUGAUUUAUCAGUUUAACGUGUGCCAGGAAUGAAGAACUGGAAUAUCACCGUCAAGCAAGCACCCUGUGGAGCAAUACCAAAGAAUGCACAAUCCGGCUUUGCAAGGUGACACUGGAGGCUUUUUGAAAAGUGCUUCACGCUCACUUGCACAGAUUGAGCAUCCCCUCUGGAUAUUGCCCUCUCUGAUCGAGUCUGAGCACUCAAAUUUUGGUCCUCAGAGGGAGCUACAGUUUUCUCUCCAAUAACCAACAAUUUUCUAAACUCAGCACCUAGUGUGAUCAGAGUUGUUGAUAUUUAUAAAUGGAGAUCCCCAUAUUUGCAAGUGGAGACAUUUAACAAUUCACCAACAUGCUUCAUCCGGUGUACAAAAUUCUGCAGCUGAUUCAAAUCCGGAACCUGAACCAGAGUCGGAGGUAUAUCUUGAGCCAUAUCUAAAGUAGUUUGAAGUUCAAGACCUUGAGCCCUUGACAAUGGUUUUGAAAUUGGAACAUCUUGGAUUACUGCAGACUUGUACCCCUUGGUUUCAAAGGUAAGGAAAGGCAUUGCUUGAGUACAAUUUGGAGGCAGCUUCUUCACCAAUUUUAUUUGGAGGCGAUUGGCAGCGGAUCCAGCAGCACCAAUUUCAGAGCAAAUACUGACACUACUUCGAACAGCACACUGAAGAAGUGAUAUGUCUACGGCAAAGGCAAUGCAGUCCUCAUUUUGGCUUGAGAUGCAGUAAUCAUCGAAGAGAGUUUCCUUGUGAAACUGGGCAACACAUUGAAUCCCUUCGCCACUGAGAAGGUUGUGGAGGAAGUAAGCUUUCUCUCUAGUGAGGCAGAGGUGGCAUACCUUCCCCAUUUUGUCGAGGGCAGGUAGGAAUCUUUUUUCUAAGAGAUUUACUUCAUUCUCUGUGAGAAAUGCUUUGAACUUCAUCCCUCUGUCUCUAUCCUCACUUAUCAGGAAAUAAGUUGAAAGCACUACGAAGAGAGAGAGAGAGAGAGAGAGAGAAUUAAGAUAUAUAGACAAGAAAAAUAUUAGACGUUGAUCUUACAAACUAAUACUUCAAGCAGUAUCCUGGAAAGCUAAAAACUGCAAGAUGGCUUGAAAUUUGAAAAGAGCACGUGCUUUUCCUCCUUAACUUGAGAAAAUGUUUAAUAUAGUGCACCUUAUGGAAGCAUUUAAGCAAUUAGAACUUUGCACAAAAACAUCAAGAAGACUAAACAAGUCAGAUGCAGUGUAUUUGUCCAAGCACAAAUUGCAUUUUGUCCUCAACUUUAAUAUUUAUUGAUGAGAAUCAAUACAGGUCCCUCAUUUGUUAUAGAAAGCUUUCUUUCUUGUAGUCUCACCAGUUAAUUCACAGGUCUAUAAUCAUCUUGCAAAGUUAAGGGCAUUUCUUUUGAUCUAAAGUCUUUGCAUCACCACCUCAUCACACGCCAAGCCAAUAUUCCAUUUACCUCUACAACAAAAAGUUUUAAUUAAACAAUCCUAAUGCACGCAGCCAAAUAAAAUGCAGUAAGAAUAUUCAACUUAAAAAUCUGAAAGCCAACUUGGUGAAUUGCCUCCUUAGGUGAAGUUCCAUGCUUUACUAUAGUUGACAGAACUCAGCAAAAGCUUCCAUACAACAGAUUUUGAAAAUGAUGAUGCCAACAGAUACUCAUUCAAUCCAUUGAAACUCCAAAGGUUCAUUGUUCAUAGAAGUUUACAAAGUUUUGGUCAUCAAAUAGCUCAGACCUAAUCCCAAACAAAAAAAGAGUGAAAAUUAGAUCACGAGCAGCUAAUUGUAAAUUCUAACUUAACUCUUCAUCUCCUUUGUAAACAAGAAACAAAAUGGAGACACGCAAAAUGAAUAUGGAGAAAAUUUGAACUCAAAUGAAAUGAGGGCACGAAAGCAAACAAAUGGCAUGCACAAAAAAACCAAGCCUCAAUCAAAAACUAAUUAACCAUUAAGAAAAAAAUUGGUCAGACAAUGAACUCCAAAUUCAGGAGUCAAGCAAGAAGCUUUCAUUAUUUCAGAAGCUCCUGUACAAAUUAAUAAGUUAUGCUCUUUGGAAGCAAAACCAAAUUCCAAGAGAAACAGAACCCAAAAAAUUUGCAAUUAUUCGCAAAGGAAGUGAAGCACAGGAUUCUAUCACACAUAGGAAUUUUAUAACAAGAGAUCGAUAUAUCGAAUUAGAAAACUCAAUUCGAAUUUGUGUGAAAAAUCAAAAUUAGAAGAUUUCACAUUUCGAGAGGAACAAGCAACAGAUGAGUUUAAUUUCAGCCAUAACAUGCUAAAAAUGCUACACUUAACGGUUCCUUGUCAGCUAUUGAUGCGUUCGCUCANNNNNNNNNNNNNNNNNNNNNNNNNNNNNNNNNNNNNNNNNNNNNNNNNNNNNNNNNNNNNNNNNNNNNNNNNNNNNNNNNNNNNNNNNNNNNNNNNNNNAAGGGUCAUGUUCAAGCAGGAAAACUUCUAGAACAGGUAAGGAUUCCAUCUACAGACAUCCAUUGACAGCAGAUAUAUUUCAUUAAGCAGACACUGUUAGCAUUCAAGAUGCUGGCAGAUUCACUUGAUUCUUAUUAGUUUGUUUAGUGGCAAGGCAUAUAACCUGUAUUUCAAAGCCAAGUUGUGCUAUUGAUUAUGUUAACUUUAUUGUUAACAUUAAGUGAUUUGGAGGACAUAAUCAAUGUAGGAAAAUUAGGUGAAGAGAUGAUGUCAAAUCUUGAACCUCUUACAAAGCUCCAAGUUCUUUACUUGAAGAAGCUGCCAAAUUUGAAGAGCGUCUACUGGAAGGCAUUUCCAUUCCCAGAUGUAUGCAGAAUUUUUGUAUUAAUGCCCAGUUCUUAAGAAGCUGCCACUGGAUUUUCAUGGGGCGGGCCAAGGUAAAAUUCUUAUCAAGGGAAAGGAAGAUUGGUGGAAAGAACUUCAAUGGGAGGAUCAAGCAACUCAGAAUGCAUUGCUUCCAUUUUUCAAAUCAACUGACAAGUGAUUGAAGGGGGCAUCAUCAACAGAGAUGGAGAGAUUCUGGAGCAGAUCAGCAGGGUUUGUAUAUGAUCUUUGGUGGUUGCUUUCUUUUGUGAUUUUUUUUUUCUCAUUUUUUUACCUUCCUGUCAUUUUAUCAUUUCUUUGUCUCUUUUUCUAUUGCUGAUGUUAGUGUAUGCUUACUGUUGCUUGACAAAGUUUGCUUGCUUCUUGUUUAUUAAAUUUUUUAUGGUCACAAAAUAUUACUUGUUCUAUUUGAGAGUGAUGUGAAUCAAUUUUCAAUUAUAUAUUUUUUGGUCAAUGUGAAUUCAAUUUCAUUUGUCUCCUGCAAUUAUUAAAAAAAUGCAGUCUCAUAAUAUGGAAAAGUCGACCGGCAAAAAUUUUGUGAAAGCUUCGGAGUGAAACAGGGAAUUCACUUACUACUAAGGACAAUUGGUGGCGAGCUAUUCCAUUCAUUUUAUGUCCCUACAUCUAUUUAAUUAUUAAAGAUAAGUGGUCCAUUUGUAAAUUUCAGAUUGUGUCUCUCUGAAAAUAACAAUAUUUAAAAUGUCUCUUAAAUUAUUAUAAAUUUUAAUUCACUCUCGAUUUAAAAUGGAACAUGCUGAUGAAAAUUUUUUUCUUCUCAAUAUUCAAUAAAAUUGAAAUAAAUUGUGUUUGCAGUAUUUUGAAAUAUUUUAAAGAUUAUUAUUUUAUAAGAGAGUAAUAUGAAAUGAAAUUUACUCUUCAUGCGUGAAAUGUUGAAAAGGACAAAGGAAAGUGUCACUGCUUUUAUUUUAUUUCAAAGUGGAGUCAUCUCACAUACUUUACCUCUAUCAUUACAAUUUUUCACGUUACAUUUUGAUUUAUUUAUUUCUUUUAACACAUGCAUGUGGGUUACUUUUCCGUAAGCUCCUUAAUAUAUGUUUAACACAAAUCAUGGAAGAGAUGGGAGUAUAUCAAGAUGAUCAAAGCAUGAGACAAAAAUAUUUAAGAAGUAAAACACUGAAAAUAGAGGAGAGAUGCAAGCAAAAGAUAUUCCAAAGAAAAGCAAUCUAUCCCCUUUCGAGGGCAAACUUAAUCAGGUUUAAGAAAAGUACAUGUUUUGGAUUGGUAGUUGCAGCCUUGCAGGAUAAUUGUUUUUGCCAUUAUAUUAGUUGGAGGAGUUGAACCCAGCGAAGAAUGUUAUGGAAGAGCAAAUUAAUGAUAUUUCUGAUAGAGUCUAUUUGAUUAUGUAGCCUGAAUGGAUGUCUUGUUGAAAGAUAUCUCAGUGCAUUAGUUCAUCCUUGUCUGUCAAUGUGUUUUUAAUGGUUUUUCCAAUUGUUUAUUAUUAUAGAUUGAUUGUAAAUUUAUAUGAAAAUUUGAUAUGAAUUUAAUGUUGAAAUGUUUUCUCUUUAGUGGAAUGAAUUUAAAUUGAUUGAUUGUAAAUUGAUAUGAAUUUAAUGUUGCAAUGUUUUCUCUUUAGUGAAAUGAACUUAAAAGUGUAAAAGAUUAUUGCACACAUAGAAAUAAACAUAUAUGCUUUAUAGUAUAACUUUAGCAAUCGAUUCUUUUACGGCUGGAAACAGAGAUGAUGAUUAUCAUAGGGGUGAAGAAAAGGACAAAAAAUAUUAAUAAAUGAUCUUAAUGUUCCACAAAAGCAAAUCGUAAUAUUCCACAAGAAAAAGCAAGAUCUUAAUGUUCCACAAAAGCGUUAUUUAUUUUUUUUGGUGAGCCACGUGGAGCUCAAUUAUCAUUGUCUUUACUUUAAAAACGUUAUUUUAUUUUAUUUUCUUACAAAUUAAUGCUAACAAGAAAAAGCAAGAUAUAAUAUUCCACAAAAGCAAAUCGUAAUAUUCCACAGAGGAAUAAGAUCCACAAAAGCAAACAACUAGCUGGAUUCUUUUAUUAAACUACAAAUUAAAGUGGAAUCGUUUACUAAACAACAAAUUAAAGUUCAAAUAUUUAAAUAGUAGUGCGUUAGACGAUUAGGCUCUUUUAUUAAAGUCAAGUAUAAAGUAGUCCAGAAUCGAACAUCUCUAUUGUCUAGUCUUUUUUUUUUUUAAUUCUUCUUUUAUUAUUUUUCAGAAUAUGUUUUGGUGAUUACUAUUGGGUUAUUAUUCAGAGUUAUUGUUAUCUUCCGGGGCAGUUUCUGUUCAUCGAAAUCGUUAAUUAAAAUUUUAAAACUCUUAUCGGAAGAAUGUUUUUCCGUUAUUUUUUUAUAUUCUAAUUUCAAUUGUAAGAAGUAGUCAUUUUAGAAUUUGGGUCUUGAAUCGAAUUUCAAUGCAUGAAUUAAUAUUUUAAAAAAAUUUACUACAUGCAGUUUAGGUUACAAACUAUUUUUUGCAAAGUUGACUAUGAAAUUGGAGAAAUUAAGUAAUUUAUAAUGUUUGCAAAGAAAGAGACCAACAUACUUCCAAUUACACUAUAUCUCAAUUAUCAUAAUGUUAAGAUUAAACUAACUUAAAAUAAAAUUUAUUUAAAAAGUUUAUCAAACGCAGUCUAAUUUUAUUAACUUGAAGAGAUAAUAGUUAUAGAAAUUAUUAUUCUAACUUAAUUAGUAAAAGUGGUAUAAAGGUUAAGUGUGCACUAAAUCUAUUUAAAUUUUUUUCCAGUAUAACUAACAGAGGUCAUUACUAGAAUUAUAUUACUAGUCUAUUAGAUAGAAAAAAUUAUUUAUAUUGUUUUAUAUUUAUUAAAAAAAUUUAAAGUCAAUCUUUUUAAUUACUAUUUAAAGGAUAUUAUAAUUAAAAAAAUUUUAAUGUCUUCAUUAAAAAUUUAAAAUUUUAUAUGACCGUUAUCUAAAUAUUUAAAGUGUAACUGUCAUUUUCUCAUAUAUAUAUAUAAUUUCAUCAACCCCUUAUACUUUAUGUUAUUUAUAUUUUAUUCAUGAAUAUUAUAAAUUUUUUGAAAUAUAAAAUUUCGUUUAACCCUUUAUACUCAAUUUUAUUUUAUUAAAACCCUAGAGUAUGAAUUCGUCCCUAUAAUAUUAAAUUCUCAAAAUAACUUCCAUUUAAUUAAAAAAUAUAAUUAUUAUUAAAUGAAUUAUAAUUAUUAUUAUUAUGUUAUUAUAAUCAUAAAAAGCGAGAUCAUAUUCCACAAAAGCAUAAGUGACAAAACAACCAACUGGAUUCUUUUAUUAAUCAACAAAUUGUAUAGUCUUUUUCAAAUUGUUAUAAAUUGGUGGCCCCUACAAUCCUCAAUAAUUGUACCGAAAUUCACAAGUUGGUGGGCCCUACAAUUCUGUUCCGAUAAUUUAACUGUGCAAGUGCUCAUUCACAAUCUUCCAGGUCAUGCUCUUAACAAUUGUUUUUUCUUUUCUGCACGCCCUUUCAUGCUCUUAAUAAUUGAAGAGCAUACUUUUCAAAUGUGAAGCCGCAUCUAAUGUCGCUAAUUUAAUUUGGGAUUAAAUUACGGGACUAUUAUAUUGCAGUGUGCACUAAUUUUUAUGUUUAUCUAAACUCUUCAAAUUUAAAACAUAUUAUGGCAUAAAUAAGAAUGUAACAAUAACAAAAGAGUAAGAAAGUGUAGAGAAAAUCUUGCAGAAAUAUAAAUAAUAUUUAUUUUUAAAAUAAUAUUAAUAUUUAAAAUAAUUUUUAAUAUUUUAUGGUCCAUUAGAUAUAUUUUAUUAUAUUAAAAUAAAUUUUAUAAUAAAUAAAAACAUACUAUUAAAAUGAAUAUAUAUAGAAAAUUUAGAGUAUUUUAAGUAUUAUAUAAAAUAAUUUUAAUAAAAUAUGUGAGAUAUUCAUAUUUUAUUAAUUUAAGAUACCAUUUAACCUAAAGAUUUAUUUAUGAUAAAUUAAUAAUUAUAUUUUUGAAAUUACUUCAAAUAUUAAAAAAAUUAAUAUUACUAAUAUAUUAGAUAGAUUAAAUUAUAUAUAUUAUUUUUACUUAUUAAAAAAAUUUUAAAAUUAUUUUUAAUUACUAUUCAAAAAACGUAUUCAAAAAACAUAAUGAUAAAAAAAUCUUAACAUCUUUAUUAAAAAAUUAAAAACUUAUAUGAUAAAUUCUCUAAAUAUUUACGGUAUAUGUGAACCACGGUGGAUAAGCUUUAUUUAAUAUUAUUGAUUUAAAUAAUAUGUCAAUUAAAAAUGUACAGAGAAGAAAUUUCGGUGGGUAUUUUAGUCUUUUAAGCAAUUAUCAUGAUCAGAUCAGCCUUUAGCCUUCAAACGUCGGUCAGAAAAGUUUUAAAAUUAAUGCUAAAUUGUUUUUCACUUUUAACGUUGGUGGCCUUGAAAUUGCUUGUAUUUUAUUAAAAAUUAAUGCUAACAAGAAAAAGCUAGGUCAUAUUCCACAAAAUCAAAAGUGACAAAACAACCAGCUGGUUUCUUUUACUAAACUACAAAUUAAAAUAAAUUUUUUCGAUAAAUUACAAAUUAAAGUGGAUUCUUUUGAAUACAAAUGGGACAGACGAUUAGGCUCUUUUUAUUAGAGGCAAGUAAAAACUAGUCAAGAAUCGAACAGUCUUUUUCCAAUUCUUGUUUUAUUAUUUUUCAAAACUAGUUUUUGGUAAUUACAACCGGGUCAUUAAUCAUUAUUCAGAGUUACUGUUAUCUUCGGGGGCAGUGGGUAAAAGAUAAUUACUAACUGUUUUUCCUUCAAAAGUUAGCGGCUCAUGUUUGCAAGUGUGAAUGUGCGAUGCUCUUUUCUUAAAGGCCAUUACAGUGGGGCCCGAAUCAGACGUGCCUAAAUCUUUUUAAAAUUUUUGCCGUAUAACGAACAGAGGUCAUUACUAAAAUUUCUCUUCCACAGCCUACAGCAGCUUCAGUUUAUCAAACUCCAUCAAUUUUCUUUCUUAACAAAAUUCCAAAGAUGUGUAGCAUUUUUCAGAUCACAUGCGAUGGUGCUCUUUUCAAUCGUUGCUUGGAUUGCUUUCUUGGAAAAGCAGCAUACAUACGUAACCUCCAAGAUAAUCUUGAUGCCUUGGACACUGAACUGGGAAGACUAAUCGCUAAAAAGAACGAUGUGAUGAGGAGGGUUGUCGACGCUGAACGACAACAAAUGAGAAGGCUGGACGGAGUGCAAGUGUGGGUUUCGAGGGUGGAUGCUGUUAAAACUGGAGCCGAUGAACUUAUCACAGACGGCUCUGAAGAAAUUGGCAAAUUAUGUGUUGGAGGCUACUGUUCCAAGAACUGCAGGUCAAGCUACAAGUUCGGAAAACAAGUGGCUAAAAAGCUACAAGAUGUGAAGACUUUAAUCGCCGAGGGAGUUUUUGAGGCGGUGGCUACUGAGGUGGUGCCCGAGAGAGCUCCGGAACCUGUAGCAGAUAAAAGACCCAUUGAGCCAACAAUAGUAGGCUUGCAAUCACAGCUUGAACAAGUUUGGAGAUGUCUUGUAGAAGAAUCAGUGGGAAUCAUUGGCCUAUAUGGUAUGGGCGGUGUUGGUAAAACCACACUAUUGACCCGUAUCAACAAUAAAUUUCUUGAGAGUCAAAACAACUUUGAUUGUGUGAUUUGGGUCGUAGUUUCAAAAGACCUGCGGCUUGAAAAAAUUCAAGACGAUAUUGGGAAGAAGAUAGGUCUGUCUGAUGAUUCAUGGAAGAAUAAAAGUUUUGAAGAGAAAGCUGUGGACAUCCUGCGGAGAUUAGGAGAGAAGAGAUUUGUAUUGUUGUUAGAUGAUUUAUGGGAGCGGGUUGAUUUAACAAAAGUGGGCGUUCCACUUCCCAGCGCACAAAAUACUACCUCAAAAGUCGUAUUCACAACCCGUUCCAUUGGUGUUUGUGGCAGCAUGAGAGCUAGGCCGGUUAAAGUGGCAUGCCUAUCAGAAAAGCAAGCUUGGGAACUGUUCCGCGAAAAUGUUGGGGAAGAAACUCUUGAGAGUGAUCAUGAGAUCGUUGAGCUAGCCCAAACUGUGGCCAAAGAGUGUGGUGGUUUGCCACUCGCACUUAUUACUAUUGGUCGAGCUAUGGCCUUCAAAAAGACAGCCGAGGAGUGGAGUCAUGCAAUUGAUGUGCUAAGAACAUCAGCUUCUGAGUUUGCAGGUUUGGGAGAGAAGGUGUAUCGUCUUUUAAAGUUUAGCUAUGAUAGUUUGCAGAAUGAGACCAUUAGAUCUUGUUUCUUAUAUUGUUGUUUAUAUCCCGAGGAUUAUGGCAUUCUUAAAUGGGACUUGAUUGAUUGUUGGAUUGGUGAGGGAUUCUUGGAGGAAUCUGACAGGUUUAGUGCAGAAAACCAAGGAUACUACAUUGUGGGCACUCUUGUUCAUGCGUGUUUGCUAGAAGAGAUGGAAGAUGAUAAAGUAAAAAUGCAUGACGUUGUUCGUGAUAUGGCUCUAUGGAUAGCUUGUGAAAUUGAGAAGGAGAAGAGAAACUUUUUGGUUUGUGCAGGUGCUGGAUUAAAAGAGGCACCGGAUGUUAAAGGAUGGGAAAAUGUGAGAAGAUUGUCAUUGAUGCAAAACCAAAUUAAAACUCUGUCAGAGGUUCCCACAUGCCCUCAUCUCCAUACUUUAUUUCUUGCCUCUAAUAUGGAGUUGGAGAUGAUCGCGGAUGGCUUCUUCCAAUUUAUGCCUUCUCUCAAAGUUUUGAAGAUGUCACGCUGCUGGAAUUUUCAAUUACCUGUUGGGAUGUCAGAUUUGGGUUCAUCACUAGAACUUCUUGAUAUUUCACAUACCACCAUAAGAGAGUUACCCGAAGAGUUAAAGUUGCUGGUAAAUCUGAAAUGUUUGAAUUUGAGGUGGACAGGUGCGUUAAUUAGAAUUCCACGGGGACUAAUAUCAAAAUUUUCAAGGUUACGUGUGUUGAGAAUGUUGGGUACUGGCGGGUUCAUUUUUUAUGAAGCACCAGAAGACAGCGUUUUAUUUGGUGGGGGUGAAGUUUUGAUACAGGAAUUGCUCGGUUUGAAAUAUUUAGAGGUAUUGGAGUUGACCUUGGGAAGUUAUCAUGCUCUCCAAAUUCUUUUGAGCUCAAAUAAGUUAAAAAGUUGUAUUCGAUCUCUUUACCUCUAUUUGACCGGAGAUAAAAAGUCGAUUAUUGAUGCUACGGCUUUCACAGACCUAAACCACCUCAAUGAAUUAUGGAUUGAUAAUGGAAUUGAGUUGGAAGAAUUGAAGAUUGAUUAUACGGAGAUAGUACGAAAAAGGCGGGAACCUUUUGUUUUCCACAGCCUUCACCUUGUUACGAUAUAUAGUUGCCAUAAAUUGAAAGAUUCGACAUUCCUCGCUUUUGCUCCAAACCUCAAGUCUCUUUCGCUAUUCAAAUGCCGUGCUAUGGAAGAAAUAAUCAGCGUCGGAAAAAUUGCUGAGAAUCCUGAGAUGAUGGGACAUANNNNNNNNNNNNNNNNNNNNNNNNNNNNNNNNNNNNNNNNNNNNNNNNNNNNNNNNNNNNNNNNNNNNNNNNNNNNNNNNNNNNNNNNNNNNNNNNNNNNNNNNNNNNNNNNNNNNNNNNNNNNNNNNNNNNNNNNNNNNNNNNNNNNNNNNNNNNNNNNNNNNNNNNNNNNNNNNNNNNNNNNNNNNNNNNNNNNNNNNNNNNNNNNNNNNNNNNNNNNNNNNNNNNNNNNNNNNNNNNNNNNNNNNNNNNNNNNNNNNNNNNNNNNNNNNNNNNNNNNNNNNNNNNNNNNNNNNNNNNNNNNNNNNNNNNNNNNNNNNNNNNNNNNNNNNNNNNNNNNNNNNNNNNNNNNCACUGUUUUUAUUUCAGUCUCUCUCUCUCUCUUUGUCUCUGCUAAUCACAAUUAAAUGUGAAUUAAUGGAAUUAAUGCUUCAUAAAUUUGCCGGCACUGCCAUUACUUUUUUUUUUUUAAUACAAAUUGAUACUUUAUUUAUAUCUUCUUAGCGAUUUAAUUUCCUGUCAAUUGACGAACGAGAAGAACAUAUGACUUGAACCAAUGCUCGCAUAAACUUGCUGUAAAAAGAUAUAAUCUCACUGAAAUGCACACGCCUAGAAUGAAUAGAAUUAAAACAGGGAAAAUAUUAAGUAUAUUAGCCCUCUUUACCGAAAAUCAAAUGACAAUAAAUUUUUUGAAGUUUUGAUUUUCUAUGGUCAAUUCCACCUUUUGCAAUUUCUUCUGUUCUAACAAAAACCAAUUUCUUUGUUCAAGUAUUUUCGUUUGGGUAUUAAUAAUUCUCCACCGAAAGAGUGAACUCUUGCUCAAGGGAUCUCUAAUCAAUAGCCGGAAGGGCGCCGAGACCUGAUCGGACCUAGGCCCAAGUUUGGUCUUAAAGCCUGGGCUUGAGCCUGGCAAUUAAAUUAAAACAGUAAUUGAUUUCUUGAAUGAAUUGUCGUGUAAUUGAUUUAUGGGGGAUGACACAUCAACAUACUUGAAAAUACACUAAUCUCAGCAUCAUCCGUUAAUAACUUUUAGAUUUAUGGGCAAUCAAUAGUUAAAUUAGUUGUCAUUAAUACUAAAUAAUUUUUACUUUUUUUGUCUCUUCUAGAGGAUCUUCUAGAAAAAUGCAUCCACAAUUAAAUUUAAUACUUUACAUAAUAAAGAAAGCAUAAAUGUUAAAUUUAAGAAACUGCAUUGUAUUUCAGCUGAAGUUGACUUUAAUAUUUAGGGUAGAAAAAAAUUAAAUCCUUAAUGUGUUUAAUUUAUAUCACUUGUGUCAUUAAAAUUUUCUAGUCACCCUAACCAAUUACAUCUCAACCCACUUUUUUUUGGAUGAUUUUAUUUUUAUACUAUUAUUUUCAACAUUUUUUUUUCCUUUUAACACCAACAUUAGUGUAUGUUACGUAACAUAAUCCAUAUUUGGAUAAUUUGAAAUUUGUUUGUGUUUUAUCUCAAAAUAGAGCUUCAAUCAAUUUGUACCUCAUAAAUUCACAAUAUCUGGCAGGGCUAAUAAGACCAAACUCUGGCAUAUUAUCAAAUGUGCUUAUCCUUUUGCUUGACAUGUCAUUUUAAAAUUGUCAUUCAAUGCCAAAAAAAUCACAUCAACUGAUGGCCGACUACUUUAAUUUGAAAGCAUGCAUGCGAUCGCCACCAAUAAUUAUAACUUAAUUGUUAUAUUGAAAUUUUUUUCUUUAUAAUUUUUAAGUUUAAUACUGCUACAUGUGCGGCACAUAAGUUGGAAAAUAUAACAUAAAAUUUGAAAAAUGUGUAGUUUUCGUUCCUUUUUUUUCUUAAAAAUGGGGAAAAAGAAUGUAAUUUUGUUUAAAUUACUGUUGUGAUAACAAUUAUUAUUUUAUUGAUUAAUUGGCAGAGAAUCGUUAUGGUUUCGCAUGGUUGUUAAAACAUUGGAAAAUCCACUACAUCAUCCGAUAAUAACUUUCAGAUUUAUGGUUAAUCAAUAGUUGAGAUUUGUUAUCAUUAAUGUUAAAUAUUUUUUUAAUAUUUUUUCUCUCUCCUAGAGGAUCAUCCACAGUUAAAAUUUAAUAUUAUAAAUAGUAAACAAAGUAUAAACGUUAAAUCGAAGAAACUGCAUUGCAUUUCAGCUGAAGCUAACUUUAAUAUUUAACAGAGAAAAGUAAUUAAGUCCUUAAUGUGCUUUAUUUACCCAUAUAUAUGGCUAAUUUUUUAAGAUAAAGGGGAAGGAUGAUGCUCAAAAAUAUAAAUUAUAGAAUUAAUUGAGCUCUCAAGUAAGUUUAAAGUUCAUUAUUUUUAAUUACAUGUUUAUAAUUUAUUUUUAUUUCGUAUUAAUCUAUAGAUCUAAAUCCACUUUGGAUUCAUAUACAUAUAUAGACAUAAUGUGUAUGUUAAUCUAUAGGUCUAAAUUCACUUUAGGUCUAUAUAGGUAUUUUGACAAAUGUACUCCAAUCAUAUUGGCAAGUUCUAACUACUAUAUUGGUAUGUCAAUAUUAUCUCUAAUUGCCCUAUACAUUCAGAAAUAAUCUAGAUAUACAAAUUAACAUAAAAUAAAAAUAAUUGGUAGAAAAUAUAAAUUAUAAACAUGUAAUUGAAAACGAUAAACUUUAAAUUUACUUAAGAGAGUAAUUAAUUUCAUAGUUAAAAUCUUUAAAUUUUACCCCUCAUCUUAACUUAAGAAAAUUAAUCACUUAUUUUAUUUAACAAAGAAGAGAUUUUUUUCCCCUAUAUUUCCCAAUUAUUUCUCUCCCUCUCGCUCCCGUAAGUUAUACAACUUGAAGUGAAAUAUGAGUGGUCUGAUUCUAGCUUAAAUAAUUUAUUGUGACAUGCUAUCUAAGGACAAUACAUUACCUAGCUCUACAUAUUUUAUUUAACCUCCGGCUCACCCUGUGCAAACUUGCCUUCCCCUACAAGACAAGAUUAAUCAAUCUAUCAAGUCUCAAAUUCAAUUUGGAAUAUGACCAUCGUACGUUCUUGUUCUUCCCUCUUUACGAGUGCAUUCCCCCCAACCUCAAGCUCCCUCUCUCGUCUUCAAUGUCACUGCCUAUAUCCUUGUGUUGUUCUAGUUUGAAAUAGUGGCUUCCACAAUUUCAGGGCCCCCAAAAAUCCAGAAACAUAGUAUUCAUCACGAUGACAAAUUUUUUGGCAGGCAGGUGCUUCCUGACUUUCACACGGUAAUUCUCAAAUUCUGAUUUCACCAUAUUUUAAUUACUGAUUAGCAUAUAUUCAAGUGCUCUCCAUUAUAAUAGAAGCCGCCGCCUCACUCGUGAUUCCAAACUUUAUCUUUUUUCCUUUUUUAAAUUAAUGCAAGUAGCCGCUGUCCUUUUUAUUAAUUAAUUAAUUAAUUCGGCCGCCCACAUUUCUUUUCCUAAUGUCUUCUACUGUCGAUUUUCUUUUAUUUUCUUUUUAUUCUUAAAAUAUGCUUAUAAUAAUAAAAUAUAAAAAUUAAAAUUAACAUAUCAAAAUAUAAUUUAACAGAAAAUUAAGAUAAAAAUAAAAAAAAUAAAUUAUGAGCAUAUCAAUCAAUAAAUGAAAAAUAAUAAUUUUUAUUUUUAUUAAAUAUAUAUUUUUCAGUAUUAAUCAAUUAUUUGAAUAAAUAAAAUCAUUUAAAAAUAAAUAAAUAAAUUAUUCUUAAAAAAAAAGAAACUUUUUAUAACACUCACUAUGCUGGUUGUAGGGUAGACGCUUUGGGAACUGAAGCCGGUAACUUCUACAAGUAGUCUGAAGUUGACUGGCAACAACUAUAUUGACAUUUAGACAUAAUGUACUCCAACCGUAUUGGUAUGUUUAAAUGUUCUUACUAUUGUAUUGGUGUGUCAAUAUUAUCUCUAACUGCCCUAUAGAUAAAAAAAUAAUCUAAAUUUAUAAUUUAACAUAAAAUAAAAUAAUUGGUAGAAAAAUAAUUAUGGUUCAUUUACUUAUCAGUAAUCAGAAUAGACUAAAAUCGAAAUGAGUUGUAUUACCGUUGAUGUGUUUAUGUUGUCCUGGAAUCGGAAUGAAUUAUUUUAAGUUACUAAAAUAUCCUUGGUUUGUUAUUCUAAUUAUUAUUUAAUAUUUAUUAUAAUAUUUGUCAUAUCAUUAAAAAGAAAUAAUAAUGAUGAUAAUAUUAUCAUUAUUGUUUGUUACAUUAUUAUUAUUCAAAAAAAUUAUUGUUAAUAAUAAUAAUUUUUUUAUUUCAAUAAUAAUAAUGAUAAAAUUAAUAAUAAAAAACAUGACAACAACAAUAAUUAUUUAUUAUGCCAAAAAAUAACAAUAAUAAUAAGAAUAAUAAUCAUCAUCAUUUUUUUGCCAAAGAAAUCAUCAAACCAGACAAGAAAUCAUCAAAAAUUGCUAUUUCAAUUUAGGAAGAAGUUCUUUCGGUGUGCUAGCGAUGGGAGAUGUUGUGGCUGCGAUUCGGGGAGCUAAUAGUUUAUUGCACUAAUAACGGCAGGUGCUGCUGCUUGAUGCGAGGUCCAUGGCCAGUUGUCAGCAGUUCGACUUUGGCAUGGGCGCUGCUGGUUCGAUUUUAGGUGUUGUCUAAUUUCAUUUUCAGGAUUUUAAUUUUAUUUUUUUCUUUUAUAUUUUCAUUAAUUAAUCAGGGCAAAGUUUGAUUUUAGAAUUUGGAAUGAAGGUAAUUUUGUUAAUCAUGGAAAUGAGAUUUUGAUUGUCGAGAAUGAACUUACACAAGCAACUGCAAAUUAAGUGAAAACAAAACGCUUUUUCUCUUUGUGUGAUUAAAACAUGAAAUAUACCAUAAAUAAAUAGGUAAAAAUUAAAUCAACACAAUCCAAAACAGUAAACCAAUUAUAAGAGGCACAAAUUUUUAUGUGAAAUACCGAAAACGGAAAAAACCACAACAUGUUAGUAUGAUAUAAUCUUCUACUAUAUUAAUGGGAUUAUAACACAAAUUCUUCCCUAUAUUACACUAGAGAUUAACAACAUCAAGAAUCUCAAUAAUCUUAACUUACAAUACAACCUAAUAUAUGUCUCUCUAAUAAAUAGAUAUCUAAAAUAACAAUCUCUAAUAAGUAAGUAUCUCAAAUAACAGUCUCUAAUAAGUAGGUAUCUCAAAUAAUAGUUAAUAAGAGGAUAAAACAAAAAUUAAGAUUAGUAGGAUGUGUAUAAGGCGAUGCUAUCAACUUAUCUUCUAAAUUUGAGAAAAAUAGUUAAAUUCACUUUUUUGAUUGUCCGACCAAAGAUGGAAACCUUGCCCCAAAACCAAAGGAGUCACCAUUGUGUUUCUCUCUCUCUCUCUCUCUCUCGUUCUUUUCUUCUACUUUUCUUAAUGUUAGCCGCCACUUGCUUUUAUUCUUUAUAGCAUUUAAAAAGUUACUUUUAAUGGUAAAUUUCAUCUAAGUCCAAAACUUAGUGAUAAUUGCACACUAAACAAUCCUUUUUGGACUAUAGACUUUUGGACCUCCAAAUGAGACGAAUACAACAAAUCUCCCCUUUUAGAUCAUGUAGGAGGCACCACAAGCCCACUCUCUGCAUAUAGCUUUUUAACUUCUCCUUGAAUAAUGACUUUGUCAUCAUACAUAACUCAUUCUCCGUUGUGUAAAUCUUCUCAAGCUAUAACCGUUCUUUCUCAAACACGUCUCGUAUCUAAUAAUACUUCACAUCAAUUUGCUUAGAUUUCGAAUGAUAUAUCAAAUUCUUUGAACGACACUCUGAUUUUCGCAGUACAUAAUAUAGUUGUCUCAUUUUAUACCUAGCUCUUGUAGGAAAUUCUUCGUCCACAGUAUUUUUUUGCAACCUUCAAUAAUUGUAAUAUCAUUUGCUUUAGUAGUAGAAAAGACAACUUAUUACUAAAGUUUAGAUUACGAUGAGACUGCUCCUCCUGCAAAAGUGAGCAAACAUUCUAGUAGGAAUUUUUCGGAAUCAACAUCUCCUACCAUAUCUAUACACUUGUAACACAGGUUUGUCACCACCAAAAUAUAAACAUGCUCUGGAAAUGCCUCUAAGAUAUCUGAGAAUUUUUCACUAUUGUCCAGUGCUCUUUACCGGGAUUGAAGAGAAACCACUAACUACACUAGUUGUAUAAGUAAUAUCUGGUCUUGUACAAAUUAUGGCGCACACCAAACUGCCAACUGCUGAAGCAUAAGGAACUCCUCUCAUGGAGAAAUGGGUUUUGCUCUUGAGAUUUUUGGGAACAUGAAGAAUAAAUAUGUAAUUUCUUGGACUGCCAUUGUUUCGAGGUAUAUAAACAGAGGACAAGUCUAUAUAGGUCGACAGUGGUUUGCUCAGAUGCCAGAACGAGAUUAUGUCUUAUGGACUGCCAUGAUUGAUGGGUACCUUCGAGUGAAUAGGUUCAAAGAGGCUUUGACGCUUUUUCAGGAGAUGCAAACUUCAAAUAUAAUGGGAGACGAGUUUACCAUUGUUAGCAUUCUUACAGCUCGUGCGAAUCUGGAAGCACUAGAUCUGGGAGAAUGGAUAAAGACUUAUGUUGAGUGUUAGAAAAUGCAUAUUUAUAAAGGAGAAAACCAUCAUUUUACAUUUCAAGUCUUACUAACAACCCUUACUUUUAUGUAUUUAACCUUCUUGUGAUUUAAUUACAUGUGUUUUAUUUUAAUUAAGUAUUUUAUGUAUUUUAGGGACAUUAUAGUCAUUUCACAAUAAAGGAGAGAUCAGACGGCAAAACAGACAUCACUUUUGAACUCAGGACGGUCAAAAACCUUAGGAGGAGCAUAAAAGGAAAAAUGGCACUAUUCACAUGUACGGUACUAUUCACGUGUACGGUACUGUCCACGUUACUGUUCACGAUACUGUUCACAUAGACAGAUCGAUGACGUGGCAUUGACUGAUGAGGUGUCACGAUCCUGUUGGGCUAAAAUUCUUAUGUACUGUUGAUGGUGACGUGGCAGCAUAUCAAUGGACGAAAAAUCUCGCAUACAGUACAUGCAUCACACAGGAUUAUUGUCAACCAAAUCGCGUUACUGUUCAUCCGGGUCAAACCGUGUUACUGUUCAUCCACGUAGUCAAACCGCGUACUGUUGACUGAUGACGUGGCGCAAUCCUGAGCGUCCAAACUGUUUUUAAUCCGAUGGCCAUGAUUUACUCCAUGUAUCUAUAAAAAGGGGGCCUCCCCCCCUAAUUUGACAACUCUGAAUCUAUUUUGGGAUCCAUUUUCUAUAAUUCCCUCUCCAUCUUGUAUUUUCUACGUAUUUUAAUAAAUUUCCAUUUUACCCUUAGUUCAAUUAUGAGUGGCUAAUUUCCUUUCAAGCUUGGGUUGAAGGUGAAGUCUCAACAUGUGUCAUGGGCUUUAUUUGGUAAAUUUAUUUUCUUUUCCCCUCUAGUUUUUGUGGAUGAUUUGACUUUUCGUCGACAAAUAAUAUUGAUCUUGUCUAGAUACCACCUUGGUUACACCGGCUCUCUAGUACAAGGUUAUUAUUAUUUGGCACGAUAAGCCCUUAGCACCAUAUUGAUUAGAGCGUGGUUCAUGAGGUGUGGAUUCCCCCCUCAUGAUUUAAUUGGCAUUAAUAAGGAUUAUAUAGCCCAUGAUGCAUGUUGAUACGGAUCUGGAUACCCAAGUGCUUCAUUUCAAUAGAUCUAUCUUCAAUUUCUUCUCGCCAUUUUAAUUUAAGUUUUAGAAUAUUCCAAAUCAUUUCCACCACAAAUCCAAUCCCCGAUUCACAAAAUUAAUUCUAUACACAAUUAAAAUCCACAUCCUCGUGGGAUCGACACUCGUCACCAUUAGUCUAUACUACAAUAGAUUCGUGCGCUUGCGAGUACAUUAAAAUUUACACAACAACUUAUAUUGACAAAAACAAAGUCAAGAAUGAUGUAUUUGCGGGGAAUGCUUUGAUAGACAUGUACUGUAAAUGCCGAGAUGUUGAGAAAGCUCAAAAGGUAUUCAGGAAGAUGCUUUGAAAGGACAAAUUCUCAUGGACGACCAUGAUUGUUGGCCUUGCCAUCAGUGGCAAUGGUGAUAAAGCUCUUGAUAUGUUUUCCCAAAUGCUUAGGGCUUCGAUCAAACCGGAUGAGGUAGCUUAUGUUGGUGUUCUGUCUGCCUGUACUAACAAUGGUAACGAAACUUUUGUGAUAAAUAGUUGCAACUUAAGGUGAGAAUUGGAGGAAAGGAAAUAGACUGAAGUUGUUCAAUCAUCGGUCGUCUCUAUUUGGUUUUCUCCGAUAUCUCAUCUUCAGUUUUGACUCAGAUUCUAUCUUACCACUUAGGGGUGGGCAAAAUCGGGUUCGGGUCAACCCGAUCGGGUUUCGGGUUGUUCGGGUUAGACAAGGAACAAUCCGAACAUAACCCGAAUUAAUGACCCGACCCGAACUUAGUUCGGGUCGGGUCAUUAAUUCGGGUUAUGUUCGGGUUGGAUUUAAAAUGGGUAGGAUUGAGUUCGGGUCAAUUUGGGUUAGUUCGGGUCAAUUCGGGUCAGUUCGGGUCAAUUCGGGUCAAUUCGGGUCGGUUGAAAUCGGGUCAGUUCGGGUCAAUUCAGGUCAGUUCGGGUCGGUUGAAAUCAGGUCAAUUCAAGUCAGUACGUUUUUUUUUUUUAAGAACCCGAUCGGGUAUUCGGGUCGGGUCGGGUUUGACCCGAACCGAUCACAACCCGAUCGGGUUUGUAAAUUUCAAACCGAUCGGGUUUCGAUCCCGACCCGAUCCGACCCGAACCCGAAAUUUAUCGGGUCGGGUCGGGUCGGGUAAAAUGCCCACCCCUAUUAAUACCACUAGUAAUUACAUAGACUUGCUGCCAAAGGUAAGAAUGAGAAUAAAUUAAAUAGAUUAUGUCGAAAACGAAAUAAAUUUACCAUUGUUCUGUUCAUUCUAUUUGUUUCCUACAGAAUAUUUCUCCAGCCUAAAAUUUUUUGAAUUAGUAAGUUUUUAUCUUAUGCAAGAAUUGUGCUGAGAGUAAUUCCAUUUCUCAGUCUCUUUAUGUUUCAAUGAAGACGUAAAACUUGUGUUCUAGUGCACCAAUGUUUAUGCUUCUUACAAUUUGACUUUAAUUUAGUUUGUAAAACUUUUGUCAAAAAGUACUAAAAAGUAGUGCACCAAACACAAACUUUAUUACAGAGAGGACUUCAGUUAAAUUUUAAGAAAACACUCAAAAGAACGAGUUAUAAAUUAUUAUCGAAAUAUUUCACAUAAAUAAAAGCCAUCCCAUGCUGCAAAGAUCUUGCUAUAAUCACCAAAAACUAUCGGGAGCUUUUAGGGUUUCCAUAAAAAUGUCAUUUCGUUCCAAAAGUCAAUGGUGGGUAGAAAGUGGUGCAAAUGAGACUCAUUGUUAAUGGUAUAAGUUUUUGCUUAAUUAUGUCUUCCCCAAAAUGAUGAUUUAAUUUCCAUUCUCAAUUAAUUUUCAAGUUUCAACACUUUUCUAUGUAGCAUGACAUUGGAAAGAUCUUGUACAGUUGUACUACUAAAAGCUAGCACCACACGUUAGUUAUUGUUAAGUUCUUUUUCAACGUGAAAUAAAGGAAGUAGUCCUUCGUUAAAACCAUUAUAGCCAAAUUUCACGUAAUUGGACAUUUACAGACUUUUAUUUCAAGUUGGAUUUUGGUCCAACAUUUCAAAGUUGGCCCAAUUAUUUUUGUCUGGUCAAGUCCUUCGCAGCUAAGCCCCUCAAUGAAUGAGGGUGAGAUUGCUAAAAAUUACGACAGGUGAUAUUUUAUUAUUAUUAUUUGUUUGAGGGAAAAAAUAGGAAAAGCAAUAGAGCGCCACGUGUCAACCAAUGGAAUGAUUCCUGCACAAUCUAAGGUACCCCACACAAUCCGAGGUACCCCAUAUAAUAUGAGGUACCCCACACAAAUAGGGGUACCCCGCGUAAUAGGAGGUACCCCAUGUAACUCGAGGUACUCGGCAAAGCGGAUGCAAGAGAAUCCUCCGAAAAUAUCCGCCAUGAGAAACGUCUCCGCCUCCUAAAAGAUAUUAUUCAAUUUUGUCAGAAUUAUGAAUAAAAAACGACGCCCUAAAAGGAGGGACAGUCGCCUGCGACCUCUGCCAAAAGUGAAGGACACUGUCCCAAGGACAGUGGUCCCCAACGCCUACCCGACAGCUACUGCAAAGGUACCCUGGACCACUCUCCAGCGCGCGCCACGUUUCCAAAAGAUGAGAUACGCCGCGAACGUGCAGAUAACUGCCCAAAAAUUAUAAAGAGGUAAAAGGACGUUAGUAAAAAAGGGUAUGCCAUGUGGCAGCUGAGGUACUCCAUAUAUAAAGGCGCCUAGGUUUCAUUCUCCAUCAUGUUCUCACUCACCAUUAACACUCGCACUCCAAAAAAUAGGUUUUCUUCAACCUUAAACCCUAAUUUACAGAGGGUUAGUCAGCUCUCUUUACCAUAAAAGCUUGAGUUUGCUAACUUGAGCGUCGAAGUGUGAACGCCGGGGUACCCCGGCUUCACCUCUAACCUCUAUUUCACUGUUUUGCAGGCGUGAAGCUCAUUUGGAAGGACACAUCUCUUAGUUCUAAACCUUUCACCAUUGUUACCACUCUCUCUCCCUUUCUCACCUCCCCUGGAUUUCAGAUACACCACACCGCACACAAUAAACUAGUGAGGUACCCCGUCUCCCAUAAAAAUACAAAUUCAUUGUUCUAGAUAGAUUUGGCUUUUUUUACCCCAAAAUCUGUUGAAAACACUAUUUUUAAUUUUGGGGGAUAAAUCCUCACCAAAGUGAGGAGAUUUUAUCAAAAUCAAAAUAAAAAUAUAACAAGAACUGAAAGUCGGGCAGCCUAAAAGCUAGAUGAACUAAAAGUCAGGCGCCUAAAAACAACCUUAUGCAAAAGAGAAGCAACAUGAGACCGAUCAAGUAAAAGAAUCCACCGCAACACCUAAAUUGGCCAAAUUAUCUGUUGGUAUUACAAGUUUCUUGUUAUAAAAGUGUAGAAUGAAGUAGGUGACAGUAGUUUUAAGUUACAGCUGCAUGCCUAAUCGCAAUAUCAAAUAAUGAUUAAAUAUCAAAUAAUGCUUAAAGUAGUUGCCUAGGCCCGCCACAAUUUAUAUUAACUCUUAAAUUUAUAAAUAAUUAAAUUUUUAAAAGUUUGGAUUUAUAUUAAAAAAUCUUCAUAUAAAUAAAUAAUAUAUGCACUUUUACAACACAGUCUUUAAAUUUAAAUUUUUCUAGAAAAAUCUUCUGUAUAUCUUUUCUAUUAAAAAAUUUCCAUAUAAAUAAAUAAUAUACCUAAUUUAAUUGGACCCAGCACAUCGCAUAUGCAUAGAACACAUUCCACAAAGCCAUGCUAUUCGGAAAUUGACGAAUGAAAAGUGAGGAGGCAGCAGUCAAUGCUAUUUGGGCUUGGCCCAAAAUUGAUUUAUCAGGUUGACGUUUGCCAGGAAUGAAGAACUGGAAUAUCACCGUCAAGCAAGCAACCUGUGGAGCAAUACCAUAGAAUGCACAAUCCAGCUUUGCAAGGUGACACUGGAGGCUUUUUGAAAAGUGCUUCACGCUCACUUGCACAGAUUGAGCAUCCCCUCUGGAUAUUGCCCUCUCUGAUCGAGUCUGAGCACUCAAAUUUCGGUCCUCAGAUGGAGCUACAGCUUUCUCUCCAAUAACCAACAAUUUUCUAAACUCAGCACCUAGUGUGAUCAGAGUUGUUGAUAUUUGUAAAUGGAGAUCCCUGUAUUUGCAAAUGGAGACAUUUACCAAAUCACCAACAUGCUUCAUCCAGUCUACGAAAUUCUGCAGCUGAUUCAAAUCCGGAACCUGAACCAGAGUCGGAGGUAAAUCUUGAGCCAUGUCUAAAGCAGUCUGAAGUUCAAGUACUUGAGCCCUUGACAAAGGUUUUGAAAUUGGAACAUCUUGGAUUACUGCAGACUUGUACCCCUUGGUUUCAAAGGUAAGGAAAGGCAUUGCUUGAGUACAAUUUGGAGGCAGCUUCUUCACCAAUUUUAUUUGGAGGCAAUUGGCAGCGGAUCCAGCUGCACCAAUUUCAGAGCAAAUACUGACACUACUUCAAACAGCACGCUGAAGAAGAGAUAUGUCUAUGGCAAAGGCAAUGCAGUCCUCAAUUUGACUUGAGAUGCGGUAAUCACCAAAGAGAGUUUCCUUAUGAAACUGGGCAACACAUUGAAUCCCUUCACCACUGAGAAGGUUGGGGAGGAAGUAAGCUUUCUCUCUCGUAAGGAAGAGGUGGCAUACCUUCCCCAUUUUGUCUAGGACAGGUAGGAAUCUUUUUUCUAAGAGAUUUACUCCAUUCUCUGUGAGAAAUGCUUUGAACUUCAUCCCUCUGUCUCUAGCCUCACUUAUCAGUAAAAUAGUUGAAAGCGCUACAAGGAGAGAAAAGAAGAGUAUUAAGAUAUAUAUAGACAAGAAAAACAUUAGAUGUCGAUCUUACAAGCUAAUACUUCAAACAGUAUCCUAGAAAGCUAAAAACUGCAAAAUGGCUUGAAAUUUGAAAAGAACACAUGCUUUUCCUCCUUAACUUGAGAAAAUGUUUAAUAUAGUGCACCUUACAGAAACAUUUAAACAAUUAGAACUUUGCACAAAAACAUUCAAGAAGACUAAACAAAUCAGAUGCAGUGUAUUUCUCCAAGCACAAAUGGCAUUGCAUUUUUUCCUCAACUGUAAUAUUUAUUGAUGAAAAUCAGUACAGGUCCCUCAUUUGUUAUGGAAAGCUUUCUUGUAGUCUGACCGGUUAAUUCACGGGUCUAUAAUCAUCUUGCAAAGUUACAGGCAUUUCUUUCGAUUUAAAGUCUUUGCAUCACCACCUCAUCACACACCAAGCCAAUAUUCCGUCUACCUCUACAACAAAAAGUUUUAAGUAAACGAUCCUAAUGCAUGCAGCCAAAUAAAAUGCAGUAAGAAUAUUCAACUUAAAACUCUGAAAGCCAUCUUGGUGAAUUGCCUCCUUAGGGGAAGUUCCAUGCUUUACUAUACUUGACAGGACUGAGCAAAAGCUUACAUACAACAGAUUUUGAAAAUGAUGAUGCCAAUAGAUACUCAUACAAUCCAUUGAAACUCCUAAGGUCCAUUGUUCACAGAGGUUUACAGAGUUUUGGUCAUCAAAUAGCUCAGACCUUAAUCCCAAACAAAAAACGAGUGAAAAUUAGAUCACCAGCAGCUAAUUGUAAAUUCUAACUUAACUCUUCAUCUCCUUUGUAAACAGGAGACAAAAUGGAGACACGCAAAAUGAAUAAGGAGAACAUUUGAACUCAAAUGAAAUGAGGGCACGAAAGCAAACAAAUGGCAUGCGCAAACAAACCAAGCCUCAAUCAAAAACUAAUUAACCAUUAAAAAAAAAAAAGUGGUCAGAGAAUGAACUCCAAAUUCGGGAGUGAAGCAAGAAGCUUUCAUUAUUUCAGAAGCUCCUGUACAAAUUAAUAAGUUAUGCUCUUUGGAAACAAACCUAAAUUCCAAGAGAAAGAGAACUCAAAAAAUUUGCAAUUAUACGCAAAGGAAGUGAAGCACAGCAUUCUAUCACACGUACAAAUUGUAUAACAAGAGAUCGACACAUCGAAUCAGAAGAACUCAAUUCAAAUUUGUCUCAAAAAUCAAAAUUAGAAGAUUUCACAUUUCGAGAGGAACAAGCGACAGGUCAGAUGCAAAAUUUUCAGCCACAACAUGCCACAAUUAACAGUUUAUUUCCAUGGAUUUAGAGAGCUGACUGACCUUUUGGCUUUUGGAAUUGAGAAGAUCGCGGGCCAAAAUGGAAGAGGGAAAGCGAAAGUGCGGGUUUUAAUAGGGUAUUGGAUUAGCAAAUUUAAUUAGUUUGCGAGGGUAAAAUAGGAAAGAGAUAUCACUAUUAACUUUUUUUUUUAUAAGAAAAAAGAAUAAUAAAGAAUAUUUUAUUGUCAUUUGCAGCCUGCAAAUGACAAUAAAUCAAAUACGUCAUACAGAAGCUUAAAGCUGAAUCUAAAAAAUCUAGAGCUCUCAACUACAAAAAUUACACUUGAUGAUCCUCUACAAGAUGAAGCUUGUUCAAUAUCUUAUCCAAAGUUUAUAAAGUAACCUUGUAACGAUCUUGAGAUUGCCUGCCUUCCUCGACGACCUGCACGAUGCGUUUGUACAAAUCAUCAUACCUGUGCACCGGAUUUUUAAUAUCAACGCCACUGCAGCUGUGAUCAAGAACAUAAGAGCGUUUAACAUCUUUUCUCCAUCGAGAAAGAAUGUAGUGAGAUGGGAUCUCCUGCAUGCCACUCUGGUUUAGAACACAAAGAAUGUGUCUGGAUAAAUAUCCUCUGAAAUUGAACAACCCACAAACACAAAGCACCUCCAAGUCGGAGGCAUUGUACAAAACAUCGAAAGCCCUUGAAUCUUUCUCGUUGCUACCAACCUCAAAUUCUUCCUUCACUAUGUAUGUUAUAGGUCCAUCAGCACUGACAUGUUUUGUGCUAUAGCAAGAGUACAUAGCCUCCACCUCCGUCUGAAACUUCCUUCACAUUUCAUUUGUGUACAGUUUUGAGAGUUGAAAUUCAUAGUCACAUCUUGGUUUCUGGAUACAACUUGAAUUUCUUGAAUCCAUAUCUGCCAAGGCUUCCGGUUGAUAAUUCGCCUGCAGUGCUUGAUCAUACUUGUGUAAGAAUUCUUUCAAAGGAGUACGCUUAUCAAGAUAUCCUUCAAAGUAUGAAGUAGAAACCUCAUUCUGCAGGAAUGAAAACACUCCUGAUAAAAAUGCUUCCUUCAAAUAAACAGGAGCCCACCUUUUACGAUCUUCAUAUAAAGUUUGAAUCCAUCCGUGAUCCUUUAUUCCAUGACGUUGAAUCAUGUCUUCCCAAGCUGCUUCAAAUUCCUCAGGCCUGAGAGAGUGAUAAAUUGCUCUAUGUAAUGCACCUCUAAUAGCUUCAUAUUCAAACAAUCCUUGGAGUUUCUCUGGAAUUUUUUGCAAGAUGCAUGACAAUGAAAAGCAAUGAUAAGCUCUUGGGAAAACAUCGCCAACAGCAAUUUGCAAGAUUCUACAUUGGUCAGUGAUGAUUGUUUGUGGAGAGCGUCCUAACAUACAUGUAAGCCACACCCUAAACAACCAUGUAUAUGAUUCUAUGGUCUCCCUGGCAAGUAAACCACAACCCAACAACACUGAUUGUCCAUGAUGAUUCACCCCAAUGAAUGAAACCAGUGGUACAUCAUAUCUUUCAGUCAAGCACGUAGUAUCAAUUAAGACUACAUCACCAAAGUACCUAUAUGCAACUCUUGACCUGGUAUCAGUCCAGAACAGGUUUCUCAAGCAUCCCUUUUCAUUUAGAUCCACUACAUUAAAAAAGUUUGGAUCUGUCAACUGCAAACGACAAAAGAAACUCUGGACAGCUUGUGCAUCUCCUGGUUUAAGCUUCAAUUGAUUUGAGCUAUUAACAUUAUUUCCAAAUACUCCAUUAACAUCUACAUUACCAUUUCCCUCGGUAUCGAUGAUAAGAGUUCGAAACAGUCUAAUUUUUUGAACGUCUUCAGCACUAUCUAAUUGCAAUGUUCUUUUGGUUCCAAUACCUAUGUGCUUAUGUGACUUGUAAAACUUUCCGCUUCUUGGGCUUAACAAGUGGUUAUGCUCAAGCUCGACUUCAAUGAUUCUCCACCUUUUGGUUUCCAUCAACCUAAACUUUAUCAUUGCUGGACAGCCAGUUCUUGUUUCUGGUCUUGGGCGGUUUGCCUCGCUUUUCUUCUUGAAGCCUGCACUACUACAGCUCAGCUUUCCUCUAUACUUUUCUCUACUCUUUCGGUACCAUGUAUUGCUAACUCUAACACCAAAACCCUGUUCCUUGGCAUAGCAAUUGUAAAAGUAAUAAACAUCAUCAUACGUCUCAAACUCCAUUCCAACAGCAGGAGCCAAUGGAUUUUGGAUUAUCCCAGUUUGUCCAACAUAUUCAGUCAUUGCACAAUCUCCUACGACCUCAAAAUCAUCAGCAUCAUCAUCACCUACUGGUUCAGUAUUCAGAGAAACUUCAUCCAUCUACAAUAGAUGUUUAAUGAAGUGAACUUUAAGGAGAAAAAGCAAAAUCAGUUCAAGGAAUGAUAAUAUAACCAUACAGUUACUUUCACAAAGCUGCGUAUUUCAUCAAUACCUUAACAACAUACAACUGCCUGAGAACGUAUAGACAUGUCAUAGACGCUUGAAUUAAGUAUUGGUACAAAUUCAUGUGGGACACAAUUUCAGUCACUAAACCCAAUGCCUUUUUUUUUCACAUCAUACCAAGGAACGGAUUAAACCCAAUACCUUCUUUUACGCCAUACCAAAGAACAGAUUAAAUCAUCAAUGAAAAAUUAAUCACAUAAUAAUUUAACUAGACAAAUAAAGAGCUCGAAACAGCACAAAACUUGAAUAUGAUUAUGAUAAUUGUUGAGUCAUUGUAUCUACAGCUUUCCUUCAACAAGAAGAUUAUGAACAUAAACUACACACAAAAAAUUUAUUUUAAACUGACAUAAAUUUAUUCAGUUACAUUGAAACCCAAAAAAGGAAGCAGGAGCUGGAGAAAAACAACAGCAGAGAAACUUAUUUCCAGAAGGUUUACGAAAUAAGGAAUUUAUUAAGACACAAAAUUUGAGGUCAACAAUAAGAAUUUGGUUCUCAUUCUCUUUUUCUUCAUUUUUCACUUAUUGAUGGAGUUACCAUACAAUCCUAAAUGAUAAAACCCCAUCUCCAUCUUUUUGAAAUAGAGUUAAAGCAAAGCUUUUUAAGAUGUUUUUCCCUAAAAGACUCAAUAGUACAAUGUUUUUCAAUAUUAAAUACACAACUCAAUCUUCCCCUAAUUUACUCUAAUAAUCUCUUAACUAAGGAAGAUUAAGCUCCACUUGUAAGCUAAAACAAGUUUCUUAAAUCAAGCCCCAAUGCUCUAUGCUAUUCAACAAGGCCUCAUAAAUGAUAAAACUACCUCUACAAAGAUACCCAUUUUAAUUUCGCAAACUAAAAUCGAACUCCUGAAACGUAACGAGCAUUAAAACAAACAAGUCCGAACAAGAACUGAAAAAUGAUACGUAAACCCGUUUCGACAAACAGUUUCCAAUCAAUGAGCAAAAAAGUUAAUGGAAAACAUGAAAUUCAAACGAAACAUACCUUAGGUUGAUAAAUUAGUAGCGCAAAAGAAAUUUUAGCGAGAUAUGGGAUCAGGGAUUUUGCCACGGUGAUGUUAAUUGCGACAUUCGGGUGACUCAGCAGCCUUCGAGGCUGAAACUUUGAUUGACCAAAAGCUUCCCGUUCGUUGAUUCUCUAAUUGCAGAAACGAAACUGGCAGUGUACAGAAGACGUACGCUGAUUUGAUAAUUCUGUGAAAAUCAUUGUUUUUUUUCAGAUUUUUAAUGUGUUCGAUAAAAUAUCAAAAUCUCAAAAACUUUUGUCUUUCAUUUUGGGGGGGAAAAACCCAUUGAGAUCCUUAUGUUUUUUCUUAUAUAAUCUGGCUUAAUAAUUUGCAAAGUCUAUUACUUAGCACCCAUGCAUGCUGCGUUCCAAUUUACAAAAUUGUACGUGAGUGCAUCCAGCUAAAAUUUGUAAAAAGAAAAUAGCAAUAACAUGUUAAAAAUGUGAUUAUUAUGAAGAAAUUUUAAUUUAGUUAAAUAGGUGACGAUGGAUAGGUAUAAAAUCUGAGAUCUUUUAUAAGGUUAAUAAAUAUGUUGAGUUUGGAUUAGUUCAAUUUUGAAAUAAUAAUAUUCAAAAUAUCUCUUAAAUCAUUAUAAACCUCAAAUCUAUUUUAAUUUUAUUUAAAAGAUAAAAGAAAAAUAGGUUAUGUUGGUGAUUUUUUAUUAUCUUUUUAAUAAAAAUGAAAUAAAUUGAUGUUUAUAAUUAUUUAAAGUAUUUUAAAGACUGCCAUUUUAUGAGAGAAAAAUAUUUCACUUUUUUUUAGUGUGAAAGGCCGAAAAAGGACAAAGCAAGUUUCCCUAGUUUUUAUUUAUUUGAAAUUGGUCAUCUCAUAUACUUCACCCUUCAACACUAUAAUUUUUUUGGUUAUAAUUUUAUUAUUUUUUCUCUUUUACACAUGCAUGUGAAUUACUUUUCUUUAAGCUCCUGAAUAUUUAAGAUAAAUCAUGGAAGAGAUGAGAGUAUAACAAGAUGACCAAAAUAUGUAACAAAAAAAUUUUAUAAGUGAAAAAUAUGUUAGAGACUUACAGUGGAAGUAAAACUCUGAGGUGAUGUUUGAUUUGAAGAAAAUGGAGGAAAUGAAAAGACUGGAAUGUAGAGGAAAAGAGAGAAAAGGAGAGGAGAGGAGAGUGAAAUUUUUUUCUAAUGUUUGGUUUGUCACAUAAUUAUACAAAGAAAGGAAAUCUCUAAUUUUUUAUUUAGACAAUUUUAACCUUAAUAAGUAUUAAGUUUUCAAUAUUUAUCAUGUGUAUAAUUAAAAAAAAAAGAAGUAAAUGGUAGAAAGCGGUUUCUGAUUCCGGCCACAUCGCCCGCAAUGGAAGGUACUUAUCAGAACAUCAAGAGCCAGCCAUCAUUCCCUAGCCAUCACUGCUGUCGGAACACUGCCGGAAAGCUGCCGAUUGAACCGCGAAAAGUCGUGGAAAUCGCUGCCUCAAAUCGGUGAGUUUCGCCCUUUUCUGGUCACGCCGUCGCCAUGGCUUUGUCCAUCAAGCCUGCCACUUCCAUUUUCAACCAUCCAUAGCCACUAUUAAUUGCCAAAUCACCGCCGAUCAGCGGGAUCUGUGGAAGUUAAAAAGUUUCUAAAUUUUUUUAACUGGAUUUGAACAACAUACGACCAUUUUUUUAUCUCGAUAACGACGUAGUAAUGUUGAUCGUUGGUCGGCAAGUCGUAUGGUAGUGGCAGUGAGUAACACGCGCCAAUCACAUCGGCGGCGGCGGCGGCACUAUCCGGCGACUGUUAAAAUAAUAUUUUAUAUUUUCAGAUUAAAUAAAUUUAUUUUAUUAAAAUUUUUAAAUCAUUAUUUAAAUUUAAUUAAUUUAAAAUUAUCUAUAAUGUUGAAUUGAUAAAAUAAAUUUAUAAAUAAUAAUUAUGUGAUUACAUUAAAUAAGUUAAAAAGUUGAAGGGUUAGUUUUGGAAGAUUUAGUUUCCAACACAAAGGGAAUUUGAAUUCUUCACUUCUUAGUGUGGAAUUCAAAUUCUAUAUUGUAAUAGAUAUUAAAUUUCAAUAAAAAUUAAAUUCUUAUAAGUUAUGUCAAACCAAACAACGAAAAUAAAAAAGAAAUUUAAAUUAUUUUUCUUUCCUCCACCCUCUCCUUCCAACUAAAUACAUCCUGAAAAUAGAGAUAUUGAUUAAUUUAGAAGAGAUUCAAGCAAAAAAUAUUCCAAAAAAAAAAGCAAUAUGUCCCUUUGGAGGGCAAACUUGUCAGUUUCAAAAAAGUACAUGCUUUGUAUUGAUAGUUGUAGGAUAUUUGUUUUGUCACUAUGUAUUAGUUGGAGAAGUCCAGCCUUGUGGAGAAUGUUAUGAAAGAGCAAAGGAUAUUCCUGAUAGCUGAUAGAGCUCUAUCUGAUUAUGUAUCCAGUGAAUGGAUGUGUUGUUGGAAGAUAUCUGAGUGCAUUAGUUCAUAUGUGUCUGUCAAUGUGCUUUUAAUGAUUUUUCCACCUGUUUGUUGUAAAAGAUUAUUGUAAAUUGAAAUGAACUUGAUGUUUUAAUAUUUUCUUCCGUAAAUUGAAAUGAACUUGAAUUAAAUCUCGUUGAAUUUAAUAUUAUCUCCUUAGUGGAAUUUCACCUAGUAUGUAUUCAGUUGUGUUGUCUAUAAUUUUGCAUUCGAGUAAGUUUCACCUAAAACAUUAGCAUGAGUAGUGGCCCUUGAACCUUUGGUCAAAAUUAUUGUUAUUAUUUCUGACUAGAUGUAAAUUUUGUAUUAAAUCUCGUUAACACAAUUCUUAAUUAAAAGUAUAGGUUAGUGUUGGUGCAAGAUUUGCCACACCAAAUUCUGCCUAGCUGUCAAAAGUGCAAAAUAAAUGAAGAGAAAGCACAAAUACACGACUUGAAUAAGGAUACAACGAAACUUAAAUUCAAGAGAAAAUGAUAGCUAUAUCCCAAGAUUUGAAAAAGUAGUCAUGUAGGUUUUUAAGAUUUCAAUAAGCGACUGAGAUUCAAAUAAUAUCCUUUAAUUCUAUUAAUAAAAAACAAAGACUCAAAUAUUUUAUGAUAAAUAAAAAUAUAAUAUUAAAAUAUAUGUGAUAAUAUACACAUUUUAAAUACUUUCAAUCCAAAAAAAUAGUUAUGUUUUACAAUCUAUUAGACAUAUUUUAUUAAAUUAAUAUAAAUUUUCUAUAAAAUAAGAAUAUAAUAUUAAAACAAAUUCACAGAAAUUUAAAGAAUUUUGAAUGUAAAAUAAUUUUAAUAUAUUAAUACGUGAGUUUUUUUAUUAAUAUAAAAAUUAUUUAACUUUAAGAUUUUUUAAAAUCUUUACAAUAAGUAUAACUAUAUUAUUUACAUUUAAAAAUAUUUAAAUAUUAUUAACCUACAAUUAUAUUUGCAUUUGUUAGAAAUUUUUAAAGUCAAAUAUUUUGCACUUCUAUAUUAUUAGAAUUAUUGCACACAAAGAAAGAAACAUAUACGUUUAGAAAUUGUUUUCUUUUAAAAUAGAGAUGAUGAUUAGUAUAAGGAUCAAAAAAAGGAUAAAGAAUAUUAAUGAUUAACGAAAACUCUAUACAAAUUGAUUUUAGUAGGAAAAGAGUGAGAUGAAUGAUUUCUUUUACAGUUAGAAAAAUAGAUGAUGAUUAUUAUAACGAAGAAGAAAAGAUAAAGAAUAUUAAUUAUUAAUGGAAUCUCUAUGCAAAUUGAUUUCAGUAGGAAAAAAAAUGAGUUAAAUGAUUUAGAGUGCGUUUGGAAUUGAGAUUGGACAGCCAUAGAUUUUAAGUUACAACACUGAAGUGUUUGGUAAAUACUAGCUGCUGCAGAUUGAAAGUUAUGUUGAUAUGAUUUUUCACAUGUAUCAUAGAAAAUAUAUUACAUCUUUAAUAAUUUUUUUAAAAUUUGUAUUUGCUAUAUAUUGUUUUUUUUAUAUAGUUAUAACUUUUUUUUUUUCCACAGCAGCUGUAGCUUAAAAGCUACAGCACCUCAAUCUCAAACAAGUCCUUAGACAUUCAUAGUGUGUUUAUUUUUUGGAUUGGUGAAUCAAAAUUAUUGACAACGCUAACUUCAUCUUCACCGUUCGCAAUCCAACAGCAGCAAUUGUCGCCAAUAAUGAUAUCGCCGAUGAUGAUGACAAUAAUAAUAAUAAUAAUAAUAAUAAUAAUAAUAAUAAUAAUAAUAAUAAUUAUUAUUAUUAUUAUUAAUAAUUAAUAUAUUAAUAUAUUAAUGUUAAUAUUAUUAUUAUUAAGAUUAACAAUAAUUAUUAGUAAUACAAUUUUUUGAAUAAAAAUAAUCACAAUAAUUAAAAUACAAAUUAACAAUUAUGACAAUAGUUAAUUAAUGUCUUUUUAGUAAUUUGUAAUAAUCUAACUCAUUUUAAUUCUGAUUAUUACAGUUUAAGUAAAUAAAUUAUUAUGAUUCCUAUUCUCCUUUUCUAUUUUAACUCACUUCGAUUCCAGUCUAUUCUGAUUUUUGUUUAAUAAACGCACCAUUAGUGCUAAAGUAAUAUUUCAUACAUAGAAAAGUAAAAACUACACCUAAGGUUAAGGGAAAGGACUUCAAAACUCUCUUUUGAUCAUAAUACAUUUUGUACUAAUUAACUUAAAGAUUUUGAAUCUAAUAUUUUAUAAUAAAUAAAAAUAUAUUCCUAAAAUAAAUAUAAUAUCAAUAUUUAAAAUAUGUUUUAAUAUUUUACACAUUUUAUUAUAUUAAAGUAGAUUUUAUAAUAAAUACAAACGUCCUAUUAAAAUGAAUAUAUAAAAAAUUUAGAAAAUUUAGAAUAUUAUAUAAAAUAAUUUUAAUAUAAUGCGUGAGAUAUAUUUUAUUAAUUUAAAAUGUUAUUUUACCUAAAAAAUAUGAUAAAUUAAUAAUUACAUAUUUGAAGUUAUUUCAAAUAUUAAAAAAAUUUAAUAUUAUUAGUCUUUUAGAUAGAUUAAAUUAUUUUUUUUAUAAGAGAUAGAUUAAAUUAUUUUAAAAUGCCUUAAUUAUUUUUACUUUUAACGUUACCGGCCUUUCUUUUAUUUUAUUGCAAAUUAAUGCUAACAAGAAAAAGCUAGAUCAUAUUCCACAAAAGCAAAAGUGACAAACACAACCAGCUGGAAUCUUUUAUAAAACUACAAAUUAAAAUGGAUUUUUUUUUUGAUAAAUUACACAUGAAAGUGGAUUCUUUUGAAUAUAAGUGGAGUAGGCUCUUUUAUUUUAUUUUUGAAUAUUGUAUAACGGGACUGUAGACUCUUUUAUUAAACUACAAAUUGUAUAGUCUUUUUAAAAUUGUUAUAAAUUAAUGGCCCCCACAAUCCUCAACAAUUGUACCGAUAUUCACAAGUUGGUGGCCCCUACAAUUCUGUUCCGAUAAUUUAACUGUGCAAGUGCUCAUUCACAAUCUUCCAGGUCAUGCUCUCAAUAAUUGUUUUUUUUUCCUGCAUUCCCUUUGGGAAAUUUACGAAAAUAAUCAUUAAUAUUUUAUUAUUUUUACAAUUAACCGUCUUAAUUUUUUUCUAUCAACAUUAGCCAAAUACAAGUCUUUCUUCCCAAAUUACCCUUCUUUACAGAACAAAACCAACAUUGUUUCUCCCAUAUCGCCAAACCAAAAGCAGCUUUUUAUUCUUAAAUCAUCAGCCAACGGCGACCGCAAAAGACAACGGUAAAAGUGAUAUCCGAUCAUAAUCUAUCCGGAUCCAACACAAAUCUACAUCACUCAGUGGUAUGAAUUAUUUUUUGAACUUACUGAACUCAGUCGGGUGAAUCUGAGUCUGGCGACAGGCUGCCUGUCGCAGUAAAACUUGGUGCGACAGGCAACCUGUCGUACCAAACCUUGGUGCGACGGGCACCCUUGGAGAUUUAUUAAAAAUGUAUUAUUUUAAUAGGACUCAAAUAAUUUUUUUUUAUAAUUUCAGGCUUAAUGGAUUCAGUUGUACUUGAAUUGUGUUACGAUGGUUGGUGGGAGACAUUAGAGAAUGGCUGUAUGGAGUACGUGAAUGGUAAAAAUCGAGCUUUUUUGGUUGGAAAAAAUUACUUGUUUGAUCAGUUAUUGGCAAGAGUAUACGAGGUAUUAAAAAUAAACCCUAAUGACUAUAGUAUCACAAUGAAGACAACUUUGAGGUCUAGUAACACAUUAUAUCGUAUAUGUGCAAUGCCCAUGGAUAUAUGUGAUGAUGAAAUGGUGAGGGUUGUGUUGCAUAUGGCAUCUGACGUAGCUAAUUUUGGAUGCAUUCCUAUAUUCGUGACCACAUCACCUCGACUUCCGAGCGAAGGUAUUGAGCCACAUGUCGAUAUAGAAACUUCGUUUAGAGCAAAUAUGUCUGGCCCCGAUAAUGAUGAAGAGGUGUUGCCAAGGACAAUAUCGCUGCAGCAAUAUUACUCUCCAAUCCACGACAAUUAUGAUAACAUUGAUGAUAAUAGCGUUACGUUACAGGAUGUUGGAGCAACGGUAUUUCCAAUAACAACGUCGUUGGAGCAACGAUAUUCUCCGUAUCACAACAAUGAUUUUCGGGACAAUGAUGAUUUUCAUAAUGAGACAGAGGAGGAUAAUGUUUGUGCAGAACCUUCUAAUAAUACGAGGCGGGGCACUCGUUUCAAUAAUGAUGGUGAUGAUGGAGGAGUCGGUCAUUCGAAUGUUCCGUCGUUUCAGCAUGAGGAUGAGUGUGAAGACAAUACUCCUGUGAAUAACAGAGGCAAUAGACCUAUUCCUUCUAUGGUUCGAUCGAGAAGGAGAAUUGACCCCCUUACAAGUCUUGCUCCAACUUUACCUUCGAACAUGGUUGCUCCAAGCUUUGUUAGCAGUUGUGACUCAGAUGAUAUCAGCGUGGGUAAGCUAUUUGUUGAGAAGAAUGAGCUUAUAUUACAACUACGCAAGGUGGCCUUUAGAGAUAAGUUUGAUUUCAAGAUUGCACGGUCUACUACGACACGUUUCGAGGCUCACUGUUGUUCAGAAUCAUGUAAAUGGCAUAUUCGAGCAACUAGAAGUUCGAACGAGCAAAAUGUUCCUUGGGUGGUGAAGAGAAUUGAUAAUGUACACACUUGUCAUAAUGAGGUAUUGAUUGAUGGACGUCAUCAAGUAAGGAGCCGGGUUGUCGGUCAUAUUAUCGCAGAAAAAUAUAUUCAAGAUAAGAGGAUUUAUACUCCCAAUGACAUAAGAGCAGAUAUGCAACAGGAAUACGGUGUUCAGUUAACAUACCAGCAGGCAUAUAGGGCGAGAGAAGUUGGUCUUGAAAUAGUUCACGGCAACCCUGCAGAGUCAUACAACUUGCUCCCUAAAUACUCUCACGUACUAACUACAACGAAUGAGGGUACAGUCACUCACCUCGAGCAGGAUGGAGAUGGUAAUUUCUUGUACUAUUUUGUAGCACUCGGAUAUUCCAUCAAGGGGUUUAUGCAGUACAUUCGGCCUGUCAUUGCUGUAGAUGGUACUCAUCUAAAGAGAUUAUAUCGUGGAAGCAUGUUCGUGGCAACAUGUCUUGAUGGUAACAAUCAAUUGUAUCCGUUAGCCAUUGGGAUCAUGGAUUCAGAAAAUAAUGAUGCUUGGGAAUGGUUUAUGAUGAAGUUACACGGAGUGAUUGGUGAUAGACCUGAGUUGGUAAUUAUCUCUGAUCGAUGCACUGCCAUAAGGAGAGCCGUUCUUAAAGUAUUUCACAAUGCAACUCAUGGCGUUUGUUUUUACCACGUCAAAGGUAACAUUAAGUCACAAUUUAGAAUGUCCAAAGCUCUUUGGGAUGAAUUUGAGCAUGCCUUUAUUAAUGCAGCAAAAGCAUAUGGCCACGAGGAAUUUAAGAGACAACUUGAAGGGUUGUGGAUGAUCCACUCGGGUGCGGCUGAUUACUUAGAAAAUAAUGUCGGCACGUGUAAUUGGGCAAGGUCUCAGUUUCAAGGUAGGAGGUACAACAUUCUUACCACCAACAUCGCGGAGAGUGUUAAUGCUUUCAUGAGGGAACCUCGAAAAUUUCCUGUUACUCAUCUUGUUGAUCACUUCAGGAAAACAUUGCAGCAAUUGUUUUAUGAUAGAAAAAUUGUGGCUGAAUCAAUGACUACUCGGCUAACAACAUGGGCGGAUGAAAUAGUCACUGAGAGGAGAACUAUAGCUGAAAGAAUGAUAGUUCGGCCGGUGUCUCCGCAUCGCUUUCAAGUUAUAGGCGGUGGGCUUAAGGAAGGGUUGGUUGACUUGCAAAAGAGAACUUGCUCCUGCAGAGUGUUUCAGCUUGAUCAGCAUGUGUGUGCUCAUGCAAUUGCGGCGUGUCUAACACACCGGGUGGAUUUUAUUAACCUUUGCUCGGACUUUUACACUACAGAAUCGUUGGCGAUGGCUUAUGCACAACCAGUGGAGCCAGUUGGUGAUGUGGCUGAUUGGGAAGUUCCAGAUGAAAUUCAGGAGAUGCAGGUAUACCCACCAGUUGAGGCACCACUACCUGGCCGUCGUAAAGAGCUCAGAAUACCCUCGACUGGCGAGGACGUUGACCGGCGGACUGUAAGAUGCGGCCGGUGUCAUGAACUAGGCCAUAAUCGUAAGCGAUGUAAGAAUCCUAUUGCGUCGACUCGAAGUUAGUUGUAUUUUGUGUGUUAUUCGUUGGUUAAAACUAUUAUUGUUUUUGUGUUACAUUGGUUAAAACUGUUAUUGUUUUUUGUAUUUCGUUGGUUAAAACUGUUAUUGUUUUUUGUGUAUUGUACACUUAUAUUCAUAAAACUUUAUUUUAUUUUAAAGUUCAAAAUGUGAGGCAUUAAAAUUAUAUAAACUUAAGUGCGGAAAUUAAAAAAAAUGCAAAUUUCAACAUUGAAAUUACUACAUAGGUCUACAAUAUAAUAUCGUCAUUAAAUAUAUCAACCGCAAUCUUCUUUCUAAAGUACUCGACAUGACUAGCGUUAAACUCCAAUCUAAGCCCGAACAUUAAAUACAUCGUAACCAUCAAUACAAAAACACUGCAAUCGCUAGUUCCGGGCUCUUGUUGUGGUGCGCUCUUAACUGCGAUAACUUUCCACGGGUCUUCACUCCGCAACUCAGGUCGGAUAUUGUAGAAGCCAACAUAUUCCAACCAUCGAGGGAAUAUAACUUCAAGUGGCUUGAAUUUCAACUUGUACUUUUUGUCGUCGCGAAAUGUGAGUAAUGAGUCAUAAAUCCAGACUUUAUUUUUCCGAAAGUCAACUCGUGCUAGUACCCAAUGCGCGCCGUCCAAGUUAACAGGGAUGAGUAACUGCAUAUAAAAAUUAAAAAAACAUGUUCGUUAUAUAUGAAAUUGAAAUACAACAAAGAAAAAGCAACAACUCGAAUAUUUUCAUUAUAGAGCAUGUGAAAUGUAAUAAAAUACACACCAUAUCGACAUCCGUCAUUAAUUUUGACAUUGUGUGCUGUCGCCCACAAAGAUAACUAUUCAAGCGGUCGUCGAAUACCAUUGAAUCAACUGCACAAUUCCUGUUAUUCCAUAACUGAUUCAAGAACACCUAGUACAUAGAUAACCAAGAAAUGCAUAAAUUAAUAAAACUUAAAGGCAAUAAUUAAACAAAUUAAAUAGUAUUUAUAAGUUUUGUCGGCACGUUACCCAAAAAAAUGUGUCAGUAUGUGUGACACGUUGGAGUAAGGCAUUUGGAUACUGCCGUUGUUUCUCGCUAAUCAAGCGGAGAUACUCGUGAAUAUGCUGUAGAGAAACAAAAAUAUUACGAUUUAAAAAAAAAUUAUACACAAAUCCACAACAGUAUACACCACGAGGAAAAUAUAAAUACCUCAUCGCCUAGCCAUCCCAUCGAAGCUGUCCCCAAAAUUAUUUGAAAGAAUGACCGCAGGUGCUGGACUCUCCGGCGGACUCUGCUAUCACCAGUGAACCAUCGAUCAAACUCAGCAAACAAACUAGAGUCCUCCAAUCCUCUCAGUGGAUUUACAUCCACACUCGUACUCAUGUCAAUCGCAUGCUCCAUCAUUUGGGGUCGAGGUAACCUCCGGACGUUCUGUCCACGCCUGACCGGAGGAAUCAUGUAAGGACUGUUAUAAACAUACGACGGUAUGUACGCGCGGCCGAACUUACUAACGCCCGGAGGCACCUCUGUGAACACCUGCAUGCUCUCCCCACUAACAUCCCCGUAUAAACUAUAAAAUGACGUGGGCGUAGACAAAUUUUCAUUGCCCACGUCAGUAUACACUCCAUAGUCAUCCGGGGCCUGUACAUUCGCCAAAAAGAACAUAUUAAAUAAUUAUCAAAUUAAAAGUUAAACGAACAUAAUUAUUUAAUUUAAAUUAGCUUACCGCAUACGAGCGUGCAGUGGGAGAAUCCUUAUUUGGAUGUUUAGAAAAUGUGUCGAUGAAGCCAACAACGGUUUCUUUAAAAUCUUUUAAUUCUGACUUUAUUUCAUACACAUUACGAUCAAUCUUAUCCAGCCGUCGUCGUACGUAAUCAUUAAACUGCUUUGUCCUCGACUAUUACAAAAGAAAAAAAUAAAACUUUAGAAUAACAAUAAAAAAAUAAUAAUUUAUAAAGGAAAAAUAUCGUAUAUUAUUUAUAACCUCAGAAUCCCGUGCGUCAUCAGAGUUGUCUGUUUGCUGCUGGUGGUCAUCAACAGCCACCUCAUCCUCAAAAGUGUCAAGACGCUGCUCUGGUAUUGGGUUUAGUAUGUCGUCAUGAUCAUCAUGCUCGUCCGAUUGUCUUGUAACCGACGGCAUCGCGUUGAUUGAGGGUUGGUGCUGUAUAAAGUAUCAUUUAAAAUUACUAAAUGAAAAGUCAAAAAUUUCGAUAAAAAAAUUUUUAGUACUUACAGUAUACCGACCUUAUGAAUCCAAUCUGGAAUGCUUGGCAAGUAAUCCUUCACAGAGAGUCAAUAUUUUCUGCUACUCUCUUUUGAAUUUGGCUCAAGAGUUUGUAAAAUGUCCGUCUGCCAUAAAUUCAAUUGAAAAAUUUAAGUAAGUAUACCCAACUUAAAUUUAGUAAAGUUAAAAAAUAAGUAAUACAUAUUACUUACAAGACGAGAUUCGUCGUUGAAGAACGAAUAAACCUCCGCAAAGUUGAUUCUCGAAGACGUCAUGGGCUUCCAUUGCAGAAUGCGGGGAAUCUUACUCUUCGUUUUGACGACCCAUGUUGAUGGCAACCCUCCGAUUGCUUCGUAAAUCCAAGCCUACAACAAACCAAAGUGAAAAAUCAAAUAAAACAACUAUCAAAUAUUUAAUACUAUAAAACUUAUUAAUAAACAAAAAAAAGCACCUGCACCCCAGACGUAAAGCCGUAAAGAUUAUAUUUUUCAAUAUUAUGAUCUGAAUUUUUCAACCGAGUCUUCUUAAAUUUCUCGUCUUUCUCGAACAGUGCAUUGUCAAGACUCUCGUAAAUCAUUUCCCACGACAAUAGACCCCAUGGCGCUUUCGGAAGUACUGUAUAUCAUCAACUUGGUCAAGCCAAUCGAAAUUAAUUUGACAGUGAUUUUUUCUUGCAUUUAGUACUCUGUCCGCAAAAUAAAACAGCGCAAUCUUUAAUGCGUCCAUAUCGUCCAUUUCCUCGAAAUUCAACUCCUUAAAUACUGCAUCAAAUUGCUUCACAUUAAUCUUACGAUGCACACCACCAAAAUACGUAUUCCGUAGCCUCUGCUCCAUUUCAUCAUUUUUUUCAUUGGUAUCAACACCAAAUGAAAGUCCAGUAACCAAGCACCAUUCGAUAAUUGACAAGCGAAUCAAAUGCUUACCAAUUUGAAACCAUAACUGAUCCUCACAGCUAUCUUCUUCAUGGGCCACUUGCCGCAGUAAACGAUUGUGCAAAAUUACCCCACUAAAUGGAAAACUUCGGCACUCCAAGAAAUGCCCAAAUAUAUCCUUUUUGAACAUACUCAACUGCCGCUUUGUUAAUUUUUCCUCGAUGGCUUUUACGACCGAAGAUAACAUACACAUGCUCGAAAUUCGACCAGGAAAGUGAUCAGCAUAACGAAAAUACAUCUUGCCUACUUCAAUAUCCGGUGAUUCUGAUUUCGCCAUGUAUCUGUAAUAUUUAUAAAAUUAUUACAUUACAUUUACAAAAUUAUUACCAAACUCUAAUUUUUUGGUGCGACAGGCGCCUGUCGCUCCAAAAAACUGCCUGUCGCACCACAGCUGGUGCUCCAAAAUCGAAAACAAUACUCCCAAACACUACCAACUACCACAAACAUCAUCACCACCACUAUUAAUCUCAAGCUAUAACUAUUAUUAUUCUAAAAUCUCAUUUUAAAUUAAUGAAAAUAAGAAAAAUGACUAACCUAGGUUUUGUUGAAGGUUGUAGAUCGUAGAUCGGAUGCCGGUGAGAGAUGGAGCCGCCGCCGACGAGGGUUGAUGUCGCCGCCGAUGAUGGGAGUUGGAUCGGUUUGGGAGAGAUGAGUGAAAAAGGGAGUGUUGGGGAAGAGAUGAGGGAUGGGUAUUUUGGUCUCAAAUGUUGUUUUAUGGCUAAUGUUGAUAGAAAUAUUUUUGGGGGGUUAAGAUGAAAAAAAACAAAUUUGUUUUGGUUAUUACUGUAAAUUUCCCAUUCCCUUUCAUGCUCUUAAUAAUUGAAGAGCAUACUUUUCAUUUUCAAAUGUGGAGCCGCAUCUAAUGUCGCUAAUUUAAUUUGGGAUUAAAUUAGGGGACCAUUAUAUUGCAGUGUGUACUAAUUUUUGUGUUUAUCUAAACUCCUUAAGUUUAAGACAUAUUAUGGCAUAAAUAAGAAUAUAACAAUAACAAAAGAGAUGCCGGAGCAGAUCAGCAGGGUUUGAAUAUGACCUUUGGCGGUUGCUUUUUUUUUGUGAUUUUUUUCAUUUUUUCCUUCCUGUCAUUUUAUCAUUUAUUUGGCUCUGUUUCUAUUGCGGGUGUUACUGCAUGCUUACUGUUGCUUGACAAAGUUUGCUAGCUUUUUGUUUGCAGUGCUGCUAUUCACCCCGAGUCAAGCUCCGAAAAUUUAUUAAACAACGCCGUUUCGAUAGUAACAAUUUUUUUCUUUUCCCUUUGUCUGUCUCUUUCAUCUGCUGUUUCUCUAUCACUUUUCAUUUUUUAUUUCCUUACUUCCCAGCUGCCCCUAAAUUGUUAUUCUAGCAAUAUACUUUCUCAUCUUUGAAUUUUCAUCCUUGAGUACUCCCACAGCCGUAAUUUCAUCAUUAUAGACUUCACUUGGAAUGCUGUAUUUUUUCGAUUCUUAAGCUACUUCAAUUACAUCUCCCAGUAUAGGAUCCUCAUCUUCCUUUAUUUCUUCAUCUUAUGAGGUAACAAAUGGAUUUCACAACUCAUCUACUUUUAAGCAAUUACAUAUUAUACCUUGAAUGAUUCAACUGUUCCGACAGUUAAAGAUUUUAUGCUCAACCUGCAGUGCUACGAACAUUGUCCAUGAAAGAUGAGUUUCAGCAUAUAAAAUGAAAUAUAGAUGUUUAAUCUAAAAUAACCCUUCACUGCCAAGAAACCUAGGUCACAAAAUUCACAGAUAAUGAUAAAGAGCUAAAAAAUUUGAAAAACUCUACAGAUCACACAUCAAGCAAGAUAUCAUGUUUUUUUCCCUCAUUCGGUGGUGAUUGAUUCGCUUUUUGAUGAUGGAUAUGGUAUAAAAGUUUUGACCCAAUUUCAAGCAAACACAAAUAGAAACACAAAUAGAAACACAAACACAAUCAGGACUAGAGUUGUGGGCGAUUAUCUUAGGUGUACAAGUGAAACGGUGGUGGCUGUCGAUGGUGGUAGUGGGGUGGUUGGGUAUGCGUGAUGGCUAGAUUUUAGGACAAUAAUGGUUGGAGUUGACCUCGAUCAACGAAGGAAAGUGACAACAAUUUUGACAUCAAACGGUGCAUUUUUUAGCUUAGUAAAAUGGAGCCGUUUCGAAUUUGGGGUUUAAUCCGGGGUUUGACUCGGCGCAAGUAUCAUUUUCCUUUUGUUUAUUAAAUUUUUUAUGGUCACAAAGUAUUACUCGUUCUAUUUGAGAGUGAUGUGAAUCAAUUUUUCAAUUUUAUAUUUUGUGGUCAAUGUGAAUUUAAUUUCAUUUGUCUCCUGCAAUUAUGAAAAAAUUGCAGUCAUAAUAUGGAAAAGUACACCGGCAAAAACUUUGUAAAAGCUUCGGAGUGAUACGGGGAAUUUACUUACUACUGAGGACAAUUGGUGGCAAAGCUAUUCCAUUCAUUUUAUGUCCAUCCAUCUAUUUAGCUAUUGAAGAUUAGUGGUCCAUUUGUAAAUUUCAGAUUGUCUCUCUCUCUCUCUCCCACUUGAAAUAACAAUAUUUAAUAUAUCUCUUAAAUUAUUAUAAAUUUUAAUUUACUCUCGAUUUAAAAUGGAGCAUGUCGAUAAAAAAUUUUUCUUCUUAAUAAAAUUGACGUAAGUUGUGUGUUACAGUAGUUUGAAGUUUGAAAUAUUUUAAAGAUUAUUAUUCUAUAAGGGAGUAAUAUGAAAUGAUAUUUACUUUUCAUGUGUGAAAUGAAAAAGGACGAAGCAAGUGUCCCUGCUUUUAUUUUAUUUCAAGGAGGAGUCAUCUCACAUACUUUAGCUCUUAACAUUACAUUUUUUCUGGUUACAUUUUUUAUUUAUUUAUUUUUUUUUUUUUACACAUGCGUGUGGGUUGCUUUUCUGUAAGCUCCUUAAUAUAUAUUUAAGACAAAUCAUGGAAGAGAUGGGAUUAUAUCAAGAUGAUCAAAGCAUGUAAAAAAAGAAAAAAGAAAAAAAAAAAUUAAGAAGUAAGACACUGAAAAUGGAGAAGAGAUGGAAGCAAAAGAUAUUCCAAAACAAAGCAAUCUAUCCCCUUUCGAGGGCAGACUUAUCAGGUUUAAAAAAGUACAUGCUUUGGAUUGGUAGUUGCAAUCAAGGGAAAAUAAAUAGGAUCCAAUGAAAUUUAAAUCUCGGAGAAAAUAAAUAAUCAUGCAGAUUUUCAAGAUUUUAAUAAGGGAUACUAAUAUCUUAUUUUGAUUAAUAACAUUCUUUUAUUGUGUUAACUCAAAAAAAAUAUUAUAAUGCUUUACAAUAAAUACAAAUGUCCUAUUAAAUGAAUAUAUAAAAAAUUUAGAAAAUUUAGAAUAUUAUAUAAAAUAAUUUUAAUAUAAUGCGUGAGAUAUAUUUUAUUAAUUUAAAAUGUCAUUUUACCUAAAAAAUAUGAUAAAUUAAUAAUUACAUAUUUGAAGUUAUUUCAAAUAUUACUUAAUUGUUUUUACUUUAAACAUUACCGGCCUUUCUUUUAUUUUAUUGCAAAUUAAUGCUAACAAGAAAAAGCUAGAUCAUAUUCCACAAAAGCAAAAGUGACAAACACAACCAGCUGGAAUCUUUUAUAAAACUACAAAUUAAAAUGGAGUUUUUUUAAAAAAAUUGUUAUAAAUUGGUGGCCCCUACAAUCCUCAAUAAUUGCACCGAUAUUCACAAGUUGGUGGCCCCUACAAUUCUGUUCCGAUAAUAAUUGUUUUUAUUUUUCUGCAUUCCCUUUCAUGCUCUUAAUAAUUGAAGAGCAUACUUUUCAAAUGUGGAGCCACAGCUAAUGUCGCUAAUUUAAUUUGGGAUUAAAUUAGGGGACCAUUAUAUUACAGUGUGCACUAAUUUUUGUGUUUAUCUAAACUCCUUAAAUUUAAGAUAUAUUAUGGCAUAAAUAAGAAUAUAACAAUAACAAAAGAGUAAAAAAGUGUAGAGAAGAUCUUGCAGAAAUAUAAAUAAUAUCUAUUUUAAAAUAAUUUUUAAUAUUUUAUGAUCCAUUAGAUAUAUUUAUUAUAUUAAAGUAAAUUUUAUAAUAAAUAAAAACAUACUAUUAAAAUGAAUAUAUAGAAAAUUUAGAGUAUUUUAAAUAUUAUAUAAAAAAUUUUUAAUAAAAUAUGUGAGAUAUUCAUAUUUUAUUAAUUUAAAAUACCAUUUAACCUAAAGAUUUAUUUAUGAUAAAUUAAUAAUUAUAUUUUUGAAAUUACUUCAAAUAUUAAAAAAUUAAUAUUACUAAUCUGUUAGAUAGAUUAAAUUAUAUAUAUUAUUUUCUAUUUAUUAAAAAAUUAAAAUUAUUUUUAAUUACUAUUCAAAAAAUAUAAUGAAAAAACAUAAUGAUAAAAAAAUCUUAACAUCUUUAUUAAAAAAUUAAAAACUUAUAUGAUAAAUUCUCUAAAUAUUUACGGUAUAUGUGAACCACGGUGGAUAAGCUUUAUUUAAUAUUAUUGAUUUAAAUAAUAUGUCAAUUAAAAAUGUACAGAGAAGAAAUUUCGGUGGGUAUUUUAGUCUUUUAAGCAAUUAUCAUGAUCAGAUCAGCCUUUAGCCUUCAAACGUCGGUCAGAAAAGUUUUAAAAUUAAUGCUAAAUUGUUUUUCACUUUUAACGUUGGUGGCCUUGAAAUUGCUUGUAUUUUAUUAAAAAUUAAUGCUAACAAGAAAAAGCUAGGUCAUAUUCCACAAAAUCAAAAGUGACAAAACAACCAGCUGGUUUCUUUUACUAAACUACAAAUUAAAAUAAAUUUUUUCGAUAAAUUACAAAUUAAAGUGGAUUCUUUUGAAUACAAAUGGGACAGACGAUUAGGCUCUUUUUAUUAGAGGCAAGUAAAAACUAGUCAAGAAUCGAACAGUCUUUUUCCAAUUCUUGUUUUAUUAUUUUUCAAAACUAGUUUUUGGUAAUUACAACCGGGUCAUUAAUCAUUAUUCAGAGUUACUGUUAUCUUCGGGGGCAGUGGGUAAAAGAUAAUUACUAACUGUUUUUCCUUCAAAAGUUAGCGGCUCAUGUUUGCAAGUGUGAAUGUGCGAUGCUCUUUUCUUAAAGGCCAUUACAGUGGGGCCCGAAUCAGACGUGCCUAAAUCUUUUUAAAAUUUUUGCCGUAUAACGAACAGAGGUCAUUACUAAAAUUUCUCUUCCACAGCCUACAGCAGCUUCAGUUUAUCAAACUCCAUCAAUUUUCUUUCUUAACAAAAUUCCAAAGAUGUGUAGCAUUUUUCAGAUCACAUGCGAUGGUGCUCUUUUCAAUCGUUGCUUGGAUUGCUUUCUUGGAAAAGCAGCAUACAUACGUAACCUCCAAGAUAAUCUUGUAGCCUUGGAGACUGAACUGGGAAGACUAAUCGCAGCAAAGAACGAUGUGAUGAUGAGGGUUGUCAAUGCUGAACGGCAACAAAUGAGAAGGCUGGACGGAGUGCAAGUGUGGGUUUCGAGGGUGGAUUCUGUUAAAACUGGAGCCGACGAACUUAUCACAGACGGCUCUGAAGAAAUUGGCAAAUUAUGUGUUGGAGGCUACUGUUCCAAGAACUGCAGGUCAAGCUACAAAUCGAAAACAAGUGGCUAGAAAGCUACGACAUGUGAAGACUUUAAUCGCCGAGGGAGUUUUUGAGGCGGUGGCCACUGAGGUGGUGCCCGAGAGAGCUCCGGAACCUGUAGCAGAUAAAAGACCCACUGAGCCAACAAUAGUAGGCUUGCAAUCACAGCUUGAACAAGUUUGGAGAUGUCUUGUAGAAGAAUCAGUGGGAAUCAUUGGCCUAUAUGGUAUGGGCGGUGUUGGUAAAACCACACUAUUGACCCAUAUCAACAAUAAAUUUCUUGAGAGUCCCACAAACUUUGAUUGUGUGAUUUGGGUCGUAGUUUCAAAAGACCUGCGACUUGAAAAAAUUCAAGAAGAUAUUGGGAAGAAGAUAGGUCUGUCUGAUGAUUCAUGGAAGAAUAAAAGUUUUGAAGAGAAAGCUGUGGACAUCCUGCCGAGAUUAGGAGAGAAGAGAUUUGUAUUGUUGUUAGAUGAUUUAUGGGAGCGGGUUGAUUUAACAGAAGUGGGCGUUCCACUUCCCAGCGCACAAAAUACUACCUCAAAAGUCGUAUUCACAACCCGUUCCAUUGGUGUUUGUGGCAGCAUGAGAGCUAGGCCGGUUAAAGUGGCAUGCCUAUCAGAAAAGCAAGCUUGGGAACUGUUCCGCGAAAAUGUUGGGGAAGAAACUCUUGAGAGUGAUCAUGAGAUCGUUGAGCUAGCCCAAACUGUGGCCAAAGAGUGUGAUGGUUUGCCACUCGCACUUAUUACUAUUGGUCGAGCUAUGGCCUACAGAAAGACAGCCGAGGAGUGGAGUCAUGCAAUUGAUGUGCUAAGAACAUCAGCUUCUGAGUUUGCAGGUUUGGGAGAGAAGGUGUAUCGUCUUUUAAAGUUUAGCUAUGAUAGUUUGCAGAAUGAUACGGUUAGAUCUUGUUUCUUGUACUGUUGUUUAUAUCCUGAAGAUUAUGGCAUUCUUAAAUGGGACUUGAUUGAUUGUUGGUUUGGCGAGGGAUUUUUUGGGGAAUCUGACAGGUCUGGUGCAGAAAACCAAGGAUAUGACAUUUUGGACACUCUUGUUCGUGCAUGUUUAUUAGAAGCGGUGGAAGAUGGUGAAGUAAAAAUGCAUGACGUUAUUCGUGAUAUGGCUAUAUGGAUAACUUGUGAAAUUGAGAAGGAGAAGAGAAACUUUUUGGUUCGUGCAGGUGCUGGAUUAAAAGAGGCACCGGAUGUUAAAGGAUGGGAAAAUGUGAGAAGAUUGUCAUUGAUGCAAAACCAAAUUGAAACUGUGUCAGAGGUUCCCACAUGCCCUCAUCUCCUCACUUUAUUUCUUGACUUUAAUCAGGAGUUGGAGAUGAUCGCGGAUGGCUUCUUCCAACUUAUGCCUUCUCUCAAAGUUUUGAAGAUGUCAAACUGUGGACAGAGGAGGUUGAAAUUACCUGUUGGGAUGUCAGUGUUGGGUUCAUCACUAGAACUUCUCGAUAUUUCAUGUACUGGCAUAACAGAGUUACCAGAGGAGUUAAAGAAGUUGGUAAAUCUGAAAUGUUUGAAUUUGAGGUGGACAGGUGCGUUAAUUAGAAUUCCACGGCAACUAAUAUCAAAAUUUUCAAGGUUACGUGUGUUGAGAAUGUUCGCUAUUGGCUAUGAUCGUUUUCAUGAAGCACCAGAAGACAGCGUUUUAUUUGGUGGGGGUGAAGUUUUGAUACAGGAAUUGCUCGGUUUGAAAUAUUUAGAGGUAUUGGAGUUGAGCUUGGGAAGUUAUCAUGCUCUCCAAAUUCUUUUGAGCUCAAAUAAGUUAAAAAGUUGUAUUCGAUCUCUUUGCCUCGAGUUCGCCGGAGAUACAGCGUCAAUUAUUGAUGCUACGGCUUUCGCAGAUCUAAACUACCUCAAUGAAUUAAAUAUUUAUAGUGGUUUUGAGUUGGAAGAGUUGAAGAUUGAUUAUACAGAGAUAGUACGAAAAAGGCGGGAACCUUUUGUUUUCCGCAACCUUCACCGUGUUACUAUACAUAGCUGCCAGAAGUUGAAAGAUUUGACAUUCCUCGUUUUUGCUCCAAACCUCAAGUCUGUUCAGCUACUCGAUUGCUAUGCUAUGGAAGAAAUAAUCAGCGUCGGAAAAUUUGCUGAGACUCCUGAGAUGAUGGGACAUAUAAGCCCUUUUGAAAAUCUCCAAAUGCUUGAUUUAGAAGAUUUGCCACAUUUGAAGAGCAUCUUCUGGAAGCCAUUGCCUUUCACUCAUCUGAAAGAAAUGGCGGUAAGUGGGUGUGAUCAGCUUGAAAAGCUUCCACUCGAUUCCAACAGUGCAAAGGAGCGUAAAUUUGUAAUUCGUGGAGAAGAAGACUGGUGGAACCGACUUCAAUGGGAGGAUGAAGCCACUCAAAUUGCUUUUCGUUCCUGUUUCCAACCUUAUUCCUGAGCGGUGGUCGCAAAUUUUGAUUCUCUGUUUUUAUUUCUGGUUAGUUUCUCUCUCUCUCUUUCUCUCUCGCUCUCUCUCUUUUUGUCUUCUGCAAAUCACAAUUAAAUGUUGAAUUAAUGGAAUUAAUGCUUCAUAAAUUUGCCGGCACAGCCACUACUUUUUUUUGGGGGGGGGGGGGGGGGGGGUCGAAUUGGUGCUCUGGUUUUUGACUUUUUGUUAGCGAUUUAAUUUCCUGUCAAAAGACGAGCGAGAAGAACAUAUAUAUGACGUAAACCAAUUGAUACUUUAUUUAUGUGCAUUGUAUGUAAUAAAUAUUAAGUAUACUUUAUUUUUGCCCUGUUCUCUGUUUUUAUUUCAGUCUCUCUCUCUCUCUCUCUGCUGUCUCCUGUCUCCUGCAAAUCACAAUUAAAUGUUGAAUUAUAUGGAAUUAAUCCUUCAUAAAUCUGCCUGCGCUGGCUUUUUUUUUUUUUUUGUGGGGGUCGAAUUGAUGCUCUGGUUUUCGACUACUUUUUGUUGUCAAAAUUUUCUCUGUUUUUUCAAAUUGAUGCUUUAUUGAUAUCUUCUUCGUGAAAAGUGAUUUAAUUUCCUGCCAAAAGACGAACGAGAAGAACAUUAGAGUCAAACUAAUGCUCACAUAAAUUUCCCGUAAGAAUAUAUAAUUAUUAAGAUAGAUCUGCUCUUUCAUUAAAUAUAUAUUCCUUUUUCACAUAUUAAUUGACCUUUAUUUAAUUUGUUUAAAAAGUUUAAUUAAUUGUUGUUUGCAGAGAAUCAUCUACGCCGCUCGCCGAUAAAAGUUGAGGUGUUCGAGCAGGUGCUUGCCUUUUUUUUUUUCUUUUUCUUUUUUCCCUGUUUUAAUAUUUCUUUAAAUUUUGAAAUUGUUUAAUUAUUCUUCUGGUUUGGAAUGUUGAUAAUAGUGUUGUGAAAUUAAUUUUUACAGGAUAAAAGGUUGUGGGACAUUUAUUAUCCAUGUCCUAUGUAUCUCAAGCUUAAAGGUCUCAGUGGUCCUCUAUUGGAAAAAGCAAGUUUAAUAUAUAUUAAUUGGAUAUCGUCGCCUGUAUAUAUAUGUAUAUACAUACAUACACAGCCACUCAUCGAUUAUAGACUUAAUUAUUUAAUUGAUUAUGUAAUCUCUCGUAGUUUCUUUGUGCAUUUUUAGUUAAUUUAAUGAAUAAACUCAAAUACAUUGUAAAUAAAACCAAAUUAAAUGUUCCCUAAAAUAUACGUAUAUGCCUCUCGAUGGCACACAAGGUUAAAUGUCAGCCCAUCGCGGGUAAUAUUAUUUCUAGCCGCCUUCAUUACGAGUUAAGAGUCAAUUAUUACUAAACUAAACUAGUCAAAACUCGUAAGUGCUAGAAAGUAGAAACGUUUGAUUCUAUAUAAAUGACUUCAAUUCAAUAUGUACCAAAGAGUAUCGAUAAUUGAACCCCAAAAAACUUUAAAAAAGAUUGACAAAAUUAAUUAUAUUAUUGUGUGUUUUUAGAAGAAAAAAUAAAAUAAUUAAUUAAUGUUAUAACACUAUGUUAGGUGAAAAGUCAGCUGUCUGGAAGAGAACAAACUUACUAAGAUAAGAGCCUUCUUCAGUAAUCAACCGAACGAAAAAGUCAUCUCUUUUCUUAUUUAUUUAGUAAAAAUAAGUAAAGGCCGAAAAUUUCCUAAAAUAUCUAAAUCCCUCUCUUUAAAAGAACACCAUAUGCUGCAUAACAUGCAAAUUAAUUUCCCAUAUGUGAUGCAAUUUUCUCCUCAACAUAUGCGCAAUUCUUUCCAUUCCGGCAUUUACACUCAAAUUUUCCUUCCUUUCUCUUUGUGGUUGAAUCUUACACCACAACUCAUGUGAUGCAAUCUCCUCUCGCUGCCUAAAUUGCACUCUCAGCAAAGCAGCAUAUGUAAGCAAGCUUGAAGAUAAUCUUGCUGCUCUGCGGAAGAACGGCAAAAGUUAAUCGAAGCAAGGACUGAUGUAUCAGAAAAAUUUUGGUGGAGAAUUCAGCACAAACAUAUUUCGGAUGAUCAGAAUCAAUAAAACAUGGUGGUUGCGCCAUAUAAACAUCUUCGGAAAGCUGGCCUUGAAGAAAGGCGUUUAUUGAUAUCCAAUUGACGAAGAGGCCAGCCAUGACUAACAUCAAUACUAAGAACAAGCCGUACUGUGGUGGGCUUAACAACUGGACUGAAAGUGUCAUAAUAGUCCACACCAGGCCGUUGAUUGAACCCUUUGGCAAUAAGACGAGCUUUGAACCUGUCAACAGAACCGUUGGAAUGUCUUUUAAUACAAAAAUCCAUUUGCAGCCAACAAUAUUGGAAAGGAUGGGAGGUGGAACAAGCUUCCAUGUCCCGUUAAGAACAAGAGCAUCAUACUCUUCUGACAUAGAUUGACGCCAGUGAGGAUUUUUGAUAGCUUGCGUCACAGUUGUAGGUUCACAAUCAGAAGGAGGGCUAAAAUGAGCACAGAGGUUAAGUUUUUGUAACGGCUUGUGAAUGUUAUUUUUAGCUCCGGUAGUCAUAUCAUGAUGAUUUGUGGGGCAACGAUCUAGUGGAGUUUGGGAAGAUGAUUGAACAGGAAGUGAAGAAGUGCUUUGUGUAGAGGUAGAAAUAGGUUGGGAGGAUUGCUGCGGAGAUGUUACCGGUAGAGAAGAAGGAGCAGUACACGGUGGCAACUCCAAAGGGCCCACAAUAGAUGGAGUAGGUGCCGACGAUGGAGUACUAGGAAAUGAAACAGUAAGAAUUGGUGGAACACUUGCGUAAUUAGGAGUUGUAGAUGAGCUUGUAAUGAUUUGUAUGGAAAAACAAACUCUACAAAUUUAACGUGACGUGAAAUAAAAAUUUGAAAGGUGGAUGGGUCAAAACAUAAAUAAGCACUUUGAGAUAAAGGAAUAUCCUAGAAAAACACAAGGCUUAGAGGGUGGUUCGAGUUUAUGUGAUGAAACACAAACAUUCAAAAUUUUUUAAGUUUAUAUUAAUUAGGAGUGGUACCAAAAAUUAAUUGGCUAUCGGGUUGUUGGAUGUGUUUUGGAUAUUUACAGCUAAGUUUGAGUAUCUCAACUUAAAAUUUGUAGCUUUCACUUGAAAAAAUUCAGUUAAAAUUUGCAAUGCAGACUGAUUGAUUUAUCAGUUUAACGUGUGCCAGGAAUGAAGAACUGGAAUAUCACCGUCAAGCAAGCACCCUGUGGAGCAAUACCAAACAAUGUACAAUCCGGCUUUGCUAGGUGACACUGGAGGCUUUUUGAAAAGUGCUUCACGCUCACUUGCACAGAUUGAGCAUCCCCUCUGGAUAUUGCCCUCUCUGAUCGAGUCUGAGCACUCAAAUUUUGGUCCUCAGAGGGAGCUACAGUUUUCUCUCCACUAACCAACAAUUUUCUAAACUCAGCACCUAGUGUGAUCUUGAGCCAUAUCUAAAGCAGUUUGAAGUUCAAGUACUUGAGCCCUUGACAAUGGUUUUAAAAUUGGAACAUCUUGGAUUACUGCAGACUUGUACCCCUUGGUUUCAAAGUAAGGAAAGGUAUUGCUUGAGUACAAUUUGGAGGCAGCUUCUUCACCAAUUUUAUUUGGAGGCGAUUGGCAGCGGAUCCAGCUGCACGAAGACUAAACAAGUCAGAUGCAGUUUAUUUGUCCAAGCACAAAUUGCAUUUUGUCCUCAACUUUAAUAUUUAUUGAUGAGAAUCAAUACAGGUCCCUCAUUUGUUAUAGAAAGCUUUAUUGUAGUCUCACCAGUUAAUUCACAGGUCUAUAAUCAUCUUGCAAAGUUAAGGGCAUUUCUUUCGAUCUAAAGUCUUUGCAUCACCACCUCAUCACACGCCAAGCCAAUAUUCCAUUUACCUCUGCAACAAAAAGUUUUAAGUAAACAAUCCUAAUGCACGCAGCCAAAUAAAAUGCAGUAAGAAUAUUCAACUUAAAAAUCUGAAAGCCAACUUGGUGAAUUGCCUCCUUAGGUGAAGUUCCAUGCUUUACUAUAGUUGACAGAACUCAGCAAAAGCUUCCAUACAACAGAUUUUGAAAAUGAUGAUGCCAAUAGAUACUCAUUCAAUCCAUUGAAAAUCCAAAGGUUCAUUGUUAAUAGAAGUUUACAGAGUUUUGGUCAUCAAAUAGCUCAGACCUAAUCCCAAACAAAAAACGAGUGAAAAUUAGAUCACGAGCAGCUAAUUGUAAAUUCUAACUUAACUCUUCAUCUCCUUUGUAAACAAGAAACAAAAUGGAGACACGCAAAAUGAAUAUGGAGAAAAUUUGAACUCAAAUGAAAUGAGGGCACGAAAGCAAACAAAUGGCAUGCACAAAAAAACCAAGCCUCAAUCAAAAACUAAUUAACCAUUAAGAAAAAAAUUGGUCAGAGAAUGAACUCCAAAUUCAGGAGUCAAGCAAGAAGCUUUCAUCAUUUCAGAAGCUCCUGUACAAAAAAACCAAGCCUCAAUCAAAAGCUUUCAUUAAUAAGUUAUGCUCUUUGGAAGCAAACCUAAAUUCCAAGAGAAACAGAAGCCAAAAAAUUUGCAAUUAUACGCAAAGGAAGUGAAGCACAGGAUUCUAUCACACAUAGGAAUUGUAUAACAAGAGAUCGAUAUAUCGAAUUAGAAAACUCAAUUCGAAUUUGUGUGAAAAAUCAAAAUUAGAAGAUUUCACAUUUCGAGAGGAACAAGCAACAGAUGACGUUCAAAAUUUCAGCCAUAACAUGCUAAAAAUGCUACACUUAACGGUUCAUUUUCAUGGAUUUUCUCGGGAAACAAACAGAAAAUUACGGUUCAGAGAGUUGACUGACCUUUUGGCUUUUGAAAUUGAGAAGAUCGCGCGCCAAAUUGGAAGAGGGAAAGUGAAAGUGCGAGUUUUAAUAUGGGUAGAUAAGGAAAUUUUAUUAGGUUGCGAGGGUAAAAAAGGAAAGAGAUAUCAUUAUUUUAUCAUCGAUAAUUAUUAAAUUUUUUUCCAAAAAAAAGAACAAGCAAGGAUAUUUUAUUGUCAUUACUAAGUUAAAAAAAAUUGUUUCAAAAUUACUUGAGUCAUAUCCAAUGGACCAACAAAGUAAUCGUUUUUAUUUUUAUUGAUUUUUGCAGGAAAUUAAUAACUUAAAAAUACUGAAAGCUAUUGUAAAAAUUUUUAUUAUCAACCUCAUAGUUUUUUUUUUUUGGGGGAAGAGAAUUCAAACAUUUUUUUUUUAAAUUUCCAAGAAUUCUUGACACCCGUCUUAAUUAAAAGCUAUAUUUUUAUUCAAGAGUCAUGCUAUUCAUUCACUCACAGACCAAAGGCUUUCCGCAGCAAUAUUAUUAUUUAAAUUACAACAAAGGGGAAAUCAAAUACGUCAUACAGAAGCUUAAAGCUGAAUCAACAAAAUCUAGAGCUCUCAACUACAAAAAUUACACUUGAUGAUCCUCUACAAGAUGAAGCUUGUUCAAUAUCUUAUCCAAAGCUUGUAAAGUAACCUUGUAACGAUCUUGAGAUUGCCUGCCUUCCUCGACGACCUGCACGAUGCGUUUGUACAAAUCAUCAUACCUGUGCACCGGAUUUUUAAUAUCAACGCCACUGCAGCUGUGAUUAAGAAAAUAAGAGCGUUUAACAUCUUUUCUCCAUCGAGAAAGAAUGUACUGAGAUGGGAUCUCCUGCACGCCACUCUGGUUUAGAACACAAAGAAUGUGUCUGCAUAAAUAUCCUCUGAAAUUGAACAACCCACAAACGCAAAGCACCUCCAAGUUGGAGGCAUUGUACAAAACAUCGAAAGCCCUUGAGUCUUUCUCAUUGCUACCAACCUCGAAUUCUUCCUUCACUAUGUAUGUUAUAGGUCCAUCAGCACUAACAUGUUUUGUGCUAUAGCAAGAGUACAUAGCCUCCACCUCCGUCUGAAACUUCCUUAACAUUUCAUUUGUGUACAGUUUUGAGAGUUGAAAUUCAUAGUAACAUCUUGGUUUCUGGAUACAACUUGAAUUUCUUGAAUCCAUAUCUGCCAAGGCUUCCAGUUGAUAAUUCGCCCGCAGUGCUUGAUCAUACUUGUCUAAGAAUUCUUUCAAAGGAGUAUUCUUAUCAAGAUAUCCUUCAAAGUAUGAAGUAGAAACCUCAUUCUGCGGGAACGAAAACACUCCUGAUAAAAAAGCUUCCUUCAAAUAAAUAGGAGCCCACCUUUUACGAUCUUCAUAUAAAGUUUGAAUCCAUCCGUGAUCCUUUAUUCCAUGACGUUGAAUCAUGUCUUUCCAAGCUGCUUCAAAUUUCUCAGGCCUGAGAGAGUGAUAAAUUGCUCUAUGUAAUGCAGCUUUAAUAGCUUCAUAUUCAAACAAUCCUUGGAGUUUCACUGGAAUUUUUUGCAUGAUGCAUGACAAUGAAAAGCAACGAUAAGCUCUUGGGAAAACAUCGCCAACAGCAAUUUGCAAGAUUCUACAUUGGUCAGUGAUGAUUGUUUGUGGAGAGCGCCCUAACAUACAUGUAAGCCACGCCCUAAACAACCAUGUAUAUGAUUCUAUGGUCUCACUGGCAAGUAAACCACAACCCAACAACACUGAUUGUCCAUAAUGAUUCACCCCAAUGAAUGAAACCAGUGGUACAUCAUAUCUUUCAAUCAAGCACGUAGUAUCAAUUAAGACUACAUCACCAAAGUACCUAUAUGCAACUCUUGACCUGGUAUCAGUCCAGAACAGGUUUCUCAAGCAUCCCUUUUCAUUUAGAUCCACUACAUUAAAAAAGUUUGGAUCUGUCAACUGCAAACGACAAAAGAAACUCUGGACAGCUUGUGCAUCACCUGGUUUAAGCUUCAAUUGAUUUGAGCUAUUAACAUUAUUUCCAAAUACUCCAUUAACAUCUACAUUACCAUUUCCCUAGGCAUCAAUGAUAAGAGUUCGAAACAGUUUAAUUUUUUGAACUUCUUCAGCACUAUCUAAAUGCAAUGUUCUUUUGGUUCCAAUACCUAUGUGCUUAUGUGACUUGCAAAACUUUCCACUUCUUGGGCUUAACAAGUGGUUAUGCUCAAGCUCGACUUCAAUGAUUCUCCACCUUUUGGUUUCCAUCAACCUAAACUUUAUCAUUGCUGGACAGCCAGCUCUUGUUUCUGGUCUUGGACGGUUUGCCUCACUUUUCUUCUUGAAGCUUGCACUACUACAGCUCAGCUUUCCUCUAUACUUUUCUCUACUCUUUCAGUACCAGGUAUUGCUAACUCUAACACCAAAACCCUGUUCCUUGGCAUAGCAAUUGUAAAAGUAAUAUACAUCAUCGUACAUCUCAAACUCCAUUCCAACAGCAGGAGGCAAGGGAUUUUGGAUUAUCCCAGUUUGUCCAACAUAUUCAGUCAUCGCACAAUCUCCUACGACCUCAAAAUCAUCAGUGUCAUCAUCACCUAUUGGUUCGGUGUUGAGAGAAACUUCAUCCAUCUACAAUGGAUGUUCAAUGAAGUGAGCUUUAAGGAGAAAAAGCAAAAUCAGUUCAAGGAAUCAUAGUAUAAUCAUACAGUUACUUUCACAAAGCUUCAUAUUUCAUCACUGCUUUACCAACAUGCAACUGCCAGAGAACAAACAGACAUGUCAUAGACGCUUGAAUUAAGUAUUGGUACAAAUGAGCACACAUCAUGUGGGACAAAAUUUCAGUCACUAAACCCAAUACCACUUUUUACAUCAUACCAAGGAACAGAUUAAACCCGACACCUUCUUUUAAACCAUACCAAGGAACAGAUUAAAUCAUCAAUGAAAAAUUAAUCACAUAAUAACUUAACCAGACAAAUGAAGAGCCUGAAACAGCACAAAACUUGAAUCUGAUUAUGAUAAUUGUUGAGUCCUUGUAUCUACAGCUUUCCUUCAAUGAUAAGACAAUGAACAUAAACGAGACACAAAAAAUUUAUUUUAAACUGACAGCCCAUGAUAUAAAUCAAACAAAAUCAACUCCUUUUUUUACACAUCACAUCUCAUAUUCAUUUACAUUGAAACACAAAAAGGAAGCGGGAGUGGGAAAAAAACAACAGCAGAGGAACUUAUUUCCAUAAGGUUUACGAAAUAAGGAAUCUAUUAAAACCCAAAACUUGAGGUCACCACAAAGAAUUUGGUUCUCAUUAUUUUUUUCUUCAUUUUUCACCAAUUGAUGAACUUAAAAUACAAUCAUAAAUGAUAAAACCCCAUCUCAAUCUUUUUGAACUAGAGCUAAAGCAAAGCAUUUUAAGAUGUUUCAUCAUUUUUUUUUUAAAAAAAACCUCAAUAGUACAAUGUUUUUACUCUAAUAAUCUCUUAAUUAAGGAAGAUUAAGCUUCAGUUGUAAGCUAAAACAAAUUUCUUAAAUCAAGCCCCAAUGCUUUAUGCUAUUCAACAAGGGCUCAUAAAUGAUAAAACUACUUCUACAAAGAUACCCAUUUUCUAAAUUAAUUUCAAAAACUGAAAUCAAACUCCUGAAACGUAACGAGCAUUAAUAUAAUCAAACCCGAACAAGAAUUGAAAAAUGACACAUAAACUCGUUUACACAUUUCGACAGACACUUUGCAAUCAAUGAGCAAAAAAUUAAUGGAGAAGAUAAAAUUCAAACGAAACAUGCCUUACAUUGAUCAAUUAGAAGGGCAAAAGAAAUUUUAGUACGAUAUGGGAUCAGGGUCUUGCCACGGUGAUGUUAUUUGUGAUGUUCGAGCGACUCAGCGGCCUUCGAGGUUGAAAAUUUGAUUGACCAAAAGCUUCCCGUUUGUUGAUUCUCUAAUAGCAGAAACGAGACUGGCAGUAAACACAACAACUUCGCUGAUUUUAAAUUCCGUUGUUUGAGAUGGAAAACUUUUUGAAAAAAUUAAUGUGUUCGAUGAAUAUCAAAAUCUAAAAAACUUUUUGUUUUUCAUUUUUUUGGAAAAAACCAUUGAGAUCCUUACUAUUUUUUCUUAUAUCAUCUUGCUUAAUAAUUUGCAAAGUCUAUCGCAUAGCACCCAUGCAUGAUGUAUGCUGCGUAACUGCGUUGUAAUUUACAAAAUUGUAAAUUUGUUAAAAGAAAAUAAUAAUAACAAGUUAAAACUUUAAAAUUUUUAUCAUUCGAAGAAAUUUUAAUUUAGUUAAGUAGGUGACAUGAUAAUAAAUAGAUACGUAUAAUGUCCGAGAUUUUUUAUAAGAUUAAUAAAUAUGAUAAAUUUGGAUUAGUUCAAUUUUGACGUAAUUCAGAAUAAACACAUCUUCCUAAUCUAAAAAUAAUUACAAACAAUUUAAUUUGUGUUGUUUCUCUAAAAGUUUGAGACACAAAUGUUAUUGCAAAUUGAAACGCCAUGCACUAGUAGAAGGUAAGAGAAACCAAGGUUGAAGUUACUGUUCAUUUAUUUUUAUUUAUGAUUUUUUGUAAAAUGUAAGAAAUAUGUAGAAAUGUUGCCAGCAAUGAUUUUGGAACUUUGCAUAAAAUUUUUAUCAUUAUUGUUUUUGGUAUUAAGAAAUCCGAGGCGGUGAUUAGUCGUAUGUUGCAACAAUUAAGAAAUUUCUUAUUGGAGAUAAUUUGGUAGGUUGCAACAAUUAGAGAAUAAUUUUCCUGUCAGUUAAUCAAUCAAUAAUAAAUUUCAAAUUGCAGAAAAUAAAAUAAUACUGUCGCACUUAGAAUCAUCUUUUCUAUUUCUUUCAAUUGUGACAAUCAUUUGUAACAAAUAAAUCAAUUUGAUGCACAUCAUUUCCCCAAUUCAAAGUUCAAGUCACUGCUCAAUUGCAGGGUAGUUAGUAGACAUGCAUGCAUGUUUAAUUAAGUACUGCAUUGUAAUAUAGAAAAUCAUAACAUCUCACCAAGCCCGGAAGCAUAGCUCUUUAUCUUGUAAAUGUUGAAAUCUUAUGCAAACUAUGGGAAACAUGAUCUCACUCUCAGUGCCACUUGAUUCCAUUUUCUUUGUUGGGAAUGCUACGAAGUCUAAGCUUGAAGAUAAUCUCGAUGCCUUGCGGACUGCAAUGGAAAAAUAAGCGGAAACGAGAAAUGAUGUGAUAAAUUGUGAGCCAACAAUAGUGGGCAUGGUGUCGACUUUUGAGAAAGCCUGGAGAUGCCUUGAAGAAGAAUCAGUUGGAAUUAUUGGCCUGUAUGUUAAUGGGGGAGUUGGAAAAUAUUUACUCAAAUCAACAACAAGUUCCUUGAUGGUCCAAAUAAUUUUGAUGUUGCGAUCUGGGUAGUGGUCUGCCAAGAUUUACAACCCCAGAAGUUUCGGGAAAAGAUUGGGAAAAAGAAAGGCUUGUUCGAUGAGUCAUGGAAGAACUGAAGUUUUGAAGAGAAAGCACUCGACAUAUUCAAGAAUUUAAGCAAGACGAAGUUUGUAUUACUGCUGGAUGAUAUAUGGGAGCAGGUUGAUUUAAUUAAAAUUGGUGUCCCUCUUCCAAGCACAAAAAUUACAUUCAAGAUAGUCUUCACAACUCGUUUUAUUGACAUUUGUGGCCUCAUGGAAGCUCACAACAAGAUUAAAGUGGAGUGUUUAAAUGACGAAGAAGCAUGGGAAUUAUUCUGCAAGAAGGUUGGAGAAGAUGUGGCGACUCUGUCCAAGUGCUAAGGAGAUCAGCCUCAGAAUUUCUAGGUAUGUAAAAAUGAGUAUAUAUAUCCACUUUUGAAAUUCAGUUAUGAUAAUUUACCUAGCGAUAAAAUUAGAUCGAGUCUGUUAUACUGUAGUUUGUUUCUGGAAGACUUUCCAAUUAGCAAAACGGAAUUGAUACAUUGUUGGAUAAGCGAGGGCCUUUUGGAUGAAACUAAUAGUUCUGAGAUAUGAAAUCAAGGAUACUACAUUAUUGGUGUUCUUGUUCCUUUAUGUUUAUUGGAAGAAGAGGCUCCACUAUAUGUAAAAGUGCAUGAUGUGAUACGCGAUAUGCUUCUGUGGAUCGCAUGUGAAGUUUUUUUUUUCUUUUUGAUAGGGAUAGCAUGUGAAGUUGAGAAGGAGAAAGAGAAUUUUUUGGUUCGUGCAGGUGCAAGGAUUAACUGAAGUGCCAGACAUUUGGAAAUGGGAAGGGUUGAGAAGGGUGUCUUUCAUGAGCAACAAAACUGAGAAGUUAUCAGAAAUUCCUUCAGAUCCCCAUCUACCGACUUUGUUGCUUCAACGUAAUUAUUUAGAGAUGAUCAAUAAUGACUUCUUCCAAUCUAUGAAUUCCCUUAGAGUUUUGAACUUAUCAUGUAAUCAUUCUCUAAUUGAUAAUUUCAAAGUUAGUUUCCCUACAACAUCUUAAUUUAUCAAUGACUAACAUACGAGAGUUGCCGAAUGAGUUAAAGUUUGUAGUGAAUCUAAAGUUUUUGAAUGUGGAGUAUGCACGGUUUCUUCAUUCAAUUCCAGGGCAAGUGAUAUCCAGUUUUACGAUGUUACACGGUUUGAAGAUGUUUGGUUGUGGGAGGUCAUCUUCUGAUCAUGAGCCACACUAGAAGAUAGAGUUUUAUUUGAAGGCUGUAAACUUUUGAUUGUGGAGUUGUUUGGUUUGAGAGACAUCUAGAUGUGUUGACCAUCAUCCUAACAAGUUCCCUUGCUCUGAAAAGAUUUUUGAGCUACAACAAACUUCAAAGUCGUACUCAAUCUCUCUAUCUUAAAUGCUUUGAUUCAAAUCUUCUUGUUUUUUCCAUAAAACAUUGCCAUGAUAUGGAGGAAAUACUCAGUGUCGGAAAAUUAGGUGAAGAGAUGAUGUCAAAUCUGGAACCUCUUACAAAACUCCAAGUUCGUUGCUUGAAGAAGCUACCAAAUUUGAAGAGCGUCUACUGGAAGGCCUUGCCCUUGCCCAAUGUAUGCAUAAUUUUUGUAUCUAAAUGCCCAGAACUUAAGAAGCUGCCGCUGGAUUUUGAAAGGGCGGGCGAAGGUAAAAUUCUUAUCAAGUGAAAGGAAAAUCGAUGGAAACGACUUCAAUGGGAGGAUCAAGCAACUCAGAAUGCAUUGCUUCUGUUUUUCAAAUCUAGUGAUUGAAGGGGGCAACAUCAACAUCAUCAGCCUGGAUGGGGAGAUUCUGGAGCAGAUCAGUAGGGUUUGAAUCUACAUCAUUAACAUCAUCAGGGUCUGUAUUUCUAUUGCUGGUCUUAAUGCUUGCUUACUGUUGCUUGACAAAGUGAGCCAGUUUUUUGUUUAUUAAAUUUUGUCUUGUAGAGACAGUCACAAAGUAUGGGUUGUUCUAUGUGAGAGUGAUGUGAAUCAAUUUUUCAAUUAUAUAUUCUGUGGUCAUUGUGAAUUUUGUUUAGAGAUGCAAACUUAGAAUAUGGAAAAGUUCAUCGGCAAACAUUUUGUAAAAGCUUCCAACUGAAGUUUUCAUAAUUAAAUAAUAAAAAAAUAGGAAGUGACGAAAAAAUUAUCCUAGGUGUUACGAAAAAACAUGAGCUCCGAAAAUAUUGGAAGUGACGAAAACUUAGGGCUAGGGUUUGAGAACUCUAACCCGCCACCACUGCAAGAGGACAGGACGACUAAGAAGGCCCGGUUUCGGGCUGAGGGAAUUGAUGCUGAUAAUCCUCAUAAACCCUCUUGGAGAGAUAAGGCUAUGGAGGCAGUCACGGUGAUGGCAGGUCAGACAGGAAGGAUUGGAGAGUUGGGUUACGGCAGUGUAUGCUAGCCCUAUUCCAACAGUCCUGCGUGAAUUAUGGUAUCACCUUGCAAGUAUUGCUUCUCAAAUGUUGGAUCCGUGGUUGGUGGGCGGAGAUUUCAAUGCUAUCUUAUACGCACAUGAGAAGAAAGGGGGCUCGAACCGAAUAAGUGGCACUUGCAAUUUAUUUAAUCAUUGGUUUCAUUCUUGCAGGAUGCUUGAUCUAAAGUUCUCCGGCCCUCGCUUCACUUGGUCUAGGGGAAACCUUUCUAAACGAUUGGAUAGAGCGGUUUGCAAUAAUGGAUGGCUAAUAAAACAUGCAAAUAGUAGUGUCAUGCAUCUUCCAAAAAUUGAUUCCGAUCAUCGGCCUAUUCUAGUCAAGUUCCAGAACAUGGAUUCCAAGCAUGGGGGCCCGAGGCCAUUUCGAUUUUUGGCUGCAUGGCUCACAGAUGAGAGAUUUGGGAGUUUUAUGAAUGAUAGCUGGAAUAAGGGAGAGAAUUUUCUUGAGGCAGUGGCUGAUUUUACUCAACAAACUAGGUGGUGGAAUAAGGAAAUUUUUGAAAAUAUUAUUUAUCGGAAGCGGAAAUUGUUGGCUAGAAUAGGUGGGAUCCAAUGAAUUUUGGAAGCCAAGCCUAACCAUAGCCUUACUAGACUUGAAGUUAAGCUUCAGAAGGAGCUCGAAGAGGUUCUCACUCAGGAAGAAUUAUUGUGGCUUCAGAAAUCCAGGAGAGAUUGGACUUUGUAUGGUGACCGCAACACUGCUUAUUUCCAUAAAAAAAUGCUAACCAGGCAUCGCCAGAAUCGGAUUACUGCAAUUCAAAAUGAUACUGGGCAGUGGAUACACGACGUCGAGAUCAUUAAGCAACGUGCAGUCAAUUUCUUUUUGGAAUUAUACACGCCUGAACAAGGGGUGCAUAGAACAUAUAAUGUCAGGGGGUGUUUCCCUGAGACGUCAGAUGAUAUUUGUUUAAGUUUGAUGUCUGCGGUAACAGAUGAGGAAAUCAGACAUACUAUUUUCAGUAUGAGUCCUUUUAAAGCUCCUGGAGUUGAUGGCUUUCAUGCUAGUUUUUACCAAGCGCAAUGGAAUACAGUUGGUAUGUCUUUGAGCUCUUUAAUCAAAAAUAUUUUUAAUUCUAAUCAUAUCCCUGCAGAGAUCAACAGAACCUUGCUGGUGCUCAUUCCUAAAGUGUAUCAUCCAACAAGCCUCAAGAUGUUUCGGCCGAUCAGCCUUUGCACAAUUCCGUAUAAAACGGUGACGAAAAUUAUUGCAAAUAGGUUACAGGUUUUUCUUCCAGAUCUCAUUGGACCCCAACAAACCAGUUUUGUACCGGGUCGGCAUAUUACAGAGAAUAUUGUUAUUGCUCAAGAGGUAAUCCAUACAAUGAAGAAAAAUGUGGGGGGUAAAAGAAUGAUGGCGGUUAAAGUGGACUUGGAAAAGGCUUAUAACCGGUUGAGUUGGCGAUUUGUUCAGGAAACUUUACAGGAAGUUGGGCUACCGGAGCGAUUUAUUCACCUCAUAAUGGAGUGUUUGUCCACAGCCCAAAUGAAUGUUUUGUGGAAUGGAGAAAUGACUGAAGAUUUUCGGCCAGGGAGAGAAAUUCGACAAGGAGACCCUCUUUCGCCUUAUAUUUUUGUGCUUUGUAUUGAAAGAUUAAGUCAUGGGAUUAUCCAGGCGGUUAAUCAAGGUAGAUGGAAACACAUUUGACUGACUCGAACUGGCACUCCUCUAAGUCAUUUAUUUUUUGCGGAUGAUCUGCUUCUCUUUUUGGAAGCAAGUUACGGCCAAGUUGAUGUAUUGAAUGAUGUGGUGGAGAAUUUCUGUAGGAGCUCGGGCGCUAGAGUUAGUAAUCAAAAGACCCAAGUCUUCUUCUCCAAAAAUGUCCCGGUCACUUUAGCCAAUGGAAUUGGCAAGGCUUUAGGCUUCUCGGUUACAAAUAAUUUGGGAAGAUAUCUUGGCAUGCCUCUUCUUCACGAUCGGGUUUCUAAGAAAACGUAUCAGAGUAUCAUUGACAAAAUUGAUCAGCGGCUAUCAGGAUGGGCAGCAAAGCAAUUGUCUCUGGCAGGGAGAGUUACUCUCACUCAAUCGGUGCUUCAGGCAAUCCCGAUUUACGCUAUGCAAACCACGUACCUCCCAUCUAGUGUCAGAGUUAAAAUUGAUCAAUUAUGUAGAAGAUUCAUUUGGAGUGGGGCUGGUUCUCAACGCAAGUUAAGUUUGGUUAGCUGGGACAACAUUUGUAGGCCUAAGAGCAAUGGAGGGCUCGGUUUCAAGGACAUGGAACUUAUGAACAAAGCCUUACUAAUGAAAGUGGCUUGGGAUUUAUUCAUAAAUCCUAGCAAGCUGUGCUCCCAGGUUUUAAUUUCUAAUUAUGUUGCGCCUUGUGAUAUGAUUACUACUGAUGCUUCAUUUAAAAAUGGUUCCUAUUUAUGGCGCUCUAUGGGUAAGAUUUGGAAAGACUUCCAGAAGGGUUUGCGUUGGAGUAUUGGAAAUGGCCAACGGGUGAAGUUUUGGGAUGAUAUUUGGGCUACAAAUGGUGAUCCCUUAAUCAACUAUACGGUGGCUUCAAUUCCGGAUAGCAUGCGAAAUAUGUUGGUGGCGGAUUGUGUGGAUCAAAAUGGGAAUUGGUUGUGGAACAUAUUCAACUCUUUUUUGAAUAACCAUGCUGUUUUAAGGAUUGCUUCCAUGGCUCCUCCGUCGUCAAUGAGAGGCGAGGAUAGGAUGUAUUGAGGUGCAUCAAAUACUGGCAAUUUUACAGUCCAAUCAGCUUACCAAGUGCUUACGAAUUUUUGCCCCGCUGAAGACUGUCAAGACUGGCAACAUUUGUGGAAAUGGAAGAGGCCUCAAAGCGUAAGAAUUUUUCUAUGGUUAUUAUGCCAUGAUCAAUUGAAGACGGGAUGUGAGCUUGCUAGAAGGCAUCUGGACGUCGAGGCUUUAUGUGGGAGGUGCCAUGCAGACGUUUAGAAUUCUUUGCAUGCAAUUCGAGAUUGUGAUUAUUCGAGAGGUGUUUGGCGGAAGCUUGUUCCCGCGCUUAGACAACAUGACUUUUUUAGUUAUCCUCUUUGGCAAUGGAUCAUGACAAAUCUUAGGAGAAGAGUCUGUGAUAUGGGGAGCUUAUUUUGGCCGAUUAUGUUUGGUAUUGCGGCUUGGAGAAUUUGGUAUUGGAGGAACCAGGUGAUGUUCAACAACAAGAGCUGGAAUGGUGAUUUGAUCGUUCGAGAUAUUAAGGCAAGGACUGAGAGUAUUUGUUCUACUCUUUCAAGCAUAGGCUAUCGAAGAAAUGAAAGGAUUCAGAAAUGGAUUCGUUGGGCUCCUCCACCAUGGCCUUUCUUGUGCUUAAAUACGGAUGGUGCAAGGAAAGGAAAUGGAGAGGCGAGUGCAGGUGGGCUGCUGCGGGACUGUCAUGGUAAUUUUAUUCAUGGUUUCAGCGCACAUCUCGGAGUUUGUUCAGUUCUAAAGGCUGAACUUUGGGGUGUCUUGCAUGGGUUAAGAAUGGCAUGGGAUCUUGGCUAUAGACGUAUCCAAGUUGGAGUAGACAACUGUAGUGUGGUGCAAAUUAUAAGGGAAAAUAAUGCUCAUGUCAACGAAAUUUCGAAUAUAAUCGAGAUGAUUAGAGAACUCAUGAGGAGGGAUUGGAGGAUUCAAAUUGAUCACAUCUACCGCGAAGCAAACUCGGCAGCUGAUUUCCUUUCUACGCAUGCUUUGAGUUUACUUGUUGGAGUACAUUUUCUUCAUUCUGCACCUUUAGGUUUGAGAUCUAUUUUAUAUUUGGAUAUGUAUGGGGUGGCACACUCCCGGUUUGUGCCCCUUUAGCUCUUCUCUUUUAGAGCCUUUUGUUUAUCAAAAAAAAAAAAAAAGCUUCCAACUGAAAUAGGGAAUGCACUUACUACUAAGGACAGUUGGUGGCCACCUAAUGCAUUCAUUUUAUAUCAAUUCAUCAUUUUAAUUAUUGAAAACAAGUGGCUCAUCGCUUUUACUUUAGGUAAAAUUCGGAUAAUCUCUAUUAUGAAAUGAUAAUAUUCUCUUAAAUUAUUAUAAACCUCAGCCAAUCUUAAUUUUAUUUAAAAGAUAAAAGAAAAAUAGGUUAUGUUGGUGACUUUUUUCUUAUCUUUUUAAUAAAAAUAAAAUAAAUUGAUGUUUAUAAUUGUUUAAAAUACUUUAAAGAUUGUUAUUUUAUGAGAGAGUAAUAUUUUACUUUUUUAUUGUGAAAUGCUAAAAAGGACAAAGCAAGUGUCCCUGGUUUUUAUUUUAUUUGAAAUUGGUCAUCUCAUAUACUUUACGUUUCAACACUACAAUUUUUUUGGUUAUAUUUUUAUUAUUUUUUUCUUUCUUACACAUGCACGUAAAUUUUCUUUCUUUAAGCUCCUGAAUAUUUAAGACAAAUCAUGGAAGAGAUGAAAGUAUAACAAGAUGAUCAAAAUACGUAACAAAAAAUUUACAAGUGAAACAUACGUUAGAGUCGAAGUAAAACUCUGAAAAUAGAGAUAUUGAUUAAUUUAGAAGAGAUGCAAGCAAAAGAUUUUCUUAAAAAAAAGAAAAGCAAUUUGUCCCUUUCCAGGGCAAACUUGUUAGUCUCAAAAAGGUACAUUCUUUGAAUUGAUAGUUGCAGGAUUUUUGUCUUGUUUUUGUUGUUGUGCAUUAGUUGGAGAAGUCAAGCCUAGUGAAAAAUGUUAUGAAAGAGCAAAGGAUAUUUCUGACAGCUUUAUUUAAUUAUGUAUUCAUUUAAUGGAUGUAUUGUUAGAAGAUAUUUAAGUGCAUUAGUUCAUCCGUGUCUGUUGAUGUGCUUUUAGUGAUUUUUCCAGCUGUUUGUUGUAAAAGAUGAUUGUAAAUUGAAAUGAACUUGAUGUUGUAAUAUUUUCUCUUUUGUGGAAUCUCAGUUGUGUUGUCUAUAAUUUUAGUCAAAAUUAUUGUUAUUAUUUCUUACUAGAGGUAAAUUUUUUAUUAAACCUCAUUAACACAAUUCUUAAUUAAAAGUAUAGGUUAGUGUCGGUGCAGGAUUUGCAGCACCAGAUCCUGCCUAGCUACGUGUCAAAAAUACAAAAUAAAUGAAGAGAAAGCACAAAUACAUGACUUGGAUUAGGAUAGAAGGAAACUUAAAUCUUAAAGAAAAUGAUAGCUAUAUCCCACUAUUUGAAAAAAUGGUCAUGUAGAUUUUUAAGAUUUAAAUAAGGGACGGAGAUCUUCUUUUGACAAAUAAUAUCUUUUAGCUCUCUCAAGUAAAAAAAAAAUUAAAUAUUUUAUAAUAAAUAAAAAUAUAAUAUUAAAAUAUACGUGAUAAUAUAUACAUUUUAAAUAAUUUCAAUCCAAAAAAAUAGUUAUGUUUUAUCGAAUCUACCUAUGUUACAAUAGUAGUAUGGUACCACAAUAUUUGUUCUUAUCCAAUGUAAUCAUUGGAUGAUUUAGAGCUUAAUCUAACGGCUUAAAUUAUUUUUCUGAAUAUUUGAAGCAACAACUUGCAACCGUUGGAGCCGGUUGCAUAUUAAUUUAAUAUCAUUUGGGGAAGCGUACGGUCAGGAAGUUUCUUAGUAUGCCACCAAUGGAAUUUGAUUUCAUCUCAAAUCGAUCUGCAGGCAGCAAUUGGGAAAUUACACUCACGGUCUUCCUCUUCUUCACUUCCUCUCUACUCUUCACUUUUCUCACUCUCGCGAUGUUUACAGCAUGAUAAGUACAAUUACAAACCAGGAAAUGCCAUUAACAAUUUUCAUUUGUCUUAGUCGUUUUUUUUUUUUUUAGUAGAAAGCCAAAAAAGAAAACGGGUGGGAGGUUGGGGCGUCGUGAUGAAAUGGUUUUGAGUUUUUGACGGAAUGUUUGUUUUUGUGAUUCAUUUAGGGUUUGAAUUCAGGCUUGUACGAACUCGGAUCUAUUCGAGAUCCGUAUUGGCGCUGAAAUCAGAUCCUUUGAAGCCUUGGUUUGAAUUCAACCUUGAGAACUCCAAGCUUGUUAGAAUCUUCAUUGAUCUCUCCAGAAAUUACACGGAUCUUAUUACUAAACCCUACAUAUAGGGCUGCAAUGGAGUCCGAUUCUCUCACAAUUGAUGAAUCAAUAUUGAGACAGUUCGAAAAGGAAGUAAAAAAGAGAAUCAACUUGACUGGCUAAAUAAUUGCGGAGGCCAAAGAGUCUUUUGAUAAUCAAUUGAAGAUUUAGAAGUUAAAAGACACUAUUUUUACUAUGAACGAACAAUUGACUAAGGCGAAAAAGCAAGGAGCUUUUUUGAGUUUGAUUGCUGCGAAAUCGAUGCCUUAGAGUUUGCAUUGUUUGGCCAUGAGGUUGAUGAAAGAGCGAGUUGUUCAUCCGGAGAACUAUAAUGAAGAAGGGAAGCCCACACAUGCAGAAUUCGAGGAUCCCAAACUUUAUCAUAAUGCUAUUUUUUCUGGGUAAUAUGCUUGCAGCUUCGGUGGUGGUGAUUGGUGAAUUUAGCUGUUAAGAACUCGAAGGAGCCUUGGAAACAUGUGUUUCAUGUUGUGAUGGAUCAAAUGUUUAAAUUGAAGGAUUAUAAUGGAGCACAUUUAGGCACGAAGGCUGUUGAGGAUUAUAAGUUUUUGAAUUCUCACAUGUCCCUGUGUUAAGGCAGCCGGGGUUUGCUAAUUUGCAAAGGUUUUACUUCGGGAAGUAGCUUGAGAAUGCUACGAAAGAUGCUACUAACAUGAAGUUUAGGAAUCCCAAUUACUUGUUGAUACUGUAUCAUUUGAGGUUCUGGAUAAGAUUUCAAUGAUGGCCGCUUAAAACAAAUAAUAAAAAAAAAGAACUUGUACUGUAUUUGGAUCUUUACUUAUUUGAUAUAGUUUUCUGCAAUCUCUCCAUGCAACCGGUUACUUUAAUUAUCCACUAACUCAUCUCAACCGUUUGAUGGACUCACUUUAUAUCCAACGGCAGUUUUAAAUGAAGACAAAAAGUGUGGUAUGUUGCAAUUGUUGCAACAUAUGUGAGUCUUGUUUUACAAUCUAUUUAACAUAUUUUAUUAAAUUAAUAUAUUUCUAUGAUAUAGGAACAUAAUAUUAAAAUAAAUUUACAAAAAUUUAAAGAAUUUUGAAUGUAAAACAAUUUCAAUAUAUUAAUAAUGAGAUUUUUUUAUUAUUAUAAAAAUUAUUUAACCCAUAGAUUUUUUUAAAUCUUUACAAUAAGUAUAAAUAUAUUAUCUUCACUUAAAAAUAUUUAAAUAUUAUUAACCUAUAAUUAGGUUUGCAUUUAUUAGAAAAUUUUAAAGUCAAAUAUAUUGCACUUUUGCAUUAUUAGAAUCAUCACAGAGAAAGGAGCAUAUAUACUUUAUAACUUUAAAAAUUGGUUUCUUCUGGAAACAGAGAUGAUGAUUAUUAUAAGGAUGAAAAAAAAAAGAUAAAGAAUAUUAAUGAUUAACGAAAUCUCUAUGCAAAUUGAUUUUAGUAGGGAAAGAGUGAGAUGAAUAACUUCUUUUACAGCUAAAAACAGAGAUGAUGAUUAUUAUAAGGUUGAAAAAAAAAGAUAAAGAAUAUUAAUUAUUAAUGGAAUCUCUAUGCAAAUUGAUUUUAUAGGAAAAAAGCGAGCUAAAUGAUUUAGACAUUCAUAGUGUAUUUAUUUUUGAAUUGGUGAAUAAGAAUUAUUGACAACGCUAACUUCAUCUUCACCGUUGGCUAUCCAAUAGCGGCAAUUGUCGCCGAUUAUGAUAUCUCCAAUGAUGAUGACGGUUUUUUUAUUAUUAUUAUUGGUGACCCCUUGGAAAGUUAACUGCAACUGCCAAUCAGAGAAAAGUCGUCAUGCACAAUCCUCAAUCGAACCAAUCAUCUACGUUACAGAAUCUGAAACGUACACACUGUUAACAUAUAUGUUUCCAUAAUGUUGAUUUUGAUGAUAACAAACAAGAUUAAGAAUGAUUAAUCUUUUAAGCUCAAAUUAUUUUUAUGCAUUUUAAAUAAAUCAUUAUUUUUACAUUAUAAAGGUUCUAUAUUUAAUGGAAAAAUGAUUUUAUGAAAUUGAUUGUUUUUUAUUCUUUUUAAAUAAAUCAUUAUUUUCACAUUAUAAAUGUUUCAUAUUCAAUGGAAAAAUGAUUUUAUGAAAUUGGUUGUUUUUCAAAGUUUAUGGUUUAAUUGAAAGAAUUUUGAAAACUUUGAAAUAAACAAGUAUUGCUUGAAAUUUCAGAUUUGGACUUAUUUGAAACUAUUUAAAUGUUUUUAGGCUAUUCUAUAAUUUCACAAAGUUUGGGCGAAAUUAUAAUUUCAGAACGUUGUGGGAUUGACAAAGUAUUAUUCUAAAAUUCUGAAAUUGGACUUAUUUGUAAAUUUUCAUAACGUUUUGGGUUAUAGUAUAGUUUUAUAAAGUUUUGGGGUCAAAUUAUAAUUUCAGAAAAUAGUGCACUGUGCAGGUUACUGUGGCAUCCGGCUUACCGGAUAUAAAAAUCGGAAAACCGGAUACGGGGCAGAAUGUAUCCAGAAUGUAAACGGCUUACCGGAUUUCGUAACCAGCAAGCCGGAUAGGCAAAAUUCAAAUUUUUGCCUUAACGGUAACAUAAAUCCAGCUUAUCGGAUUCCAUAAAUGGCAAACCGGAUACGCCCAGAAUGUGAGUAACGGCUAGUUUUUGAGUUCAAACUAUAUAAACUCAAAACCAAUUCAUUUUUGGUAAUCCAAGCAAGAAAGAACAAGUGCACAUAACAUAUAUUGAGCUUCAAUUUCGUAACUCAUCAUUUAUUAAAUCAUCUUUGUUUUUCAAUUUGUAUAUCCACUCUUAAAGAGAGAUUCAUUGUUGUAUUUUUCAUUUCUCAUCAAAUUGUGAGUGUACAAGUGUGAGAAACACUUGGGGUGAAGAGAUUGGAGAGAUAAUCUCUUGUUGUAAAGGUUCAUUAACACAUUGAAGUCAAUUGUAAACGUUUGAAGCCUUGGAAAUGCUUGGAUAGUGAAAUCCUCAAGCCCGGUGUGCUUGGAAGCGUGGACGUAGGCGGAGAUUACCGAACCACGUAAAAAUCCUUGAGUUUGCUUUCUCUUCCCUUACUCUUUAAUUAUUGUGCUUUGAUUGAACUUAUUGCUUUCAAUUUUUAUUAAGACAUUAGAUUAAAUUGUUGUGUGGUUUGCCUAGGAUAAUUUUUAAAAUCUCAAUUCACCCCCCUCUUGAGUUGCCUAGUUAGUAUUUCACACACCCAAUGGGAAGCAGCACACGUGUUCUGAGGAGAGAGAGAAAAAACCGUGCAAAUGCAAGCAAUAGGUAUUGGCUACAGUUGGAUCUGUAAGUUACAGAAUCUGUAACUUAGCCAACUCCCUCAAUGAUCAAUAUUGUUUCCGAUAUUUAUAAAUUGGUGGCCCCUUGGAAAUUUAACUGGAAGUUUGCAAGUGUCAAUCAGAAAAAAAUCGUCAUCCAUUGUUUUUUUUUUUCUGCAUUCCCUUUCAUGUUCUUAAUAAUUGAGGACAGGUUGUUCAUAACAUUUAUACUUUUCAAAUGUGGAGCUGCAUUUAAUGUCGCUAUUUUAAUUUGGGAUUAAAUUAGGGGAACACUAACUUUUAUAUUUAUCUAAACUCCUUAAAUUUAAGACAGAUUAUGGCGUAAAUAAGAAUAUAAUAAUAACAAAGGAAUUAAAAAGUAUAAUGACGAUCUUGCAGAAAUAUAAAUAUUAGCGUUGAAUUAAAUAACAUAGAACACAUGAAUUGAAUAGUGAUUAUCAAGACGGUGUUACUUGCACUCCUAUUUAUAAAAAAUCUUGGUUCUGUUCCAUUAGAUUUUUUAUCUUCAAAAUCUUGCAAAGUUUUGACAACCCAAAGGCUCAGUUUGGUUGUUCUAUAUUUGUAUGAUAUGAAUUCAAAUUUUUGUGUUCUGUUUUUCUUAAUUCUGAACACGGAUUCUUCUCUUCUCGUGCAAACCAGAAAGAAAUGUUGUCUUACAAAAAAAAAAGGGGAAUAACUUCAUGAGAACAAAAAUUCAGAAAAAUAAUAUAAAGUUUAUAUUUAGACUUUUGUGGUAUAUUUUAAUUUUCAACAAUGAGUUAAAGAAAAUAAUAAAUAAAGUAAAUAAAAGUUUAGAGAUUCAAAUUUUUAGUAUUGGAUUCUUUAAUUCAAAUACCUCUCAUUAAUUAACACUUAAAAGAGAGUUCACUAUUAUAAUUUUAAGUUUUUUGAUUUAUUAUUGAUAUAUAAAUUAGGAGUUUAAGCUUACUUUUUUAUUUUUCCAUUUUUUUUCAAAUUUGAAAUUAUUAUUUAAAUUUAUAAUUUUUUUUAAAAAAAUAGAGGGCUUGAGCCUGGCUUGGGUAUUGUUUCCUAAACCCUUAUCCGGCCCUGGCUUUUUUGCCAGCCCCAAUGAUGAUGAUGAUGAUUAUUUUAUUAUUAUUAUUAAUGAUGAAAAGUAUUAUAAUUAAUUAAUAUAUUAUUGUAUUGUUAUUAAGAUUAACAAUAAUUAUUAAUGAUAACAAUUUUUUGAAUAAAAAUAAUCACAAUAAUUAAAAUAUAAAUUAAUAAUUAUAACAAUAGUUAAUUAAUGUAUUUUUAACAAUUUGUAAUAAUUUAACUCAUUCUAAUUUCGAUUAUUAUAGUUAAGUAAACAACUUAUUAUAAUUUUCAUUCUCCAUUUUAAUUUCAGCUCAUUUCGAUUUCAGUCUAUUCCAAUUUUCAUUUAAUAAACGUUCCAUUAAUGCUAUAGUAAUAUUUCAUAUAGAAAAAAAUAAAAGCUACAACUAAGGUUAAGGGAAAGGACUUCAAAACUCUCUUUUUGUCAUAAUACAUUUUUUCCUAAUUAACUUAAAGAGUUUGAAUCUAAUAUUUUAUAAUAAAUAAAAAUAUAUUCCAAAAGUAAAUAUAAUAUAUCUAUUUUAAACUAAUCUCAAUAUUUAAAAUAUAUUUAAUAUUUUACAAUCUAUUAGACAUAUUUUAUUAUAUUAAAAUAAAUUUUAUAAUAAAUAUGAACAUACUGUUAAAAUGAAUAUAUAAAAAACUUAGAGUAUUUUGAAUAUUAUAUAAAAUAAUUUUAGUAGAAUACGUGAGAUAUAUUUUAUUAAUGUAAAAUGCUAUUUAAUCUAAAGAUUCAUUUAUGAUAAAUUAAUAAUUAUAUUUUUAAAAUUAUUUUAAAAAUUAAAUUUUUUUAAUAUUAUUAAUCUAUUAGACAGAUAAAAUUAUUUAUAUUAUUUUGUAUUUAUUAAAAAAAUUUAAAGUCAAUUUUUUUAAUUACUAUUCAAAGGAUAUAAUAAUUAAAAAAAUCUUAGCGUUUUCAUUAAAAAUUUAAAAAUUUACAUGACUAUUUCUGUAAAUAUUUAAGGUAUAUAUGAACUACGGUAGAGAAGCUUCAUUUAAUAUUAUUGAUUUAAAUAAUAUCUCAAUUAAAAAUGUACAGAGAAUAUAUUUCGGUGGGUAUUUUAAUCUUUUUAGCAAUUAUCAUGGUUAGCCCUUGGCCUUGAAACGUCUGUCAGAAAGGUUUUCAAAUGCUUUAAUUGUUCUUAUUAAAAAAAAAAUCUUUAAUUGUUUUUUCACUUUUAACGUCAGCGGCCUUGAAAGUGCUUUUACUUUAUAACAAAUUAAUUAAUGCUGACGAGAAAAUAUCUCUUCCACAGCCCACAGCAGCUUCUGUUAAUCAAACUCAACCAAUUUUCUCUCUUAACAAAAUUCCAAAGAUGGGUAGCAUUUUUCAGAUCACAUGCGACGGCGCUUUUUUCAAUCGUUGCUUUGGAUUGCUUUCUUGGAAAAGCAGCAUACAUAAGCAACAUCCAAGAUAAUCUUGUAGCCUUGGAGACUGAACUGGGAAGACUAAUCGCAGCAAAGAACGAUGUGAUGAUGAGGGUUGUCAAUGCUGAACGACAACAAAUGAAAAGGCUGGGCCAAGUGGAAUGGUGCGUUUCGAGGGUGGAUGCUGUUAAAAUUGAAGCUGAUGAACUUAUCAGAGACGGCUCUCAAGAAAUUGACAAAUUAUGUGUUGGAGGCUACUGUUCUAAGAACUGCACGUCAAGCUACAAGUUCGGGAAACAAGUGGCUAAAAAGCUACGAGAUGUGGAGACUUUAAUCGCCGAAGGAGUUUUUGAGGCGGUGGCUACCGAGGUGGUGCCUGAGAGAGCUCCAGAGCCUGUAGCAGAUGAAAGACCUACCGAGCGAACAGUAGUAGGCUUGCAAUCACAACUUGAACAAGUCUGGAGAUGUCUUGCAGAAGAAUCAGUGGGAAUCAUUGGCCUAUAUGGUAUGGGCGGUGUUGGUAAAACUACAUUACUGACCCAUAUCAACAAUAAAUUUCUCGAGAGUCCAACCAACUUUGAUUGUGUGAUUUGGGUAGUAGUUUCAAAAGACCUGCGACUUGAAAAAAUUCAAGAAGAUAUUGGAAAAAAGAUAGGUUUGGUUGGUGAUUCGUGGAAGAGUAAAAGUGUAGAGGAGAAAGCUGUCGACAUCUUCCGGAGUUUAAGAGAGAAGAGAUUUGUAUUGUUGUUAGAUGAUAUAUGGGAGCGGGUUGAUUUAACAAAGGUGGGCGUUCCACUUCCCGGACCAAAAAAUACUACCUCAAAAGUUGUAUUCACAACCCGUUUCAUCGAUGUUUGUGGUAGCAUGGAAGCUGACAGGAAGUUCCAAGUGGCGUGCUUAUCAGAAAAGGAUGCUUGGGAACUGUUUCGAGAAAAAGUUGGGGAAGAAACUCUUCAGAGUCAUCAUGAUAUCGUUGAGCUAGCCCAAAUUGUGGCCAAAGAGUGUGGUGGUUUGCCACUCGCACUUAUUACUAUUGGUCGAGCUAUGGCCUGCAAAAGGACAGCCGAGGAGUGGAGACAAGCAGUUGAAGUGCUAAGAAGAUCAGCUUCUGAGUUUGCAGGUUUGGGAAAAGAGGUGUAUCCUCUUUUAAAGUUUAGCUAUGAUAGUUUGCAGAAUGAGACGAUUAGAUCUUGUUUCUUAUAUUGUUGUUUAUAUCCCGAAGAUUAUGGAAUUCUUAAAUGGGACUUGAUUGAUUGUUGGAUUGGUGAGGGAUUCUUAGAGGAAUCUGACAGGUUUAGUGCAGAAAACCAAGGAUACUACAUUGUGGGCACUCUUGUUCAAGCAUGUUUAUUAGAAGAGUUAGAAGAUGAUAAAGUAAAAAUGCAUGACGUUAUUCGUGAUAUGGCUCUAUGGAUAACCAUUGAAAUUGAGAAGCAGAAGAGAAACUUUUUGGUUCGUGCAGGUGCUGGAUUAAAAGAGGCACCGGCUGUUAAAGAAUGGGAAAAUGUGAGAAGAUUGUCAUUGAUGCAAAACCAAAUUAAAACUCUGUCAGAGGUUCCUUCAUGCCCUCAUCUCCAUACUCUAUUUCUUGCCUCUAAUGAUAAUUUGAGGAUGAUCACGGAUGGCUUCUUUCAAUUUAUGCCUUCUCUCAAAGUUUUGAAGAUGUCAAACUGUGUGGAUUGGCCAGUUUCGAAAUUACCUUUGGCGAUGUCAAAGUUGGGUUCACUACAACUUCUUGAUAUUUCACAUACCGGCAUAGAANNNNNNNNNNNNNNNNNNNNNNNNNNNNNNNNNNNNNNNNNNNNNNNNNNNNNNNNNNNNNNNNNNNNNNNNNNNNNNNNNNNNNNNNNNNNNNNNNNNNGAAGAGUUGAAGUUGUUGGUAAAUCUGAAAUGUUUGAAUUUGAGGUGGACAUUUGAGUUAAAUAAAAUUCCAUGGCAACUAAUAUCAAAAUUUUCAAGGUUACGUGUGUUGAGAAUGUUCGCUACUGGCUUUGCACGUUUUGAUGAAGCAUCAGAAGACAGCGUUUUAUUUGGUGGGGGUGAAGUUUUAGUACAGGAAUUGGUCGGUCUGAAAUAUUUAGAGGUAUUGGAGUUGACCUUGGGAUGUCAUCAUGCUCUCCAAAUUUUUUUGAGCUCAAAUAAGUUAAAAAGUUGUAUUCGAUCUCUUCUCCUCCAGUUGGCCGGAGAUACAACGUCGAUUAUUGAUGCUACGGCUUUCGCAGAUCUAAACCACCUCAAUGAAUUAUGCAUUGAUAGGGCUAAGGAGUUGGAAGAAUUGAAGAUUGAUUGUAAAGAAAUAGUACAAAAAAGGCGGGAACCUUUUGUUUUCCGCAGCCCUCACCGUGUUACUAUACAUAGCUGCCAGAAGUUGAAAGAUUUGACAUUCCUCGUUUUUGCUCCAAACCUCAAGUCUCUCGAUCUAGACCGUUGCGAUGCUAUGGAAGAAAUAAUCAGCGUCGGAAAAUUUGCUGAGACUCCUGAGAUGAUGGGACAUAUAAGCCCUUUUGAAAAUCUCCAAAUGCUUGAUUUAGAAGAUUUGCCUCAUUUGAAGAGCAUCUUCUGGAAGCCAUUGCCUUUCACUCAUCUGAAAGAAAUAUCUGUGGGUUAUUGCCGUAAUCUUAAAAUGCUUCCACUCGAUUCCAACAGUGCAAAGGAGCGUAAAUUUAUUAUUCGUGGAGAAGAAGACUGGUGGAACCGACUUCAAUGGGAGGAUGAAGCCACUCAAAUUGCUUUUCGUUCCUGUUUCCAAUCUCUUUUUGAUUAACUCUUAUACAUUUUCUCGUCGUUUGCUUCAUGCAAAAGACUACGUCUUUUGUUCUCUGUUUUUAUUUCAGUUUCGUUUUGUCUCCUGCAAAUCACAAUUAAAUGUUGAAUUAUAUGGAAGUAAUGCUUUAUAAAUUUGCCGGCACUGCCAUUUAUUUUUCCUCUUUUUUUUUUUGGGUCGAAUUGAUGCUCUGGCUUUUUUAUUUUUUGUCAUCGAAUUUUGCUCUGUUUUUCAAAUUGAUGCUUGAAUAUGUGAAUUCAAUUAAUGCUCACAUAAUUUUGUUUAGUUGCCGUAAAAGAAUAUAAUUAGACUGAAAUUCGCACUCCCAGAAUGAAUAGAAUCACAACAGAGAAAAUAUUAAGUAUGCUAGCCCUCUUUACAGAAAAUCAAAUGAAAAUAAAAUUUUUUGGAUAUUUGAUUUUCUAUGGUCUACUAUAUACACUUUAUAAAUUCUUCUGUUCUAAGGAUAACCAAGUAGGGGAUUGAUGAAGGCUCCUUUUUGGGAUUCUUCUUUUUCUAGGCUGCAAUUAGGAUAUGUACAUGAUAGACAAUCUUUUGUUGGUUUAGCAUAUCUUCGCUGAUUUUGUCUUUUAUUCCCCAAUUUUAUAAUUACACACCAUGAAUGUUGGGUGAUUGUAUAGAAAAUUUGUGUUAUAACAAAAACAUUGUGAAGGAGUUUCCGUGCUAAUAGUUAGUGGCUUCUGUUUUAUUGGUAUUGAUUGGGUAGAUUUCGUGUUACAGUGAUUCAAUUUGUGUUCCAAACUUUGCUUUAAUUUUCUGUUUUCCCCAACUAUUUAUGUCAAAUUUAAAUCCAGAAGCAUGUACUGAUUUUUUCUUUUUGUAUUAAUCUGUGAAGUUUACUUGGAAUGGAAGUAACUGGGUCGGGUCUAAUGGAUUAAAUUAUGACAUUGAGGGGAAGGCACUAAAAGGGUUUGCUUGACACAUUUGGUUCUGUAUUUACUCUGCAAGAAAUAGCUUUUGCUUAUUGCAAUGCAGGGGGAAAUCCCGAUUUGGCUGGUGAAUUUCUCUGCAACAAACAGGCAAACGCCUCAACCUCUUCUGUCCAUACUUCUGCUGGGGAGGCAAGGGGUAAAGAGUCUUCAAAAUCAUCAAAUAGUAACAUCUCUGAGAAUUCAUUUUAUGGAAAUGGAAAAUCUAGAGCUUCUAAUACAAAAUGGCAUCUGGUAUCAGGACGUACCGUUUCAAGUUUUCUUGGUAAAGAUUAUGUUAAACCUGCACAGCCAGCUAAUGGCACUGUUCUGGCAUCAAAGCCAUUGAAGUUGGAUCCAAGGGAGUUUCGCAUUUCUGCACUUUCAGAGUAGAAACUAAACCAAAACAAUCAAAGGAUGACCAUUUGCAGAAGGAUAUGGAAGAUUUUCUGUUUAAAUUGCUAGGAGAAGGGUUCCAGCUGUACAGGGAUGUGAUUCAGGAGGUUCAUGGAAACGUCUUAAAUAUAUUGAUGCCAAUUUAAUACAUAUUGUCCUUUUCAAUGUUCUUUCUUUCUUUCUCCUCUUUUUAUUCUUCUUCUUCUUCUUUUUUCUUUUCGUGUGCAUGUGAUCACUAAUUUGGUAUUAUUCUUAACUUGCAGAUAGUUGUGGAUAUGAUAUGCAAAAUAUCUUCUUGAUGCUGGCAGAUUCACUUGAUUCUUAUUAGUUUGUUUAGUGGCAAGGCAUAUAACCUGUAUUUCAAAGCCAAGUUGUGCUAUUGAUUAUGUUAACUUUAUUGUUAACAUAAAGUGAUAUGGAGGACAUAAUCAAUGUAGGAAAAUUAGGUGAAGAGAUGAUGUCAAAUCUUGAACCUCUUACAAAGCUCCAAGUUCUUUACUUGAAGAAGCUGCCAAAUUUGAAGAGCGUCUACUGGAAGGCAUUUCCAUUCCCAGAUGUAUGCAGAAUUUUUGUAUUAAUGCCCAGUUCUUAAGAAGCUGCCACUGGAUUUUCAAAGGGCGGGCCAAGGUGAAAUUCUUAUCAAGGGAAAGGAAGAUUGGUGGAAAGAACUUCAAUGGGAGGAUCAAGCAACUCAGAAUGCAUUGCUUCCAUUUUUCAAAUCAACUGACAAGUGAUUGAAGGGGGCAUCAUCAACAGAGAUGGAGAGAUUCUGGAGCAGAUCAACAGGGUUUGUAUAUGAUCUUUGGUGGUUGCUUUCUUUUGUGAUUUUUUUUUCUCAUUUUUUUUCCUUCCUGUCAUUUUAUCAUUUCUUUGUCUCUUUUUCUAUUGCUGAUGUUAGUGUAUGCUUACUGUUGCUUGACAAAGUUUGCUUGCUUCUUGUUUAUUAAAUUUUUUAUGGUCACAAAAUAUUACUUGUUCUAUUUGAGAGUGAUGUGAAUCAAUUUUCAAUUAUAUAUUUUGUGGUCAAUGUGAAUUCAAUUUCAUUUGUCUCCUGCAAUUAUGAAAAAAAUGCAGAGUCAUAAUAUGGAAAAGUCGACCGGCAAAAACUUUGUGAAAGCUUCGGAGUGAAACAGGGAAUUCACUUACUACUAAGGACAAUUGGUGGCGAGCUAUUCCAUUCAUUUUAUGUCCAUACAUCUAUUUAAUUAUUGAAGAUAAGUGGUCCAUUUGUAAAUUUCAGAUUGUCCCUCUCUCUUGAAAUAACGAUAUUUAAAAUAUUUCUUAAAUUAUUAUAAAUUUUAAUUUACUCUGGAUUUAAAAUGGAACAUGAUGAAAAUUUUUUUUUCUUCUUAAUAAAAUUGAAAUAAAUUGUGUUUGCAGUAGUUUGAAAUAUUUUAAAGAUUAUUAUUUUAUAAGGGAGUAAUAUGAAAUGAAAUUUACUUUUCAUGCGUGAAAUGUUGAAAAAGGACAAAGCAAGUGUCCCUGUUUUUAUUUUAUUUCAAAGUGGAGUCAUCUCACGUACUUUAGCUCUUAACAUUAUAAUUUUUCUGGUUACAUUUUUAUUAUUAUUUUUUUUUUUUACACAUGCAUGUGGGUUACUUUUCCGUAAGCUCCUUAAUAUAUAUUUAACACAAAUCAUGGAAGAGAUGGGAGUAUAUCAAGAUGAUCAAAGCAUGAAACAAAAAUAUUUAAGAAGUAAAACACUGAAAAUGGAGAAGAGAUGCAAGCAAAAGAUAUUCCAAAGAAAAGCAAUCUAUCCCCCUUUCGAGGGCAAACUUAUCAGGUUUAAGAAAAGUACAUGCUUUGGAUUGGUAGUUGCAGCCUUGCAGGAUAAUUGUUUUUGCCACUAUAUUAGUUGGAGGAGUUGAACCCAGCGAAGAAUGUUAUGGAAGAGCAAAGGAUUAUGUAGCCUGAAUGGAUGUCUUGUUGAAAGAUAUCUCAGUGCAUUAGUUCAUCCUUGUCUGUCAAUGUGUUUUUAAUGGUUUUUCCAAUUGUUUAUUAUUAUAGAUUGAUUGUAAAUUGAUAUGAAUUUAAUGUUGAAAUAUUUUCUCUUUAGUGGAAUGAAUUUAAAAGUGCAAAAGCUUAUUGCACACAGAGAAAUAAACAUAUAUGCUUUAUAGUAUAACUUUAGCAAUCGAUUCUUUUACAGCUGGAAACAGAGAUGGUGAUUAUCAUAGGGGUGAAGAAAAGGACAAAAAAUGUUAAUGAUUAACGAAAUUUCUAUGCAAAUUGAUUUUAGCAGGAAAAAAAGUGAGCUAAAUGAUCUUAAUGUUCCACAAAAGCAAAUCGUAAUAUUCCACAAGAAAAAGCAAGAUCUUAAUGUUCCACAAAAGCGUUAUUUUUUUUUUGGUGAGCCACGUGGAGCUCAAUUAUCAUUGUCUUUACUUUAAAAACGUUAUUUUAUUUUAUUUUAUUACAAAUUAAUGCUAAACAAGAAAAAGCAAGAUAUAAUAUUCCACAAAAGCAAAUCGUAAUAUUCCACAGAGGAAUAAGAUCCACAAAAGCAAACAACUAGCUGGAUUCUUUUACUGAAUUACAAAUUAAAGUGGAAUCUUUUAUUAAACAAUAAAUUAAAGUUCGAAUAUUUAAGUAGUAGUGCGUUAGAUGAUUAGGCUCUCUUAUUAAAGGCAAGUAUAAGGUAGUCCAGAAUCGAACAUCUCUAUUGUCUAGUCAUUUUUUUCAAUUCUUCUUUUAUUAUUUUUCAGAAUAGGUUUUGGUGAUUACUAUUGGGUUAUUAGUCAGAGUUAUUCUUAUCUUCCGGGGCAGUUUCUGUUCAUCGGAAUUGUUAAUUAAAAGAGUAAUGAUAUAGUCACAAACUCUUGUAUAAACUUAUUUUGUACAAACUGAUGUGGCAUGAUAAGAUUAGUUGAAUUAAAUAUCACUUAGGCCACAUGAUUUAUUUUUAUUAUUUUAUAUUUUCAUUCAACCAAUGAAUUAAUGCCACGUCAGUUUGUACAAGAGUUUGUGGCUGUAUCAUUACUCUAAUUAAAAUUUUAGAACUCUUGUGGGAAGAAUGUUUUUCUGUUAUCUUUUUUACAUUCUAAUUUCAACAAUAAGAAGGAGUCAUUUUAGAAUUCGGGUCUUGAAUCGAAUUUCAAUGCAUGAAUUAAUAUUUUAAAAAAAAAUUACUACACGCAGUUUAGGUUACAAACUAUUUUUUGCAAAGUUGACUAUGAAAUUGGAGAAAUUAAGUAAUUUAUAAUGUUUGCAAAGGAAGAGACUAACAUACUUCCAAUUACACUAUAUCUCUAUUAUCAUAAUGUUAAGACUAAACUAACUUAAAAUAAAUUUUAUUUGAAAAGUUAUAUCAAACACAGUCUAAUUUUAUUAACUUGAAGAGAUAAUAGUUAUAGAAAUGAUUGUUCUAACUUAAUUAGUACAAGUGGUAUAAAGGUUAAGUGUGCACUAAAUUUGUUUAAAUUUUUUCCAGAAUAACUAACAGAGGUCAUUAUUAGAAUUAUAAUUACUAGUCUAUUAGAUAGAAAAAAUUAUAUAUAUUGUUUUAUAUUUAUUAAAAAAAUUUAAAGUCAAUCUUUUUAAUUAUUAUUUAAAGGAUAUUAUAAUUUAAAAAAAUUUAAUGUCUUUAUUAAAAAUUUAAAAAUUUACAUGACCGUUCUAUAAAUAUUUAAAGUGUAACUGUCAUUUUCUCAUGUAUAUAUAUAUAAACCACGGUGGUGAAGCUUUAUUUAAUAUUAUUGAUUUAAAUAACAAUAUCGCAAUUAAAAAUGUAGAGAGAAGAAAUUUUGGUGGGUAUAUUAGUCUUUUACAAUUAUCAUGAUUAGCCCUUCCUCUUGUAACGUUGGUCAGAAAAGUUUUAAAAUGCCUUGAUUUCUUUUACUUUUAACGUUAGCGGCCUUCCUUAUAUUUUAUUACAAAUUAGUCCUAACAAGAAAAAGCGAGAUCAUAUUCCAAAAAAGCAAAAGUGACAAAAAAACCAGCUGUAUUCUUUUAUUAAACUACAAUUUAAAAUGAUUUUAAAGUGGAUUCUUUUGAAUACAGGUGGGGUAGUCGAAUAGUCUUUUUCAAAUUCUUGUUUUAUUAUUUUUCAAAACUAGUUUUUGGUAAUUACAAUCGGGUCAUUCAUUAGUCAUUAUUCAGAGUUAUUGUUAUCUUCGGGGGCAGUGGGUAAAAGGCUAAAUGAUAAUUACUAAGUGUUUUUCCUUCAAAAGUUAGUGGCUCGUGUUUUGCAAGUGUGUACGUGCGAUGCUCUUUGUCUAAAGGCAAUUACAGUGGGUCCCGAAUCGGACGUGCCUAAUAAAUCUUUUAAAAUUUUUUCUAAUAAAUAUUCCUAAAAUUUCUCUUCCACAGGCAAUUACAGCAGCUUCAGUUAAUCAAACUCAAUCAAUUUUCUUUCUUAACAAAAUUCCAAAGAUGUUUGGCUGUUUUCAGAUCACAUGCGAUGGUGCUCUUUUCAAUCGUUGCUUGGAUUGCUUUCUGGGAAAAACAGUAUACAUACGUAACCUCCCAGAUAAUCUUGUUGCCUUGGAGACUGAAUUGGGAAAUCUAAUCGCAGCAAAGAACGAUGUGACGAGGAGGGUUGACAAUGCUGAACGGCAACAAAUGAGAAGGCUGGACCGAGUGCAACGAUGGAUUUCGAGAGUGGAAGUUGUUGAAACUGAAGCCGAUGAAUUGAUAAGACAUGGCUCUCGAGAAAUUGAAAAAUUAUGUGUUGGAGGCUACUGUUCCAAGAACUGCAUGUCAAGCUACAAGUUCGGAAAACAAGUGGCUAAAAAGCUACGGGAUGUGCGGACUUUAAUCAGUGAAGGAGUUUUUGAGGUGGUGGCUGACAGAGCUCCAGAGCCUGUAGCAGAUGAAAGACCUACUGAGCCAACAAUAGUAGGCUUGCAAUCACAACUUGAACAAGUUUGGAGAUGUCUUGUAGUAGAAGAAUCAGUGGGAAUCAUUGGCCUAUAUGGUAUGGGCGGUGUUGGUAAAACCACACUAUUGACCCAUAUCAACAAUAAAUUUCUUGAGAAUCCAAUCAACUUUGAUUGUGUGAUUUGGGUUGUAGUUUCAAAAGACCUGCGACUUGAAAAAAUUCAAGAAGAUAUUGGGAAAAAGAUAGGUCUGUUUGAUGAUUCAUGGAAGAGUAAAAGUGUAGAGGAGAAAGCUGUCGACAUCUUCCGGAGUUUAAGAGAGAAGAGAUUUGUAUUGUUGUUAGAUGAUAUAUGGGAGCGGGUUGAUUUAACAAAGGUGGGCGUUCCACUUCCCGGACCACAAAAUACUACCUCAAAAGUCGUAUUCACAACCCGUUCCAUCGAUGUUUGUGGCAGCAUGGAAAGUCACAGGAAGUUCCCAGUAGCAUGCUUAUCAGAAGAGGAUGCUUGGGAGCUGUUUCGAGAAAAAGUAGGGCAAGAAACUCUUGAGAGUCAUCAUGAUAUCGUUGAGCUAGCCCAAACUGUGGCCAGAGAGUGUGAUGGUUUGCCACUCGCACUUCUUACUAUUGGUCGAGCUAUGGCCUGCAAAAGGACAGCAGAGGAGUGGAGACACGCAGUUGAAGUGCUAAGAAGAUCAGCUUCUGAGUUUGCAGGUUUGGGAGAAAAGGUGUACUCUCUUUUAAAAUUCAGCUAUGAUAGUUUGCAGAAUGAGACGAUUAAAUCUUGUUUCUUAUAUUGUUGUUUAUAUCCCGAAGAUUAUGGAAUUCUUAAAUGGGACUUGAUUGAUUGUUGGAUUGGUGAGGGAUUCUUAGAGCAAUCUGACAGGCUUAGUGCAGAAUACCAAGGAUACUACAUUGUGGGCACUCUUGUUCAAGCAUGUUUAUUAGAAGAGUUAGAAGAUGAUAAAGUAAAAAUGCAUGACGUUAUUCGUGAUAUGGCUCUAUGGAUAACCAGUGAAAUUGAGAAGGAGAAGAGAAACUUUUUGGUUCGUGCAGGUGCUGGAUUAAAAGAGGCACCGGCUGUUAAAGGAUGGGAAAAUGUGAGAAGAUUGUCACUGAUGCAAAACCAAAUUGAAACUCUGUCAGAGGUUCCUACAUGCCCUCAUCUCCUCACUUUAUUUCUUGACUUUAAUCA